CAAAGAGAACUAAAGCCCAAAAACAGAUAAUCAAGGUGCAACAGCACCCUAAUCCAUUCCGAAACAAUCAUAAAAUCUAAAACUAAACCAGUGUCAAUUCCCACUGAAUUAGGCGUUCUCUGGAUACACACUUGAUUUCUGUUUUUCCAAAUAGAAAAUGAUAGUAACUCCUACGUAAAAUGCAAGACUCUUUGAGACUUACCUUAAAAAGAUAAUGACUUUUAAAAAACGUUUAAAAAUAUUGAGGUAUUAAAAAAAUUUUACUACCUCAAAUUUUAAAAUUUUCAAAAUAAUUUUUAAGGACUUUUGGUAAAUUCAUACUUUUUAUAUAAGAGUUAAAAUAUUUAUAUAACAACCCAUGGGUCAUUCCCUUGUUAACGAAACUGGGAAGUUAUUACUAUUUUCUAUUUUUAAAAUAGAUAAUAGGAAGUAUAUCUAGACAAGCACUAAUUAACACAUUUUUUAUUGUCCCAUUUGCACCUUCCACACUGUGAAAGAUCUAUGGUUUUGUUUCAUCCCAGCUACACCACAACAGCCAGAAAGUAGUUAUCUUCUAAAGCUUCGUUCAGCUCCUCCCUGCUAAGUUGAAUAGAGAAAAAGGAUGUAUAUUCCUUGACCUAAAAUACUUGUACACCACAUAAUAAAAUCUUAUAAUUUCACAUGUUAAUACAAUCCAACCAUAGAGAAGUGGUAAAAAAAUUAUCAAGUCAGUAGCAUACGAAUAUCAGUUUGAUCCAUCUAUGUCAAAGAUACAAUAUAACCUUUGGUUAAAAUUUUUGAGAAAUGAAAAAUUCAUGAAGAAUAAAAAAUUCCAAUUCACGCAUGCGCACAGACACAAAAUAUAUUGCAGUGCCAUGGCCUCCAACUACAAAUUACUGUCAUGUUUCUUUAUCAAGGGAGCAUCAAUUUGGUAGGAGACGAAAGCCCUAAAUUCAAAUUUAUAACUCUAUUGUGAUCCACAGCAGAUUAUAAUUUACUAUCCCCAAUGUUACUACAACAUAGCACUUCUUCAUACUUCCUACCCCUUCUUCUCAUUUGUAGAAAAUAAUUUAACUUAAAUGAAAUGUAACCAAAAUCGAGCCAAUAAAUCAACAGGCAAAUUCUUCCAGCAAAAAUUAACCUCACCAAUUUUUUGUUUUUCUGUGAAAACUGAGGAAAAUAAAAUAAAACUGACAAUCUUGUGUUUCAUUUUGCUUUGCUUUAUCAGAAUAAAAAAAAAAGAGAGAAAAGAAAUCAACCACACUAAUCCAGAAAGUGUACCAGGCAAAGUGAAACCAAGUUCCUUGUUUUCCUAACAAUUAAAAACUUGAUGUCUUUGCUUUUCCCACCGUUCCUCAGCAACCAAGCGUCAAAACAUAGAAUCAUGGCAUCAAUUGGAGUCUCAUGUGUCUAAAUACAUGACGACAAGCGGAGGUCUUUCCUCAAGUUCAACUUACUAAAAAUCAAAAUGUCCACAACAAAAUUAAAACUAGAUACCAACCAAAAACACAAAACCCUAGCCUCACCUUCCGCUUGGUAAGCAACAACUUCUCCGCAAUCGACAUCUUGGGAGGCCGAAACCCUAGCUUCUGUUCCCUACCACUAAUCCCAAGAUCCUCAAUCAUCCCUCCGAUCACCUCCCUGGGCACAAUGUCCUUGGGCGCCAACCCCUCGCACAUGGCCACCACCUUCGCCCUGGCCUCCUCCAUCAUAGCCCUCUCCUCUGCCGUAGGACUCCGGCCGCCGCGGACGGCCGCCAUAGCGGAGAGCACCAGCACAAUCUCCGCCACUCUCUUGACAUCCCCGCCCCUGGGCCGCUUCCUGGCCGUCUCUCCAUCGUCCUCCGCCGGGCGCUUGGAUCUCGCCUCCACCUCAGAGCUCGCCGUUGGAUCCAUAGGGAGUGGGAGGUCAGGGAGGGGAGACCAUUGAACGACGCCGUUUACAGGAGAGAAACACAGACGAUAAGAGGAGAGAAGGGAAGAGAAGAGAGCAGAAGAGAGAACCCUAAGGAAGUCCAAAGGGGGUUUUUAAAAGUACGAAAUAAAAGAUCCGUUAAAUUGUGAGGUUUUGGCGCGUAAUUGAAGAGAAAGAUGUGAGGGAGUGAGCGUGUGUAAAACUCGUAAGUGAUAUGUAGAGGGAGACGAGAGACAAAGAGAGGGCCUGAGCGCAGAGAGAGAAAGAAAGAGAGGGAAGCAAUGGGGUUAUUUGGAGUUUUGGGAUUUCUAUAAAUAAACCGCUCUUCUCCUGGACCGGGUUCGGCACUCUGACACGCGGCCCGAGUCGGGGAAUGUAGGCCCUAUACGGCGUCGUUUCUCACAUCAGGGCCGCCACUUCCUUAGUUUCGCCUUAGCCGUCGCUGUAACGUCUUGGCAUUAGGCAGUUCGAAUUCCUAUGUUUUCAAUAAUCAAACAUUAAAUCAAAUUAUCUAGUCAAUAAGAGUGUGUUAGCAAUUAUGUCACGUUACCAAAAAAAAUAUUUACUAGUUUCAAAAUUUACUUUUUCUGUGGUAAAUUUCAAACAAAAUUAUGUAUAUUUGUUAAUUUUAUUGUACACAAAAAAAAUUGAUUGAGUUGUGUGAUUUUAAAAAAAUUAAAAAUUAAUAAAUAAUAAUUUAUUUGCAAUCAUGUCCCCUUAUCAAUUUUUAUCUAGGUCCAAAUUAAGCCAGCAUAUUAAACCUCCGGUUCGCCCUGUCGUACAACCCUCGGCUCAAAUAGAAGGAGAAAACGGGCUGGGCUGGGCUGGGCCACAUCACUUUUGGAUCUUUUAUCUCAAUAUAUUUUUGAGAUCUAUUUCAACUUAUAUAUUUAUUUCUUACAUCUCCGACAUUUUUUUCUCUAUUUGAAACUCCUUAUUUUGAAAAUAAUUCCUAGAAGGAAUAUUAUUUGCAAACAAUUUCAUAGACUUUAAAAUUUUCAAUCCCUCUAUGGUUCAUUUAUUUAAAUAGUAAUUAUAGAAAUUUUAGUAAUGCAUUAAAUAAUUUAAAAAAGUUUUUUUUACUAAUUUCAAUUAUAUUUUAUUUUCUUUGUAAUAUAACCAAAUAUAAGAAAAUUAUCAUUUUAUUUAACAUUUUUUUUUCUUAAGACUUAUAAGGUGUUUUUUUUUUCUUAUCAUUGAAAGCAACUUAUUUUCAGAUUUUAUAUGUUUAUUUUUAACUUUUUAUUUGACUUAUUACUUAUUCUUAAACAUUUUUCACUAAAUAAAUGCAAGAAAAUAACAUUUUUAAACCCACCAAAACAUGAUCUCAACUCCCAACUUUUGUCAUCGUAAUGAACUUCUCUAUUCUUAUCACCUUCCUCUUUUAUCACUUCUCCUUCCUAGACUACCAUUUUCCUUCCUCCUUCCACAACUUCAACUUCAACAACCUCCUUAUCAUCAUAACAUUUUUAAGAUCUCACCUCUGAUCCAAACCCUAUUGCACCAUGUCUAUUGUCACAUACACAAUUUCUCCCUCUACAUUUUUCGUGUAUGCGCGGUGCUUAGAAGCCCUCUAAGCCAACCUUCCCAAAAUUCACACAAGAUUGAAACAAGGAAAACCACGAAACACUCAUGAAAUUAUGGGGUUAAAUUCCCCUACUUGUAUAUUAUCUCCCUCUAUAAUAUACAAGAUACUAUUAGCAAAGACUCCCACAAUAGCUUGGUGAGUUCAGUAAUGUCUCGAGAACCAUCUCAAGUCCUCUAGCGGCACCAGCCACCCCCACCUAUUUAGGAACUAUCAUAUACAAAUGGGUUUACAAUUUCAAAUAUCUUGCAGCCAUCUGCUUCUUGAAAUUCCCUUCCCUUGCUUCAGCUGUUGCCAUGUGUCCAAGCUCAAUAGACCCCACUAGGCACAUCCAAGGUUUAGCUGCUCCACUUGCUCUUGUGGUUGAGAGAACUCCUCAUCUGAGCCAAGUGUCCCUUUUAACUUGGCCAUGCCUUUGCCGAGUCCCUUGGCCCUCAUGUUGUUGUGUGUGUGACUUAGUCAUGCUUCAGCCGUGUCCUUCACGACUUAGUCCAUGUUGUCACAUUCUUGCUCUAUGAUCAACCCACGUUCUGCAAGGCGUACAUGAUCAGUCCACACUUGGGUCUUCUUACCUAGGUGUCCUCCUUAAGACUCGAUCCACAUCUCAUCAAUCCAAACAUCAACCUUGCACUAUAUAAGAUUGCCCUUCUGCAUCUUCUAAGGUUAUUGCAUGUCUCUAGGCAGCUUGUGUGUGUGCCAAUCCUUCUCUUGGCCUGCACACUAAGCAACAUUAAUCAAUACCAAACCUGCUCCUGGCUCACGUUGCUCUCCCUCUUUAUUUGGAGGAUGUUGAAGUCGAGGCAACUAGUCUUUUUUUUUUUUCCCAUAUUAACGCCCCAUGUCAUUGCACACAUGGGUUACAUCACACCAUGGCUCACUACUCAUAGUUGCAUGCUUUGGUAAGGGUCACUACCACCCCUUGCUCAUGUCUGAAGCCCACACAUCACACCUUCUUGUUGUUGCAAUGGCACCAUGUCAUGUCCCAUCGUCUCUUAGUGCAGCAAUGAGUCAUGGUAUUACACCCAUGACUCCUAAUCUGUGCACCAGGCAUUGCGCCCUUGUGCCAAGCAUCCGACAUUAUCUCUUGAGUUGACUUGGUUGCUGUUUCAUCUCUAUGCCAUGUCCAAGCCCACCUUGAUGCAACAAUGGGCCAUGACAUUGCACCCAUGGCUCAUUAAGCCACCUCGCACAAGGCAUUGCUCCCUUGUACCACCAUCGAGAGGGGGAAACACACCUUGGUGCAACCACGGGCCAUGACAUUGCACCCAUGGCUCAUUAAGCCACCUCGCACAAGGCAUUGCCCCCUUGUACCACCAUUGAGAAAAACUACAGUGUUUUUAAAUAACAUCCAAGUUAUUUUCACUUUUUUUAAAAAAAAAAACUAUUUUAAAAAUAAUUAUAUAAAUAUAAAGAAUGAUUAAAAAUAAAGUAUUAUAUAUCAAAAUCAUUUUUAAAACUUAUUUAAAAACAUAGAAAAUAGGUUAAAAAUUUUAGAUUUUUAAACAGACUUUUGUUUUAUAAAAUAUUAUAAAAAAGUUCUUAAUAAUUGUUUUUCAGAAACAUUUUCCAAACUAGGUCUUAAUUGACCCAUGACAUGGCAAGGCUCAGGCUCUCCUUUCCUUUUGAUGCAUGACUUGAAUUGAUAUAUAAUACCAAGCCUAAAGUUUCAACAUAUAUCUGGUCUUUAUGAAGCAAAAGUAAUGUUAUAUAAUAUAACUAGCCAUUUGAAGUGGUUCACCAAUAGUAAUGGAGGGGAUGAGGACCCUUGGGCAUAAGAAAUGAGAGAAGACUUGGAGCAGUAUUUUUACAAUCACCAACACCUCUAUUUGAUCUCAAUAAUUUUUGCAAUCUAUUUUCCACCUAUAUAUUCAUUUAUUUAGCUUGACAAGCCUUAACCACACCUUAGUUUGGCUGAGUGUCACACAUCCACAUUAGGAUUUUCCUACACCCUGAGAUUUAAGCACCCCAAAAGGGGGAAAAGGAUAGCAAUGAAGGGACACUGCUUCCUUCUUGUCACAUGAUUCACACUUUCCCUCUUCACCCAAAGCCUCCAUAUCAGAAUUUUCUUUCUUUCAGAGAUUUAGGCACCCGGAAAAUGGGAAAUUUGGGAAAGUUGGGAAAGUAUUGAAUGGACAGCCCUUCCCACUUACUCAUGAUUCCAAUCCAGAGUCAACAAAAGUAUCUAGCUAACUCUCAGUCCAAUAAAGUUAACAGAAGUAGAAAGGCACAUUUUAUAUCUUUUCCUGAUAAAACUAAGCCAAUUGUAUAUCUAUCUCCAGUUAAAGGUAAGUUUGAUGUAGCAUCAUUUUUGGGGUCUUAGGGAUACCCUGCUCCUGAGAUUGGAGACCCCCUACUAAUAUUGGAAACCCCCAAAAACAAUUGCAGGGAGAAAAUUUAUGGUCUGAACAUAUGACUCAAACGCAUGGAAGUAACCCAAUAUUAUUGUCAAUAGGUUUCUCCUUAUAGGCAAAUGUGUGAAGUGAUUCAUAACAGAAUAGCAUCACUUCCAAUUCCAAAUCCAAAUCCAAAUAAGCUUGCAGUGUUCUUUCAUCAACAUCAUCAUCAUCAUUGCCAUGAUAGAGGAGAUCUCAUUUCUUAUCAAUAUGAAAAUCUUUUUACAAUAUGAGGAGCAGUAUAGUUCAUGAGAAACAGCAUUACAACAUUGAAAGAAUGACGAGAAACAACAUUGAAAGAGUGGGAUAUAUAUUAUGGGCAGCAACAACACAAUCUUAUCUUGCAUCUCAGUUUGUGUUAUUUGCAUUCCUAAAUGGACAGCAUAUUUACCCAUAGUGGCAGUAGCUUAUAGAGAUCAUAUUCUCCUGUGUGGACCACAUCACUGCAAACCAUAACUUGUGAAUUUCUGCAUAUGAUUUCAGCAUUCUCAAGUGUAAAACCAGGAAGAACUGGCAAAGGAAAUCCCUUUGCCAGGUGCAAGUUCAAAUAUGGCAAGAAGACUGUGUCAAUGACAGUUGACAUUGCUGCCUGCAAAGAUUUACAGAACCUUGUAAGUUUCGUGACCAAUCAAAGAAGGAGAUUACUCUUAUUCCGGCUUAGAUGUGAACCCCACCUUAGCCAUAACAACAUAUGGAAAACCAGAGUAAUUAAUACAAUAAUUAAAUGUUAAAAAUCAUAUGAUAUAGAACAAACAACAUGAUUUAUAUACUAUAUUAUGCAAAGUUUAUAAGAGUAUAUUUCGAAACACAUGUUUCAAGAAAUAUUUCAAACCUUUUCAGAGCAAUUACUUGACUUCAUGUGUAAAAGUGCUUGGGCCAAAAAAGAGACUCCUAGGCUGGGUUGUGGUUGAAUGCACGUUUUCAUAUGCCUAGUACUCUUCACCCAAUUGAUACAUCAAGGUGUUCAGGCCCUUAUGGUGAGGUAUCAUUGAACCAAUUGGCUGAAUGACUAAAAAACUACAACAAAUUGGUUUGGUGUUUGGAAAUCACAAGUUACAUAAGAGGCCUAAUCAUUUUAAAAUAUAAAAACAUAAUUUUGGUCACCCUGUUCAAAUCCAUAAAAAAUACCCACAAAAAUAAAUGCUCCAGAUAGAGAAAAAGAUCAUGACAUGCAAAUUUCAAAGAGAUGAGCUAAAAACACAAGCAAGCCACAAGAGGCUGAAACUCUGUAGGCUUAAAACUACUUGGGUUCUUGAAGCAGAAGCUAAUUAACAUAUGAUGCAAGUGCAAGUUAGAGUUUAAUGUUCAAUGCCACUUUCUUGGAAGUUCAUUUUUCUUUUCCAUGUUUUUUGUCCUCCUGCUAAACAAAUUUCUUUGUGUUGGCCUCCUUUUUCAAUGCCACUUUCUUGCAGGGGAGUGAAGAUUGAACGGAGAUACCUGAACUUGGUGCAUGUCCAAGUCACCAAUGUUACUCCAUUUCAAGGACAUAGUAAAUUCAGUCAACCCAAAGCUACCAGUGAGGUUGUUCUUUGAAAUUUGUAUAGAGCCAGUAGCAUUAAUAACCUGCACCAACAGCAUGUAGGAUCUAUCACAAACAACAUAUUGAUUACAAACUAAUUAUUAUGAAAUAACUUAUAUAUCCUCACAAUUCAUAGUCGAAGGACUGAGCUAAAUCACAAUUCUCAGUGAAAGUUGAACUCCUUGUGUGAAAUCGUAGAUUAGAUUGUUAAUAAAAAGAAUAUGGGAUAAAAAUGACAAAAUCAAUCAAAUGAUAACAAUACCAAAAUCUAAAUACAAUUUCAUUGAAUUUUGAACUGUAGUUAUCACAUUUAGGACAGAGACUGAAUUAAACACAAUCAGAUGGAGUCGUUUAAUUCUGAUUUCUUUGUUUUAUCUUUUCCUCUUUAAAUGUGUUUUCCUCUAUGCAUUAUAAACCAGAAUCACUCAUCUACUCUCUUCAAAUAAAGCCUAUGAGUCAAUCUAAAGUAUCCCACAAUGCCCAUAACUGAUAUUCUAACUAGCUCCAUCAAAAUUUAAAUUGUUCAGAUAAUGUCGCUUCCUCCUAUAUUAGUGAUAGUAAAGAGCUUUGCAUUGUUUUUUUGUCUAAGUAAGCUUGACCCUUAUAUAUAUAUAUAUAUAUAUAUAUAUAUAAACGGACAAGAUAAAGCACAAAAAGGUAGUGCAUGAAGUGUAUGUCUUGUAAAUCUCACUUUUCUUCUCGUAAGCUUACCAAUGAGAUGCACGCCACUUGAAUUACUUCACCAGAAUCCAAAACAUCAAUUAUCAUAUCUGAGUAAAUGGUUGUAUCAACUUUAUCGUCUGCAAUUUUUAACAUUGGUUGAGAAGAUACAGAAAUAUUCAGGUUCACACCAUCAUCUGGGUACUGAUUGUAGAGUUGAGGAACAAUAUAUUUCCAUCCGGCUGUGUUCAAAAGAGACUGAUCUGGCAUUUUGUUAACAAUCCAGCUCAUAAAAUCUGCCUGAAAAUGAACAGAACUAUUAAUUCAGAUGUUCAACUGCAAUUCCAUAGUAGAUUAUAUUAGUGUGCAACUCAGUGAGGGCAAGUCCAAUUUAUGCUCAGCGCAACUGUUGCACCCCUUGGCCCCAACUCAAUGUGAACCAACAUCAAGAAAAUGUUCUUGAGCCCAAGACUGAGCACAAAUCAACUGAGAUACCACCGUCCAAUCUUGACUAGGUCAAGCAUGGAUCAGUUUACAUGAAUACUGGAAUUUUCGUGUAACAAGAGAUAAAUUUUAGAAACUUACUUUGAAGUAAACAGAAGUUGCAGAGUUAAAAACAUUUUCAUCUAAUGACAUCUCAAUCAUCUUGGCUGGACCUGUGCAGGAAACGGGAGCUCGAUGUUUUUUAUGGUAAUUGGUGGGAGCUGGAAUGCCAUCCUUUGCUGUGAAUAACCCGUUAAUCUCAAAGUCAAUGGAAGAAUUACUUGAUACAGGGUCCUUCACAAAAGUAACAUUCAGAGCAGCAACAUGAUCUACUGGUAUUUCUUUUGGAACAGAUUGUAAUAAGGAAUCAAGCUUUAUAAUUCCCUCUCUUAUUCUUUUGGAAACAGAAUCUUCAACUGCAGAGGCUAUUUGCUCUUUGAAAGCAUCCACCAGCCUGGAAAAUGAGUAAAGCAGAUUAGUUAAAAUAAUUAGUUAAUUUUUUCCAGUAGCAAGACGUAUAAAGGCCAUGGAAUGUGGAGAUUACUUCUCAAACAAAAUCAAAUUAUAUAAGAGGACUGCAUACCCUUGAUAAAACCAAGUUGCCCCACCAUCCAACUUCACAAAGAUAUCUUUCACGAAACAUCCCCAGUCCAAGAGAGACAGACUUAGAGUUCCAUUCUGGUCCUUCAAUCCUAGAGUAAGCUCCAUGGCCAUGCCUUCAACCUUAGAAAAAGAGGCAACAGUCAGUUUCCUUUGGUUGAGAGACAAAUAAAAAAUGACCUCAACAUCUCAAGAAAAUGAAAACAAAUCUAGCAAAGAGCAAACACUAUCAUAGUUUUUCCUUCAACCAACAGCAAUUAAAAUUGAUAGAAGAGGAGCGUAUAAUUCCCAGGAAAGUGUUGCUAACACUUGAUGUCCAACAAAUCCACCAUUUAAUGACAGGAAAAAUAAACAAAAUAACUACUGAAAUUUUUUUGAAGUUGGCUAUUCAUAUAAGUUUGUCCAACAAUUCAGCAUCCCAUCUUUGAUUCUAUUUUAUUUCCUCAUGUCAUAUCUACUUAUUCUAUCUCAGUUAAUUCAUCUGGCCACCAACUUAUUUAUCAGCUGGCUUCCAGCGACAAUACAAUUAAAUAAAAUAACACAAUAAAUAAAUAAAAUAAGAAACCAAAAACUCUCAAGCUUUCAAUACAACACUAGUUGUACCAGAGCAUAUUUAUAUCUCACACAUGUAGGACAACUACUAAAGUAGCUCCCUAUAAUCAAAUAAUGGUGGGCUAGGGCUUUGGUUUUGCAGGAAAAUGAACUAGUUUUAGAUGAACAAGGAAAAGAUUGCCAGUGGUUCAAGGUAAACUUGCUUCUAAUAUAAAUAUGUUAUCUGCUGAAGCUGUGGGAUCUAGAAAUGCAUUGGGUGGUUAGUGUUUCAACUUAGAAUGAAGCACCUGCAUCACCAUAUGAGGCAGAAGCAAGAGAAAAAGGAAAAAUGAAAAUAUUACCACUAAAGCAGCCCACUGUCCAUGCGAAUUAUGUUUCCUACUCUAUGAACAUUUAGCUAUGAGCUGGAAUUAAAAGGAAAGAUUGGUGAGGUUUCUGAUAGCAAGCAAAAAUCACCGUGUUCCCAUUAGAAUAGCGGUGCCUCAAUCAGGCUAGAAUGCUGUUAUCAGGGUAAGGAGUUUACAGAUAAAAGGAAGGGUAGGUUGCCUGCAUAAUAGUCCAGACCAAAGCAUAGCACGAAAAAGAAGAUAAAGAGAGAACCUCGUAAUCUCUAAAUCCUUCUAGUAGUGUCACCUAGAGGAAAAAUCAAUUGGGUUGCCAUUAAAGAAUGCAAAAUCUGCAGCAAAUUUGUAUCCAUUGAAUUGUUAAAUUGUCUCAGCAAUUCUUGAUUGUGGGAUCAUUUUCAACUAUUAUUACUUGUUCAAUUCAACUUUAUCCUUGGCAAACUCCUAAUGCUUCCUCAAAUGCAUCACGAUUUCAAGAGAGGAGGCUGAUGGAAGAUUUCAGUAUUUGUAAUAUGCAACUUUCACAUACGAGAAAUUUAAGUAAUUUGUUCAUUGUCAGAAAAAUUGAAUUUCUGCAAUUUUCACAAUAAAAUCAUGGCAGGAAUCGCCCUCUGAAUCUCGUAUUGUCCUUCCCAUCUCUCAUGCUAUAUUCAUAUUGCAAUAAGCAUUCCCCAAAUCCAUAACCCUCAAAAUCCAGAUCUCUGUAUAAAAAUACCCCCCCUCUCAACUCUUAAAUCAAUAUUAAACAAAUAAAUUUGAAAAAAGAAAUGCAAACUAAGUGGAUUCAUAGAUUCUCAACAUUAAAGCAAAAGCAAAAGCAAAGUAGGAAUCCUUAUUACAUACCAGAACCGAGGCAGCACCUUUAUCUGAAAUUGGAAACAACCAAGUAUCAUAAGAAUACUUCCAAUUCAUACUCAUAUUGGCAGUACCACCGGAAGCAACUAUAACCACACCAGCCCCUCCCGAACUAACAUAUGAAGUACCCACACCCACACUAAGGAUAGUGAUGUUGGAAAGAAGAAUGUCAACUUGGCCAACAAGUGGGAUCUUCACAAUCUUUUCGAUAGGCUGUAUUUCGAUUGGGGUGAGAGAGGAAACAGCUUUGUGCAUUAACAAAUCCUUGACAAAACCAAGCCCCUUACUGGAUAUGAACACAGAAAUGAAUCCUUCAUCGGAUUUAAUUUGGGCAUCCGUAGGAACAGAAAAAAGGGCUAACACAAUGAAGAAAGCAGCUGGCGCCAUAAGAUUUGAGGAGAGACCCAUAUCAGAAAAUCAAUGAAUCUUCUCUGGUGGAGCAAAGGUGGGCACUGGCACCAAUAUAUAUCAGAGAAUGAAGAGAGAAGUUGGUGCCAUCGUUCUAUGAGAAGAGACCCAUAUGGAAAAUAUGCCCAGAUUAAUGUACCACAGGCCAUGCAAGCAAUUGAGAGAAGAUGCUGGGGAAGAAUUAUGAGCCAUCAUUGCUGCCAUUGUUUUGUUCUGAAAUUUGCAAGCAACUGAUUGCCAGUUAUUUGGUUUUAUUUAAGAGGAAGUUCCUUCUCAGGUUUGGAGUUUGUCCAUUAUAUGAUUUGCAGUUGCCUACUCUGGCCCCUCAAUUCAUAAAUCAUCCACUAACUUAAGAAACUGGGUUUUAUUUUCCUAGGAAGAGGACAAUGUGUACCAAGUUCUCACACAACUGUAAGGCGUGCUGCAUUUAUUUGGGCAUUAUUGUAUUGCUCUAUUGUAAUUUUCAUUUGUGGAUUUUACCAAUGAAAAUGUGAAAUAUUGCAUUUUUAUCAUGUUUUCUUGAUGGGGUAGUUUGUAAAUAUGAAGGUUUCAGCUACUUGAAAGUGAUAUGACUGUGAAAAUGACCUCCAUAGUUCCACUUAAGUGUGAGCGGACAGAGAAAUGACUUCUUGAAUUUGAGCUGAUUUUGAACUUACCCUUCACUUGAAUGUGAGCUGAUGGUGAGAUGACUACUUGGAUUAAAAAGGUAUCAUUCAGCUUAUGACUUCAUCAAGGACAGCAAGGCAUUUAACCUCAUUUGGAUGAUGCCUCUUGUUUUGUUUUUUGGCUUGAUAUGAUGAAAUAUGGGCUACAACAAAGUUUCAGCAAGAAGUAACAUUAUAUGAUACCCUAGCUUUCAUGUUAAGCCUUUUUUGAUAAAAAUAUCCAAACACACUCAGAAAUUCCCACUGAGCUUACAGCAGGAUAUUUUGCUUCUUAAAUUCCAAAUCCAAUCAAAGUAAAGCUUGCUAGAAAAUCCAAAAUGCAUUUACUGCUGGAACCUUUACUGAAGGCAUGUUUCAGUGGGCAAAAGGAAGAGCAUAUAUUUGAGAAUCAAACAAAAACUUGUGAGCUCAUUUAUUCUGGGGUGAGCAGAAAAGGAGAAAAUACUCAACAAGCAACAUUUGUAUAUUGCUUUAUCUAGUAUGGAUCAGUGUCUGCAUUUGCCUUCAUGGAACUGCCUGAUGCUAAGAAAUGGCAGAUUCAGAAGUGUAAUAAGAGGAUCAAAUAUGGGGGAAAUAAUACAGGAAUACAUCCAAGAAACAACCAAAAACUAUGGAUGUUGGAAUGGAACUGAAGUUUCCCAAUAACCUUACUAAAAUUAAUAAAUGAUGAACAAGAGAGGCUUAAACAGAUGGUUCAAUAUUUUUUUUUCCUGAGAAUUUUGAAUAUUGCCUUCAACCAUUCUUGGCAGACUAGUAGCAACCUGCAAAAUGUAAACCUAUACAUUCAAAAGGACCUCAUGAGAUCUGAAACUUUACCACCAUGUUACAGCUUUUCGUCAGUUUCGGGUAACCUGAAAUCUUUGUUACAAAUAUCAUCUAAAGGCAUACUAUGAACCAUAUUUAAAGAGGAACCCGAAGCAAAAGAAAUAGACAGCAUAACUAAAAAGAAAAGAAAAAAAAAAAAAGGAUGAAUUAUAAAGCAAUUUUAUUGCUCCAAGGAAUCAUAACCCAACUUGAAAACCUUUUUCAUGAUGCUUCCAAUUAUCUCCUUCAGGAUCCACAAUCCUAUCUUUUGUGUUCAUAUUUCCAAGAGAAAGGAAAAAAGAUUCCUCCCCUUAUGUGACCCCUUUUCUCUUUGUGGGUAACAGAUUAGGGGUUCUAUAUUCAAUGAUUCAGUGGCACAACAUAUUAUGUAAUACACACUAUUAUUACAGAUAAACAUCAAAAGAUGGUAAAUAUGGGCAAGGAAAACAAGGCAAACCCAUCAAGAACCCAAAAGUCCGAUUCUUCUUGGCCAUUCCAGGGAGCCCAUCAUUGAGAAGCCUAUCCAUUGAUUCUUUUGGUAUCAAUGAGGUCAUUCUUCAUGAUGCAAAUGCAUAUUAUCUUGUCGAUCACAUCAAGCAUAUUUGAAUGAUAACACAAGAGCCUUCUGAACCAUAUUUCAGAGAAAAUAAUCUGGUGCAGGUUUUUUAGCAGGAGCUCCUCUUGAUUCCUGCAUUUGUUACUAUAAUCUUUCAAUGCACCAUUACCAUAAUCAAUACAACAUGAUUAUUUAAUAAGAUAGAAAUGCAGCAAAAAAACAUAAUGUAUAAUGUGUCUUCUGCCUACAGGCCAUGCACAAUCAAGGGUCACAUGCCAUCCAAUUGGUGAAGCAUCACAUAUUGUGUGACUUGUAUAUGGGUUAAUUUCAGAAAGCUUAUCUGGGAAAACACAACGAAGAUUUCAAACCCUAUGGAGAGAAUAUCCCAAAAGUUCUGAAACCCUACAUGUCUCAGGAGUGCCCCUAGUGGUAUCAUAUAGGCAUUGCAGGUACCUUCUACAAAUAACCUGAGAACUUUUGUUCUUUUGUUCACCCAUUGAAUGUAUGGACCCCUCAUCUUAAGGAUAUAACACAAAACAUAGAUGGCUAGCAAGCAUUGUGUAUCAUGCUGCAAUUGCUGCUGCUUGAAAUGAUAAAAAAUUGCAUAAGUAAUUUUCUGCCUUUGUCAACAUUUGUCAACUGCAAAUGGGUAAGUGUACAAACUUGUGGAGCUGCUUCAAACACCCGGAACUCCUUAUUAAGAUUCUCAUCCAGCUCAAGAAUUGCAGCUACAUUACCACAUCUGCAAUGAGUCCAAGAGUGAAAUAAAUCAUAACCAUGGAAGAAAGAAAAUGCAGGACAGAUCAGAAUUGCUAAAUUUACCUGUAACAAUAAUUUGGGGCUGACCAGACGGUAACGAUUUGAUUCUUGAACAUCCACUUGUAUCCUUCCAUUACCAAUUGAUGGGCACGACAUAUAUAAUCAAUAUUAUUCUCAUGGUUAAAAGAAGCGACAACACUGCCACCAAAUAAGUAACCAGCACCCCGGGGACUCAAUCCCCAACCCUCUACAAUGUCUUCGGGAUCUGACCAUAGGAGGUCACACAUGGCACCGUCAUGGGGUACUUCUUGCUUCCGAUCUAUUGUUCGGAUCUGGCAUAGGGAUCGUGUUAGUAUCCAAAAUUAGGUAAAGAAACCUAACCAAAUAGUUCAAGAUAGAUCCUCUAACCUGGUCGAGUGUGGAUAUGGCAGGAGAGAGACCACCAUGGACACUAAAAAUCCUGUUCUCAAUGAGGGCCGACAGGCUGCAAUAAACCACCAUCAAGAAAUUCAAAAACACUAAGUACAAAGAAAUAACAAAGUGGACCUGAAUUUAAGUUGUGCUGGAAGCAGCUUAAUUACUGCAUGACUAGUAAUGACCAGAAAUAUAAUCUGAUGCCCCAUUCCAGAUCUUUCUUAAAGAAAUAUUUGCAUAGAUGCAAAAAAAUGUGUUUGCAUAUUAUACUUCAGCAUGUUUUUGUUUAGUUUCUACCUGAAAAGAAAGUUGGUUUGUUCCUGAAAAGCAGUGGUGCCUGCUUCUCUUAGAAUUCACUUUAAUAGUGAAAUUUCUUGGAUUCAUAAAAUUAAAACAUGUAAUGAAGCAUUGUUUUCAAUGUCAUAUGUGAGGUUCAGUUACAGGUCAUGCUUACAUGCUUUCAAAACACACAUUAUAUGGGAAAAUUGAAAGUGCACUAAAAUCAUAAUGGCCAUAUGGAAAGAAGUAAGCAGCAGCAUACAUGUCUGACACAAGUGCAAUAACUCACCAACCUCAAAAAACCUGAAUUGUAUCUAAGAUUGAAAACAAACAGAAGUCUUGGUGACACACAUGGAUGAUCUAUCCAACAUGACAAAAGACAAAAGGCAAAACUAGCAUAGUCCUUGUUACAUAGCAGUCCUAUCUUAGGUUGUAAUUGUAACUUGUAAUCAUCACUAACUUGCCUGAGUAUCAUAUACAAUCAACUCAAUUUCAUACUAUCCCAAACAUAAUUUGGUUGAUAAUUAUGAAACAGUCACAAAUUUCAUGCUGGAAAAUAUUUGGUCAUACUUUUCAAUUCCCAGCAUUUCCUAACACCCAACCCAAUUGCCACUCUACAGUUUUUACUCCUUCCUUAACUUCCAUCAGACAGAUGCCCUGUGUUUUUUCUAAUGCAAAUUUACAAACCUUAAGUAAUCAAAUAUAUCGGUGCAGUAUCUCCAAACAUUCACAGAACCAUAUUUACGCAGACACUCGUCAUAGAAUCCGUAUACCUGCUAAGAAAGAAUAGACAGUAAAAUACACUCAUCAUAGAAUCGGUAUACCUGCUCAGAAAGAUUAGACAGUAAAUUUGCUGAAUGAUUAAAUAGCCCAAACAAAUAUGUAAAUUAAAGGCUUAACCUGUGUGAUCUGACGACUCUCAUGGUUUCCUCUAAUAAGCGUUAUUCGAUCUGGAUAUCUCACCUGAUUUUACACAACUUGUCAGUUGAAAUCUAAAAUGAACCAAAAGAGAUAAAAAUACUUCAGUCAACUAAGUAAUACUCCUGAACACUUCACCUAGGCAACCAAAGGAUAAAAACCCAACUGGAUUUUUUGAAAUACAUGAACUUGGUCAGCAAGAUCAUAAAUGUGAAAGCUAUUUGCAGGUCACUAUCUGGCAAUGGCAACUUAAGACAGAAAAGGCACGGUCAACCAAUUAAAUUUGAAUUUAUACAAAGCUUCAGGCGCUCCACAUAAUGGGAAUGGCUUCCAAAACAUCAUUAAAAACAGAAGAAUAAGCUUCAAGAUAGCCAGGAAACUAACAAGCAGGUCUUCACAUAUUUAACCAGAAGACAGGACGAACAAAAAUUCUAAAGGAAGUACAUAGUGGCAAGAAAGGACCUAGGGCAGUCUGAAGAAUUACUUUUUUUUAUGGGUAAACACAAAAGAGAAUAUAUUAAAUAGACAAAGGAAGCCCGAAAGGCAACCCAAAGCAUACAGGAAGUAUACAAAAAAUGUCAAAAGGCUAAAAAGAGCAAAACAGGAGGGAAAACAAAAACCUCACCCGUCCUCACCUAGAGCCCAUCCAAUCAAAAAAGUCAAUUAAAGAUAAAGGGUCAGCAUCUAUAUACAACUUUAUCCAAUACCAUAAACUACACACAAAAGAAUACUUCAACCUAUGUACUGAAAACCCUUCAUCAUCAAACGCUAUCCUAUUUCUUUCUUUCCACACCGCUCAAAAAAGGCAAGAAGGAGCCAGCUUCCAAGCUUUUUUGCGCUUCUUGUCCACGAAGGACCCAAACCAACCAAAGAGAGUCUCCCUUACCAAACAAGGGAGCACCCGAGUCACCCCAAAGAGAGCGAAUAAUAACUCCCACAAAACUCUAGUCUUCAUGCAGUGAAUUAAGAUGUGAUUAGUAGACUCCUCUUUGGCUAGACAAAAGAAACAUCUAUCGGCAAGGGACCAUCCCGUCCUUUUGAGUUGAUUCAAAGUUAAAACUUUCCCCCAUGAGGCCUCCCAAGCAAAAAAACCCACUCUUGGAGGAACAUAAGGGCUCCAAAUUAUUUUUCUUGGAAACCGGACUGUACUUUCAGGCUCCUCAGCACUGUAAAGAGACUUAACUGUGAAAAAAACCUAUUUUUUGUCUUUUUCCAAAUCACCUUAUCCUCCAUUUCUGCACUAACUCUCUUACUUUGAAUUGUCAUGAGCAACCGCUCCACCAAGACUACCUCCCAAUCAUUGAAAACCGAAGGGUCCCACACCUCCGCUACCCACUCCUCUUUAGAAACCGCCAAAGCAAACAAAGAGGGAAAAGAGUUGCACAAAGCCUCAUCUCCACACCAAGAGUCCAACCAAAAUCUGAUUCUUCUUCCAUUACCCACGUAAAACACAAUGUAGUUGCUCAACCGAGAACCUUCAUUUCUAAUCUCCUUCCACAACCCCACACCAAAACCCUCCCUACCUUCCCGGAUAUACCACCCCCCUUCUUCCACUUCAUACUUCCUACUCAUAACUUGAUUCCAAAGAACCUCCUUAUCUACCAUAAAGCGUCAACUCCAUUUACCCAAAAGAGCUCUAUUAAGAGUAGAGAGGCAUUUGACACCCAAACCCCCUUUACUUUUAUCCGAGCAAACAACCGACCAUUUAACAAGAUGAAUCUUCCUCUCCAAAGCCCCCCCGCCCCAAAGGAAAUCCCUUUGGAUUUGCUCAAGUCUCAAUCUAACCGAUCUAGGCAUACGCAUAAUUGACAUAUAGUAAAUAGGUCUGUUAGACAAAGUGUUUCGAAUGAGAGUGAGUCUCCCUCCUUUAGAUAUAUAUUGCCUCUUCCAUAAUGCUAAUCUCCUCCAUAACCUCACCUCCACNNNNNNNNNNNNNNNNNNNNNNNNNNNNNNNNNNNNNNNNNNNNNNNNNNNNNNNNNNNNNNNNNNNNNNNNNNNNNNNNNNNNNNNNNNNNNNNNNNNNUAACCUCACCUCCUCCCCAUCUCACACCGCCACUGAAUUGUGAGGUGCACCCAAAGGCAGCCCUAAAUAUAAAGACGGGAGCUUCCCCACCUUACACCCAAGCUCAAGUGCCAGCACCUCCAAAUUCUCCACCUACCACACUGGAAUGAUCUCACUUUUAUCCAGAUUAAUUCUUAAAGCAGAAAUGACUUCAAACCACAACAACACCUAGCUUAGGUGAGCCAAUUGGUCCUUGGAAGCAUUACAAAAAAUCAAUGUGUCAUCAGUGCACAACAAAUGGGUGAGUUGAACUCCCUCACCACCCCUCCCUUUAACCCUAUAGCCUAUCAAAAAACCCCCCACUAACUGCUCUCUUGAUCAAACAGCUCAAAACAUCCAUACCUAAUACAAAAAGAUAAAGAGAAAGGGGAUCCCCUUGUCUCAACUCCCUAGAGCUGUUAAAGAAACCUGCUAGUGUGCCAUUCACCAACACCGAGAAAGAAGCUAUAGAAAUACAUCACUUAGCCUACCCUACCCAUUUGUCACCAAACCCCAUUUUCCUCAAUACCUAGAGCAAGAAAUCCCAUUUUAAAUGGUCGUAUGUCUUUUCUAUAUCAAGUUUACACAUCACCACGCAUUCAUUACUUUUCAAAAGAGAAUCUACAGCCUCAUUAGCUAUUAGCAGUGCGUCCAGAAUCUACCUCUCCUUAACAAAAGCAUUUUCAGACAAGGAUACCACCUUACCCACCACUUGCUUCAGCCUAUUAGCUAACACCUUUGCUAACAGUUUGUACAACCAUCCCACCAAACCGAUAGGUCUGUAAUCUCUCAGGUCCUCAACAUCUCCCUCCUUUGGGACCAGCACCAAGAAGGUAGAGUUCAAACUUCUAACAUGCUCAUGAAAAUCUCGGAAAAAACCCAUCACCUCCUCUUUCACCAAAUCCCAACUAGACUGGCAAAAAACUAAGGAAUAACCAUCUACCCCCAAAGCUUUGUCCCCACCUAGAUCAAAAAGAGCAGAGACAACCUCUUUAACAGAGAAAGGCUCCUCUAGCCUAGUUGCCUCUUCGCCUUCUAAUCUGUCAAAAACUAACCCACCCAAACUUGGACUCCAACCACCAAGGUCCGACAACAAGUGCUGAAAAGCACUAACCACAGCCCCCUGAAUCUCCCUCUCCUCAACUAUCCAAGAACCAUUAAUUUUAAUCUUGGUCAGAUUACUCCUUCUAUGACAAUUCGCCAUCCUGUGGAAAAAACCUAUAUUCCUGUCACCUUCCUUCAGCCACACUUCUCUAGAUUUUUAACUCCGGGAGAUUUCCUCCAUGAGAACUCAUUUCUUAUAUUCCUCCUUGGCCUCCUUUCUUACCUCCCCCUCCUCCACCAAUAAGGCUCUAGACCUCUCCUCACUAUCCCAUAAAUUGACAUGUUGUAAUGCCAAACUCUUAUUCACCUCCACCUUCCCAAACACCUUGUUCUAGGUUUUCAAAACACCCUUAAGAGCCUUCAACUUUGCUGCCAAAAUGAAACUGCUAGAACCCCUGAAAUUGAGCCCUUGCCACCAGUCUUUUAAAAGGUCUUUAAACCCCUUCUUCUUCAACCACAUAUUCUCAAAGCGAAAAGGCAAAGGACCUCUCCUCACCCUUCCACCAUCUAAUAGGAUAAAAUAGUGAUUAGACACUNNNNNNNNNNNNNNNNNNNNNNNNNNNNNNNNNNNNNNNNNNNNNNNNNNNNNNNNNNNNNNNNNNNNNNNNNNNNNNNNNNNNNNNNNNNNNNNNNNNNAGUGCCAAAUCAUCAAUCACCUCUGAAAAUCUUCUCAUUGCAGCCAACAACCUCCCUCCUCUACUACGCUCACUAGGGAACCUUGACACAUUAAAGUCCCCUCCAAUGCACCAAGGGUCAUCCCACAGCUCACAGAUAGCCCCCAGCUCCUCCCAAAAAGGCUCUCUACAUCUCUUUGAUAUGGGACCAUAAACGCCCGUAAAAACCCACACAAAACCAUCCUCGCAAUUUCUAAAACGACAAGAUCGAGAACUGACCCACCUCCAUGCCAAUCAAUUGGAACACUCUGUUAUCCUAAAAAACCACCACCCCUCAGGGAGUUCCCCUCGCAUUAACUGCACCCCACUCCAAAAACCUCCCACUCCAAGACUAUGCACCAAAUCUGAAGAAUUACAAAACAAGAAAAAUAUUGCAAACCAAAAAUCCAUCAAGCUAAAUCAACUUUGUUCAACAUUACAGAGGACAAGCAAUUUUUUUGCCUCCACAUAUGAAUUGAUAAGCCUCCUCCUGCCAGAUGGGGAAUAGAAAACACUUUAACAUAGUUUCCUGCAGCCUCUCCUUCAAAACCAGGACCAAGCAAGACCUUCAUCACUUCCUACACUGAGAAAAACCAGUCAAGAGAUUUUGUUCACAAGGACUCCAGAAGCAAGUUCAUUCUGUGGUCCAGACCCACAUACUUCAGACUGAACAAAAUUUUGUUGACCAGAAAUUAUUUUUUUCCUACUUUGUCUCUAUUAUUUAUGGUAGAAUAAAAUUUAUUUUAUUUUGUGAUUCUCCUCGUCUUUUUGGACUUAUCAUAUGUUUCCUUCAAGUUAGAAGAAUAUUUUACUUCCCUUCUUGUUAAGACUUGAGAGAAUGUUUUAUUUUCAUCUAGAAUAAAAUUAUUUUAUGCUGUGAUUCUCCUCGUCUUUUUGGACUUUCUUAUCAUAUGUUUCCUUCAAGUUAGAAGAAUAUUUUACUUCCCUUCUUGUUAAGACUUGAGAGAAUGUUUUAUUUUCAUCUAGAAUAAAAUUUAUUUUAUGCUGUGAUUCUCCUUGUCUUUUUGGACCUUCUUAUCAUAUGUUUCCUUCAAGUUAGAAGAAUAUUUUACUUCCCUUCUUGUUAAGACUUGAGAGAAUGUUUUAUUUUCAUCUAGAAUAAAAUUUAUUUUAUGCUGUGAUUCUCCUUGUCUUUUUGGACUUUCUUAUCAUAUGUUUCCUUCAAGUUAGAAGAAUAUUUUACUUCCCUUCUUGUUAAGACUUGAGAGAAUGUUUUAUUUUCAUUUUUCUGAAUUAGGAGAACUAUUGUUUUUGUUCAGCAGCAUGUACAUGAUUGAGGAUGAUGAAUGGAAAUGAGUUUUUUCUUUCAACAUGGUAUCAAAGCAGGCAUAAAACCUAGGACAGCACCCACCACCAUAACCAUCCAUUACCCCUAAUCUCUUUAUACAAAUAGCCCAAAACCUUUCAUGGACCACCUAACCAUCAGUUUCUGAAUUCCCUAUGCUUUCUUAUCUAUCUUCAACACCCUUCAUUGAUAACUAUGGUAUGAAGUUCGUUAGUACCUACUGCACCCCAUGGAGCCAGUGUUUUCUGUUAUGCCGUUAAACUUAAUGGCACCAAUUCUGCUUCAUGGACAAAAACUGUUGAGAUCCAUCUGGUAACACGGGGAAGAAAGAAAUAUCUAUCUUUGUCUAAAGAUACAAAGGAGUUCACUCUCUAGAAAAAACAGACACUAGGGUAAUGACUUGACUCUAAAAUAGCCUCUACCGCUAUGUUCUUCAAUACAAGUAAAUUUGGGAUGCACCAAAAAGAGGCAUAGUCAGGUUCACAAUAUUUCCAAAAUUUAAGACUAUUUAGCAAUCUUCUAAUCGUUAUGGAGUCCUGCAGAGAGUGUGGGAGGAACUCAACGUCUGCCAUCCUCUCACCACCAAUCUUAAGGUACUUCAUAAACAAAGAGUUCAGAAUAGCAAAAUUCUCAUCCAACUAAAUCCAGUAUAUGGGAGUUCUAAAAAUAGAAUCUUUACAAGAAAAAAGGAGUUGUCAUCAGUUGUGAGACAUAUGCUCCUCUCCAAAGAAUAAGGUUAUCUUCCUUAUCUUAGUGAAACAUAUUCUUGUCUCUAAAGAAUAGGAUUAUCCUCCUUAUCUAUUUCUAAGCCUACAAAUCAAUCAUCUCCAGAAGGUUCUACACUUUUCUUUUUUGGAGGUUGUGGAAGAGGAAGCUCCGAACAUGGUCUCAAAUAUGGUAGAGGCUGAGAAGGUAGAUUUCUUUGCAUUCAGUGUGGGUGUAACAAUCACCCUUUAGAGAAGUGUAGAAGUAGGAUAAAAUUUGGUAAGCCAUGAACUAAUCAAACUCAUAUGAUAUUUUGACUCACUUUCUGGGAAAUUUUGGCAUCAGUACAUAUGUACUUUUUAUGACUCAACCCUUUAUUUCUUUGAUUCUAGCACUAGUCUUGGUCUAGUCUUGAGUUACUCAUCUUUUUCACUCCUAUCCCUGUCCCAACUCCAAUAAUAUCAUCACCUCAACCACUAAAUGUAAGAAAGAGAUUUUUGACAACAAAGUAACCAACAAGAAGAUAUCUCUUAUUACCAUGCCUUCUACCAUAAAACUAACUCGAAUAAAGAUCCUAGUUCAUUUCGUGUUAAUGCAAUUUUACACCUUGACUAACUUAUUGCUCUCAAGAAAGGAAACAGAUCCACUUUCAAGUAUCCAACUUCAUAUCAUGUUUCUUUUGACAACCUCUCUUCCUCUAUUUGUUCUUUUACUUUGCCUUUGUCUGAUAUAUUCAUUCUAAAGAACUAUCAUGCAGCACUUCCUCAUCUUGUUUGGCAGAUUGCCAUGGGGGUUGAGAUGAAAGUUUUUUGUGAUUAUGGCAGUUAGGUUUUACCUAAUUUUCUAUCUGGUAAGGAAGUUGUUGAAUGUAAGUCAGUAUUUACAAUCUAAUCUCAACCUGAUGGGUGAAUCCAAAAUAAAGGUUUGAGAUGUUUCUUUAGUUUCCAAGCUUAAUUUUGUUUGUAUCCUUAUAUCCUUGGUAAUUUCCAUGACCAUGCUUUAUCAACUUGAUUGAAAAAUACAAUCUUAUAUAGCAACCUAUAGGAAGAAGUUUUUAUGGUGCAACCUCCAUGUGUUGCAGCUCGGAAAGGAGGUGAGACAAGGUUUGCAAACUGAAGAUAGCAAUUUAUGGUUUAAAACAAUCACCAGAUCCAAUUUGAUCAAUUAAGUGAAGUUCCUGCUUCCCUCUAGUUUCAACACUAACUCUUUGAUGAUUCUGUGUUUGUAAAGCACACCAUCAUCCUUGUUCAUGUGAAUGAUAUAAUUACUUUUGAACUGAAAGACAUAGAGGAGGUAAAGAGUCAAUUGAAGAAACACUUCCAAUUAAAAAGACUUGGGAAAGCUCAAGUAUUUUCUUAGCAUUUAAGUCACUAAAAGCAAAAGACAAAUGUUCUAUCCCAAAGAGAAGUAUGUUCAGAACUUCUUUACAAAAACUGGUAUACUAGGUUCAUAACAUCAGCUACUCCUAUGGAUCCCGGCUUACAGUUGACAGAUGAAAAGAGUAGUUCAUUUGAUGACCAAAGAAAAUUAUGAGCCACUAAGAAAAUUGAAUUUUUUACAAUAACAAGGCUAGAUAUUACAUUUGCUAUCAGUUCUAUCAGUGAAUAUGGGUACCCUGGAUAAAUCCAUCAAGAAGCUGAUUGUACAGUCCUUCGAUAUUUCAAACAAACAACUGAUGUAGAUGUGUUAUACAAAGAGGGUGGUAUUCAAGUGGGUUUCCCGUCCUGGACAGACUUCAUUAUCUAGUUGGGCUCUAAGUAUUAGACUGGAGUUGUAGUUGUGGGUUGUGUCUUUUUGCUUUUUAGAUGUAUGCUUUUUGAGUAUUACGUGCGUUCCCUUUUGUUGGCUGGUGCUUUCAAUAUAUUUUCAUAUGCCUAUCAAAAAAAAAUGUGUUGAAAAAAAAAGUCAAAGUUUGGAUGUGCUUAGCUUCUCAUAUGCUAAUUAGCCAGGUUCUAAGUUUGAUGGAAGAUUUACCAAUGGGUAUUUUACUUUUGUAGGUGGUAAUUAGCCACUUGAGGAGCAAAAAGUCAGACAUUGAUGCCAAAUCUACCAUAGAGUUAGAGCAUUGUGCAAUGGCUCCUAAGGCUUGUGAACUUAUGCAGAUAAAGCAUCUGCUGAAGGAACUGGGAGUUAAUAUUAAAAACCCUUCAGUAGCCUAUCAAAAAAAUAUAUAUUUUAAAACCCUUUGGCAAUGUAAUGUGAUAUCUUGCAACUUAUAUUGCUGGUAAUCUUUUAUAUCAUGAGAGAAACAAAACACAUUGAGGUUGACAGUCAUUUUAUUAGAGAGAUGCAUAUGAAAGGAGAAGUUAUCAUUCCCUAUAUCAAGUAAGAAGAUCAAAGAGAAUAUUAUUUCACUAAAGUUAUGGCCAAGGGUGCUUUCUUGCAUCUUUGCUCCAAGCUGAGCAUUGACAACAUCUAUGCUUUAACUUGAGGAGUGUCGAAACUAUUUAUGGUGGAAUUACAUAUUUAUUUUGUUUUGUGAUUCUACUUUUUUGACUUUCUAAUCAUAUUUUCCUUUUAAGUUCAAAGAAUAUUUUGUUUCCUUUUUGUUAAGAUAAUAUUUUAUUGACCCCUAUAAUUAAGUUGGGUCAUUCAUGAUUUGAUGUUUCAAAUGGAGAUCCUCUUCAAUUAUAUGUGUUCAUUGGGUUUGUUGGAUAGAUCCAAUUUCUAUUAAAUUCUAGUCUCUGUUCUUCCGGAAUUAUGUCUUAUGAAAUUCAUCUGACCAGCCUAUUACCAUUACCAUACUGCUUUCCAUUCAAUAUAUUGAAAACUUUAAUGGUGCAGAGCAAUUUUUCACCAAAUAAAAAUUAUUUGAUUAGAAAGGUGUGGUCCCGUUACCCACAUUCAGUCACUAGAACACUAAAUAAUGUGCCUACUUAUGUACAUGCUAGCAUACAUGUGAAAUCCAGGAGUUAAUCUGAAAAGGUAUAAUUUUUAUUUUUUUUCUUUUGAUAGGUAAAAAAGCAAUUAUAUUAAAAAAUCUGGAAAAGGCGCACCAAAGUACACACGAAGAAUACAAACAACACCAACAGGCAACCACCACCCAAACAUAACCGAAGCCCUAAAGACCUAGUAACCUAGCAUGCCCCCACCCAACCCUCUUGCCUUCUUCGUUCCCAUCCCCAGAAAUUUCCCACUCCUUGGUUCCACUCCCUUAGGGCCAACAUCAGAUGCACCUUUGAUUUCUUAAAGCAAAGUAGAUCUUCCCCUUGAACCAUUUGAGAGGAACUUCAGCUUUACCCUGCAAAUUUUGAGAUGGAUCCCCACUGCUCCUCCCCCUACCCCUAUCUUAAUACAAGAUAGCUUUUAUAAUUAACCAAGCAUUCUAAAUUCCAAAUCUCCCUCUUUUUUUUUCUUUUUUUUUGAUAGGUAAAUGAGAGAAUAUAUUAAAGAGCGCUAGCAAAAAGGCGCAUUAAAGUACACAACGAAGUAUACAAUGCACGCCAAAGGGAUAGCAAGAGAGAAAGGGAAAUAUCAACCACCCUAAAGCCAACCAAACCACAACAUCCUAAAACAAACGGACUCUCCCUAGCAGGAAAGACCAGCACUAAAAACACAAGAGGAGAGCAAUUGUAGUUAACCUAUCAAAUCUCCCUCUUGAAAUGGGAUAUUGGGAUUGGCUUUCUUUUCCCCCCUGAAGGGAAGCCAUUACACUGCCUCCUCGCCUCCAUCUUCCUUAUAAGGCAGAUAAUUUCCUUUCCAAAACCCACAACUAGCACCCCCACAAAAUUACCAAAACUUGCCAACUUACAACAAAGUGAUUAGGAAUAUUAGUAGUUUGAUUUGGAACAAAUUGAAAGGAUUUUGGUUUUAGCCUACAAGGUUUGUAAAGCAACUCUUCUUAUUUGCAGCAUUAACCCACACAGUUUAUGAACUGGGGGGCAAUUUUCUUAAUGAAAAAAUCUCUAAUGUUUCCCAAAAAAGAAUAUUAAAAAAGACAUUCAUAUUGCUAAGUUCUUAUGUCUGACUCAUUACAGACGUUUCAUAUAGCUAUUAGAAGCAGCAGCAAAGUCACAGUUCUACUGUUUGAACCAUGGAUUUGACUUCAACUUUGCAGACUAAUUCCAGAUGUUUGAAAAAGUAAGUGCCUGAAGAAACCAAAGAGAUUUAUGCAUAACAUAGUAGUAAAGUUGCACAGAUUCCCAACACAAGAUAUUAUAUUAUUUAAUUCUCACACUAGGAGAGACAGGUUGAAGAAAUGUGAUAGGUUAGCCAUUGCAGAUGCUUUGCUCAUUCAUCCCUCAAAUAUAAUAGAUAAGCUAUGAGAAUUUUUAUUAAAGACGAUGUGAUAAAAAAAUGAUACAACAAUAAACACUAUACACAGAAUCCAUAUUUGGAAAGAAAACAUACAAGAAAUUGCCUCAUGGAAUAUAAAGAUAGCCUAGCGAUAGAAUCAUCACAAUUGUGGAGCACAAGUUAACUAAAAGGCAUCAAAGAACUAAUCUUCCUCACAAAAAAUCUCAUACAUUCCCAAAUUUGUUAAAUAAAUAAAUUAAAAUAAAUUUCUUUAUGGAAGCGACACCUGGUUAUUUUCUCUAUGUUUUUUGCCUUACUCUAGUUUUUUGGACAAUAUCCAAUCAAAUGAAAUGGCUCAAAUUGUUCAAUAGCAUUAUCAAGGUUGAUAAUACCUAGGUGUGUUACAACAAAUGGGUGGCACGCAUCUUAUAUCACUAAUCUUAAAUAGGAACUAAAUUAAAGAAAUAAACAGCCCAUCAAAUAAGCUUUUCCUUAGGGCUGCAACUUGAGCAGGUUUAACAAACCUAGCCUAAACACAACCUGAUUUUGGAUAAGCUUGGGCAGUUGUAAUCUAGGUUGGACAUGAGCAAAAUCAAGUUGCCUUGGGUUGGCACAAAAGGUAACUUGAAUCCAACCCGUACCCAAUUGUCUAUUCUUAUAAAUUUAAGCACACAUGUACAGUUAUACAUAUUUAAUAUUUUAAACUUUCUAACCUAAUCAAAUACAAAAAGAGUUUAAAACCCUAAAUCUGCUAAACAUAUUUCUUGUAUUUAAUGUAGCAUAGGGUUAAUGUUAUUAUGUUGAUUUUACAUAUUGGAUUAGCGAUUUCUAAACUUUCUAAUGAAAUUGAUGUAAACUAUAGUUUUUAAUUCUUUUUAAGAACAGGUUCAUUAGUAAAAGAUUUAAAUGAGAUGAAUGUUAUAUAUAUAGCGAUUAGUUUUAAAAGUUGAUUUUGAUAUAAUUUUUUAUUGCAUUUCGGUUAGCUAUUCUCACAUUUGGUUUAGAAACUUUAUAGUUAAUUUCAUUGUUAAAUGUAAGUUCAUAGUAGGUUGAUUUAAAAAGGAAAAAUUAAUUUAAUAGUCAAUUCCUCAUUAAAUAAAUGAAAAUCUCAAAUACUUAUUUUCAGCUCAUCUUAAUGCGAUUAAUCCAUAUUUUUUGACCCAUAAAACCCACCUAAUCCAAGCAAACCUAUAUGUACUUUCACUAACCCAAGGUUAACCUAAUCUCAACCCCAAAUUUAAAAAAAUAGGCUUGAAUCGAGCUAGAGCUUGAGAUCCUGGAUUGAGCAUCGACAUUGAUUAGGUUUUAGAUACAUGAGUUUCAUGUUUGGCUUGAGCUUGGAUUGACCAUCAACCCAACCUGUCAAGUUCCACCCCUAAUUUUCCUUGGAAAGACCAUACUCUAGAAGCAUGGAUGCAAAGAAUUCAUUCCCUGAGCAUUUGAACGAAAUGGCUGGAAUGUCAAACCUCUCAAAACAAAGUAAACAAGACCUCUGGAAAAAAUCCAAUUUCUAGCACCUGGAUAUAUAAUUGGACAGGGCCUGUCUCAUCCAAAAGAAAUCAUGUAUAAUUUUCCAAGGAAAAAGGAUAUGGAACAUUACCUUCAGAGCUAGCAGAAGCAGAAAUGUUUCAACAGAGUAAAAACCUCUGUCAACAAAAUCUCCAAGAAACAAGUAGUUUGUCUUUGGACAAUCACCUCCUACUUUGAAAAGCUCUUUCAUGUCAUAGAACUGCCCAUGAAUGUCACCACAUAUCUAUUUAAACAAAAACAACCAAAUAAGGUCAAGAAACCUAAGCAACAAUUAAGAUCAACAUUCAGAAAAUUUAUCAAAGAAAUGACCCCACAAAGAUACAAGUUUAUAGGGUUUGUGGAAAACAGUGAUUAUACAAAUGGAGUUUCCAUUAUUUGCACAAAAACAAAAAAAAGGAACAUUACUAAGGGAGAAUGCUAAUUCUUUGCUUUCUUUUUUUUCUUUGAAAAAAAACCAUAAUAAACUUUAAAAUGGGAAUUAUAUUGGCUCAACAAAAGGAUGUGAGUACUUUUCCACCAGUUGUUACUUUUAGUGUCACAUUGAUCAUAAUCCACCACUUGAUAAGCCACAUCUAGCAGGUCUCCAAGCUUCGAAUGGUCAGUCCAUUUAAAAGAUUUUAAAUGAGAUUCCAGGAAUCCUCCUGAAAGCAUGACAGACAGCAUGUCUAGUCCAAUUAAUGGAACUUUUUUAUAAGACUAGUUAAUAAAACAAUUUAUCUCAGGAUGAUAGAGUAUAAUUUAAAGUAGGAGCUCACAUGAUUAAAAUUUACCAAUGUAAACUCAACAUUGAGGCAUCAUAACCUUUAACUAUUUAUAAAAAUGAAUGUGCAAAACUUAUGUAGGAAAUCUCUAAACUAUAGUAGCUGCAGCAACAUCUCCAACUAAUUACUUCCUUCAUUACUUCAUGACAACUAGGGUAGCAAAUGGACCACAUUUAGGUUUGGGGUUCGAUUCCUAAAACUUUAGAUAGCCUUGGUCUGAAGCCAAACCUAAAUAACUUGAAUGUCCCAGUCCAACCACUCAUUUUAUAGAGCUAAAUACAACCAAACAGUUAAAUAACUCAAAAUCGCCUAGUUGUCACCAUGAACCAUAUGCUUGAUGUUCAAAAUGGUAUCUACAUAGUCCAACAAGUUAAAUUAUACAAAGCAACAAACUCUGUAACUAUCUCACAAUUUAUCGUCAUGGGACAGCAUGCACAUAAAAAUAGGCUCAAUGUCUCUUAUUGACUUUAUAGAUUGGGUGCAUUCUUGGCGAGGGAGGGAGUGGUUGUCUUUGGGCUGUCCUCUCCCUCUAGGGUUGUUUCUAUUGGUACUCUCUAUAUACACCCUGUAUACCUUGGUGUAUAGCCUCCUUGUUUGUUAUUUAUAAAAUUUACCCUUUAAAAAAAAAAGACCUGGUACUCAAGCAAACCAAUUCCCUAAUUCAUAUUCACACGGAAUAGGUCCAUUAAAAGAUCAACUAAGCCUCUAACCCAAACCAACUGGGCCAACCCACACAUCACACCAAAUCCAUAUUCAGAUUAAUCUCACAUAAUGACUACUUAAACUGUCCAAGAGACCAUCAUAGGAGCAACUCAAAUUCUAAGCCACUUACUCAAGUAAAGACCUAACACAAAUUCGAUCAUUACUAAAGUGAAACGCAGGGGGUUAGUUGAUUCAAAACAAGUUGCAAAGAAUCAAAGAUUAUAAGCCAGUUUUCUUUAGAGGUAACAUACAUGUGCAUGAGGGAUGUUCACAGUACCUGGAUUGAAAUCCAAGUAUGUUCCUCGUUACAAGCCAACAUAUUAAAUAACAAUCUGCUCUAAUUUCGAACACUGGCCUGAGCCCCAAUUUCACAAUCCAAUAUGUUGUCAAAUAAUAUUAAGUUCAGACACAAAAAAAAUCAUCCUGCUACCUACUUAGGGUUUAACACUCAAAAAGUACCAAAAUGCUUCUUCUAAAGCAUCCAUUCAAAGAAUUCACAAAGUUCCUCCCCCACUUCCUUCUAGUUAUUAAGACAAUAGAAUUAAUAUUCAAAUAACAUCAUCUUCCUCGCAUACACAUGUAGAUAGAGAGAUUUAGAUUUUCAGUUAAAAUUUUGACAAACAUGAAAAUUUAAACACAACCCAGUUUUCCAAAAUCACUCAACCAUGAAAGCCCAAAACCAGAUCGAACCCAAAACCCAAAAAAAUAAAAAAAUAAAAAGCCCUGCCCAGCAACCGCUGCUCCCACUCAAUCACAGACGCCCAAACGGAGGAAGCUAGCUCAAUAAACGCACACCCCCUGUCUCCUCUAAUUUGGUUUUACCUCCCUACUGGGUAUCCGCAAUAGAGAGAGAAAGAGAGAGAGAGAGAUAGAGAGAGAGAGAGAGAGAGAGAGAGAGAGAGAGAGAGUAUUGAGGCAUACCGUGACAGGAGCAUCGACCCUCUGAACAUUGCUCUCUUCAACCAGGAUUUCCAUGGCUUUGAGGCAAAGGGCCUUCACUUCCGACUCCUUCAGAGGCUCGCACUUCUUCAGCUGCUCUAUUUGCCUGUCUAGGUCUGACAUCUCUCUCUCCCCCCCUCUUCCUUUGACCCAAUAAAUACCUCCUUAUAAGGUUUAUUCCUUCACCCUCCCACCCCCCUCUCUCUCUCCCCCUCUCCCCCUCUCCCUCCCUCUCUGUCUCUCCCUCUGGUGUGGUUCACUGCCUUUUGUGGGUCUCUCUUUGUGGCUGUGUGGAGCUUUAUGCAUUUGGACCUCUUGCCGCUCUACUUUGGUAUAUUUCCCAUCUUCCCUCCUAUUCUCUUUGUAUUUUUGGUUUUGCCCUUUUCUCUCUGCCACUCCUAAAUCAUAUAUUUAAAUCUACAAAAAUAAAUUUGCGCCACAACAUUUUUUCUCAAUUUUAAUUGAAAUUAUAAUUAAAUACACAAAAAUAAACUUUCUAUCCCUACUCUUAUUUAAUACGGAUCAUGACACAAGGCACCUUCUAACCUUUCUUAUUUAUCAAAUUUAAGAUAAUUAUUUUUAAUAUUAUUUAUCAAAUUAAAAAUAAUUAUUUUUGGUGUUGGAGAUGUGCCCCAUCAAAAGUCGUGGUUCAUGUCACAUGACCUUUUUAUAUCUUAUUGGCGCAUGUGGGUUUCCAUGGCCUAUGUGGUGACUGGUGGGUGACAACUUGGUCUUGGAAUUAUAUUUGAUAAAAUGAGAGAAAAAUGGAAAGGAAGAUACAAUUCAUAGGAUUUAAGGCUUAUUUGGUAAUGAUUUUUCAAAAUAAUAAUUAGUAUUUUUAAAUGGUAUAUUUUAAUUAUUUUUAUUUAUUUUAUGAGGAUUAUUUUAAAAAAUAAUCAUAUAAAUAUGGAUAUAUAAAAAUUAUUUUUAAAUUAUAUUUAACAACAUAAAAAACAUUCUAUAAGACAUUUCAACUUCCAAAGCAAAACAUGGUGUAACAAUUUCUAAAAAUUGUUUUUUAAAAUCGUUUUCAAAACACUUUCCAAAACUUUAUCCCUUUAUAUUUAUAUUUAUACUAUUUAUUAUAUGGUAUGAAAAUAUAUUUUUCAUGAAUAUGUUUGUUUUAAUGCGGUUAAAAAAGAAAAAUGAGAGUAUUUUAUAAAAUAAAAAAUACUAAAAACUAAUUUUUAAAUAAUAUAAUGUUUUGUUCAUUUAUAUUAAGGUGUGUGAAACCUAAUUGUUAUUUUAAUAGUAAAGGCAUUUUAAAUUGGGGUGUUUUAGGGAUGUUAUACAUAUGAUUUGGUUAUUCUAUUUAUAUUAUGUUUGGAGUAACCAACUUUGUCAUAGUUUUAUUUUUUGGGUAUUAAAAGAGAUAGAAAAAGUCGAGAGAAAAACCUAGAGGGUGAUUCUUUUUUAAAUUCUCUUGUAACAAUAUACACUCAACCAUGAAGAUAUUGUGCACUUUGAGCCUAAAUGGGUCUCACGACUUUAAAAUACGUUUACAAGGUUAGGAAGGGUUCAUACUUAUAUAACGUCAAUAAUUUUUCAUCUAUUUGAUGUGAAAUAUUAUAAACACCCCCGCAAACACAAAUGGGAUUAUAGGGUCAAUAGCUAAACAAAUCUUCACACGAGGGUGAGGGAUUUUCUCCGAUACCAUUUAUAAUAACCCGCACUCAACCAUGUAGGUAUUGUUUGUUAUUUCCCUAAGGAACUCUCAUGGUUUUAAAACACAUCUACAAGGUUAAGAAUGACUCAUAUUUAUAUAGCACCCAUAUAAUUUCCUUAACUUAGAGGUCUCAAGUUCAACUCCUUGUCGAUCAAGUAGGAUCCUUUCCCAAUGAUGAGAAAUAAAGUAUAACACGUCCCCACUAAUAAAUACAACAUUGAAAUUGUGAUGCCUCACAUCAAGUAAUGGAAAAAGUUUAUGAUGCUAUAUAAGUAUGGACUCUCAUUUACUUAGUAAACAUAUUUUUAAGUCGUGAUGAUCUUUUUCAACCUUGAGUAUAUAAUAUCUACAUAAUUGAGUGCAAGUCAUUACAAAUGGUAUUAAAGUCGAUUUAUGACCUCGAUGUGGAGGUUUGUUUUGCUUCAUAAUGGGUGUUUGUUUGUUUAACCCCGUAAAGAGUGUUUGUCUGUUUGACCUCGUAAUCUCAUGGGACACAAUAAGGACAUUGUAUUUAUAUGAGAGGGAAGAUGUUUGUGAUGUCUCACAUCGAGUAAGGGAAUAGGUUCAUGGCACCAUAUAAGUAUAGACUCCCCUUGAUAUUAUAAAUGCGUUUUAAAGUUGUGAGGACUCAUUAAACCUAGAGCAGACAAUAUCUAUAUGAUUAGAUGCGGGUUAUUACACCUCUUAUACUUUAUAUUCAUCGUAAUAAAAAUUUGCAGGUUAUAAGUGGACGUAACUCUUACAUUAAGAGCGAACCACUACAAAUCUCUCAUGUGUUUUUGUAUUUGAUUUUUUGUAUUGAUUUAUUAUUGCUUUUGGAAAUAGGAUUAGGGUAUUUUAAUCCUAACAAUUUAAACGGUUUUAUUUAUAAAUAUUUCAAUAAUUAUAGUUGUUACACAUAUUUAUAGUAAUUCAAUAGUGCAAUUUAUCCAACAUUCAUAACACAUAUGGAACCAUAGUUUAGCAAGCUCUUGAUUAUUUUUCAUCACAACAUAAUUUUCUUUUGAACUUGCUAAAAAAUAUUGUUCAUACAAACUACAAAUUACCAUUUCUCAAAUUUGGAAAAAAAAAAUUGUAAAUCUGAAAAAAUGAUUUUGUAUGACAGUCAACCGAUGCUACAUCCAUAAUUACUGGACCAUCUCAAACACAAAUGUGAUAUAAAAAAAAUUAGAUAUCAGAAAAACUUUAUUGUAAAAAAAUAAAAUAAUAUAUAUAUAUAUCUAUAUAUAUGAUGAAAAAUAUGGCAAUCUAAAUGAAUCAUUCUUCUCAAAUUUAAUUUUUUUCAACAUAAUUUUUAUUUAUUUGAAUAUUAAUAAACAAAUUAAUAAGAAUAAAUGUAUGUUGAAAAAAAAAAUGGAAAAAGAAAGAUUAAAAAAAAAAAAAUUUAUAUAUUUGAACUUCUUGGACGGUACUAAUCACCCCCAAUAGUACUUUAGUAAUCCGUUUAACUUUUUUAAAAUUUACAAAUACAUUAUUUUAAAAUAAGUUUUAGUUGUUUUAACUUUCAAGUUUAAUUUUUAAAAUUUUAAUUAAUUUUAAUUAUCAUAUGUUUGUUAUAUAAAAACAAAUUAAAAUUUUAAUUUUAUGAUUAAGUUUUGUUUAAUAUUUCAACUAUAAAAUAUUUUUAAUCUUAAUAAUGAAAUAUGUAAGAAUUUUCAUAGUUAUUUUUUAUUUAAUAAUAUGGUAUUUAGAAUUAAAAUGUAUUUAUUAUUUUUUAAAUUUUUUAACAUUUACAAUUAAUAAAUUUAUAUGAGGUAAAAAUGAGUUAUAUCAUAUGUAAGCUAGAGUACGGUUGAAUGAUUAUGUUUCUAUUCAAAGUGUUUUUAAAUGAUUAUGUUUCUUUUCAAAGUGUUUUUAGCAAAAAUAUUUUUUUUAUAAGUAUUUUUAAGAGUUCGAAAAACACUACAAAUGAUUUUUAUUAAAAGUGUUCCAUUAAUUUUACUAAACACCAAAUUUUUCAUCAAAAACAUUUUUUAAACUAAAAGUGCUUCCUAAAAUCAUGUCAAAUGAUUUUUAGAAUCAAUUUUAACUCGAAAUGUUUUUAGUAAAAGUAUUUGAUUUAAAAGUGUUUUAGGAUAAUUAUUUAUCAAAUGUUCAUCCGUAAUAAUUUUUCAAAAAUUUAAAAUUGUUUCUAAAUUUUGUCAAACACUUUUUUUUUUUUUUUUUUCAAAAACACGUUUUGGCUUAAAAGCGCUUUAUAUAAUCACCAUCAAACAAAAUCUUAAAGUAUGUUUGGUUGUAAUUCUAUAAAACAUUUCUAACAUUUUUAACACUUAAUGAUAAACAAUUUCAAGUGUUAAAAAUGUUUCCUAUAAUAACUACCAUGUCAUAAUUUAAUGCAAUUAAGUAAACAUAAUUAAAAGGUUAUAAACAUAUAAAUUGUAAAUAAAUCAUUUUAGAGUGCGUUUGACCAUUUUUUUACUUGAGUAUUUUUAGUGAAACUAUUAUCUUGAUGAAUGGAAAUUAAUAAGGAAUAGAGAAUGCUACAAGAAGGUAUUUGGUACACGAGAAUAAAAAAUGUAAAUAAAUGCUCUAUUUCUAUUCCUAUUUUUUAGUGAAUGGAAAUAAGUUUGGUAAUUCUAUUUUUAGUGUUUGGAUGAACUUAUAAAUUCAAUAUUGGAAUGAUUAUUUGUUUUCAUUCUAUGUUUGCUAAUAAUGAUAAUGACAAUGAAAAAAUAAAUUAACAAUAAUACCCUUACAUAGUUUAAAAUAAUUUAUUUAUUUUCAUUUAAAAAUAAAUAAAAUUUGAGAGUUUUUUUUUCUUUAAAUGAUAAGACUAAAAAAAAGUCUUAUUAUGGGAUGAAGAGGUAUCGGGCUUGAUGAAUGAAAUCUAAGGGUAAAAAAAUAAUUUUAAACUAUUUUAUAUUUUUUUAUGAGAUAAAUGAAUCAAAAUACCACUUUCACUUAUAAGUGGAAUUUGAUUUCUUUUGUAAUAAUUUUUUAUUCAAUUAUUACCUUUAUAAAUUUGAUCCAAAUAUGAGAAUGAGGAAAUGAAUGAAUGAGAUGCCCAUUCCCAUGUAUCAAACACAUUAAGUGAUUUUUUCUUUUUUUAAAUUUUACUAAUUUUUUGAACUCUCAAAAUUUUUUUCUGCUCUUGAAGCUAAUUCUUUCAGAGCUCUUGAAUCCUUGCCAAACUCUGCCUCAGGAAGAAGCCUUGGAGUUCUAUUUAUAGCAGAGGCUCUGGGCUUCAUGAAGGUUUUGUUUCUUUGAUUUCUUCCACGUAUAUGAGGAUGGCAGAAGGUAAAUUUUACUAUACACCUUAUUUAAAUAUAUAUAUAUAUAUAUAAAAUAUUUUUAAGAUUAAAAACACUCCCUACAAUUAUUACCAAAUAAUUAAAUACACAAAUUAAAUACCAAAUAAUUAAAAAUAAUUACUUUUAAUGCACGAUUGAUUUUAUUUUUGGUAUAAAAUAUCCUUUUCAAGUUAAGAAUGACUUUAAUUUAAAAGUUUUUUAAUAAAUUAAAAGUAUGUUUUUAGAGGACAUUGGACAAUUUUUUUUAGUAAUUUUUUAAAAGUAUAUUUAAAAGAAUAAUUUAUUUUAAUAAAAUCACUAUAAGUAAUUUUUUAAUAUUAUAAGUGAUUUUUUAGAUUUUAAAAAAUAUUUAUAACAUUUCUAAUACUUGAUGAAAAUUUUAAAAUAUUAAAAAUAUUAAAAAUACUUUUUAUAAUUACUAUUAAACGAGUUUUUAAUAUAAAAAUAUUUUUAAUAAAAAUAUUUUAUUUAAAUAUAUUUUUAAGAAAGUUACUUAUCAAAUAUUUUUUUUAAAAAUACUAUAAAUAAUUUUUAAAAUUUUUAAAAUUUUAGACUAAAAUUAUUUCCUAAAAUUAUUAUCAAACCAAUUAAAAUCAACUUUUACUUUUCACAUGGGAGGAAAGUGUAAGUAUGCUUUUUAAAUAUAAAUAAAUUAUAUUAUACAUAAAAAAAAAAAAGAGAAUAUUUAAAAUUCUGUUGAAUAUUACUUAAAAAAAAAACAUUUUUCACAAAAAGCACAUUCAAAUACGAUGUUAGUCUAUUCGAAGAACUUUUCAAACGUCUGUAGAAGUGUUUGACUGGAAAUUCGUGUUUCGAAGAAGUAGAAUGAUACAUUGUUUUCCUCAAAUAAAAUAAUACAUGUUUUUCCUUAAAUAAUUAAAAUAACAAAUUUUUAAUUAAUUGUUUUAAUAUUAUUAUUGAGUUGUCAGCUCAAUGAACGUAGACGGAACUCUCAAAAAAAGUAGUUAAAAAACAAUAAAGAACUUUAUCAAAAAAAUUAAAAAAUAAAUGGAAAAAUGACCUUUUUUUUUUAAAUUUUUUUUUAAAAUUUUAAUCCAGAUCAAAAGUGGGGAAAAUAAUUUAGUGGGUCCCAAGGUCUAAUGAAAUAAACCAUUGAUGAGAGUAAAUGGGAAAGUAGUGGAAAGAUUUAUUGAUAAAGCAGCGACCCAUUUAUUACUUCCACCUGGUGCUAUCAAAGGGAGGAUGUCAUUUCCGAAAGGAGAUUGAAAGGCUGACCAAAACGACAUCUGCGUGGGACAAACUCUGCCGGUUCAUGGUGGCGCCCGCCCUCUCCCCUCUCGCUCUCUAUCGUAUUCCUCCACUCAAUCUAAAGCCCCCCCAAUCUCAUUCCUUCUCGACUCUUCUCCACGUUCUGCUUCUUUUUGUUACAGGUAAAUCAUUCUCCAAAUUCUUAGUUCAUCUCAAUUGUGCUUUUUGAGGAUUAUUUUUGUGUUAUUUUUGGUGGAUCAUGGCUGAAUUUUGGUGGGUUUUGGGUAAAAAUUUGCGAUUUCGUUACAUAAUCAGCUGAAUUUGAGUUUAGAUGAGAUUGGAUAAAAGGAAAAAAAGGGUUGAAUUUUGGGUUUGUUUUGAUUCGUUAAUUAUAUCGAUUGGGUGUCUGUGUGAUGAAAUCCAUCUGAGGUUGCGAGGAUUGUGAUCAUGAAGGGGGUAUGCAGAGUUCUCGUUGUCCGGCUUCCAUCAUUUGGUUUUGGUAAUUAUGUGAUUGUAUGAUAACUACUAAUAAAAAUGUAAAGGGGAGUAAUUCUUUUUUCCUUUCCUCUUUUUGCAUUAUGGUUAGACAAUGAAAUCAAUUCGCAUUUGAGAUUACAUACAAAAAGGCAGAGAAGUUGGAUUAUGGGGUUUGUUUGACUUUCUGUCUAUGCAGAUUGUGUUUGUCUAAUGAAAUCCACUUGGGUGCGCGAGGAUUGUGAUUGUAGGGUUUUGAUCAUUUUCGUUAUAUUUACGAUUGCAUGAUGACUGAUGAUACAAUAACGAGGGAGUAAUGGUUUUUGCCUUUUUUUUUUUCUUUUAUCUUUUUUUUGGUAAUAUUGUCAGCUUGUUCGAGUUUGAUGCUAUACAGUGAAAGAAAGAGAGAUCGAGGGUCUGUUUGGAAACUGUUCUUGCUAUUUGAAAACAGUUUUCUAAUUUAGAAAACAAAUUUUUGACAUAUUUUUUUAUUGAAAAUAGUUUUUUGAAUUUUUUUUUCUCUCUAAAAGUUAGUUGUUUUUGAAAACAAAUUUCAGAUAUUUUUAGUUGUUUUUUGUAAUGUAUUUUGAGCAAGGAAAAUAUUGAGAGUACUUUGGGAACAUUUGCAUUGCAUGAAAGUAUACAGUAUUUUCGUUGAGAAUCAGUCAAGAAAACUGUUUUUCAUAUUUGAGUUCUCAAGCAAAAUUUUAUUCCUAAAAAUAAUUGUUUAGGUUUAGUGUUUUCGAAAGAGAUACUGUUUUUUAGAACGGUUACUGUUUUCGAAAAGGUUGUAGAACAGACCCUGAAUGUUGAGGUUUAGUUUUGAUAUUUAUGUAGAAUAUACACAAUUAUGCUAUAAAAUCCACCUGGUUUUUAUUGGGUUCAAUCAUUUUUCAUGAUUUGUAUGAUUGUGUGACUACUGGUAAAACACCAAAAAGGGAAUGAUGAUUGGUUCUUUCUUUCUUUUUUCAUUAGGCUAGGUUAAUGGGGUUGAUAGGGUUCAGGUAAAUGCUGGAGUUGUUAACUGUGGAGGAGAGCAUAACUGAAUAUCUGAUGUUUUUAUUCUUGGAAAACAAAUGCCUGUUGUGAUAGGUGAUUGUAAAGGAAUGAUUGAUUGUUUUUGAGUUGGAGUUGAUUGAUAUCUGAUGAUAUUUACUCAAUGAAAACAAGUGCUAGUUCCAGUAGAUUAUCGACUAGGAAUGAGAGUUUUUUUUAGUUGAAGGUGAGAUCAGCAAUGGGAGAAGACUGAGCGAUUAGGGAUGAUUUGGAAUGAUUGGCUUGGGUAUGGACGGUUUUUCAUGUACGAUCUUGUUACUGAGGGUUUUCUGUUUAGCGGCUUUUUAAGGAUGGUUUUUCAUUUACUAGUUUGUUAUGGAUAGGUAUUCAUUCAUUGACUAUAUAAACCAUGGUAGAAGGGAUGGUAGGCUAUGUUUCUGUAGAAGGUAGAAUAGCCAAAUGAGAUUGGUAGCAUCGGCAUGUAACUUGAUAGAUAGUAUGCCAUCAACUUCCAAUUGGAUAAGCCAUGUGAUAUUCUGUUUUGCAUCUUUCAGACCAAUGGCUUCUUCAGACUCGUGGAUGAAAGAAUAUAAUGAUGCAGUUAAACUUGCUGAUGAUAUCAAUGGAAUGAUUUCUGAAAGGAUUUCAUUUUCUGCACCGGGAGUUGAUGCCCAACGUCAUGCAUCUGCGAUCCGAAGAAAGAUUACAAUAUUAGGGACUAGACUUGACAGCUUACAGUCCCUUUUGUCAAAGCUUCCUGGAAAGCAGCCCUUGUAAGUCUUUUAAUUGUAUUGCACCUGUGUAUUGAUAAGGGACUUAGUAUUUCAGUGACUUAGAUUAAAGAUGUAUUAAAUUUAAUGUACUCAAAUUUCCAACUUAUUCUACCUUACAUGAAAAUAAUAUUUGAAUGAUUUUCCCAACUUUUCAAUAUGAUUGCACUGCUGUUUUGUCUAUAUUGUUAUGUGAAAGUUCUUUUGCCUCUAUUGUGAGUCAUGAUGUAUUGGAAUUUGUAUUCCUUUAUGCUGUGAUGUGGGUUGAAUGUUAACUUCUUCUUGCUGAUGUUAAUUUAGGUGUACUUUCAGUGGUAAUUAAGAUGCCGAGGUUCCUAAAAUGAAACUGAUGUUUUUUUACGAGAUUUUUUCAAUUCUUGUUGUUUUAAAUUUGAUGAGUAGACUGGGCUUGGCUUGGCAAAAUAAGUAUUUUGCCUCACGUGGAUAUCUUGCUAUUAGUUUAGUAUUUUCUUGUUGAAAAAUGAGUAAUCAAAAAGGCUUUAUCCUGUGCAAGAAAGGGCUGAUAUCAUGGUGGAUGGGAGGAAUGUGAGGCAAGGUGAUCAAAAGGCUUCCAUAGGGACUAAAAGUGGUGUAAAAGCUUGUUUCAGACAAAUUGUUUCUGGUGUCAUGUUGUACUUUCACAUACUGCUGAUAUGGUUGCUUUAAGGUUUGCCUGAUAAAUACUCAAUACUUGAUGUGGCAUAUCAAUACUCAGCAACACCCUAAAUCAUUUGAGUAAAUCAAUGAUAAAAUUCUUAACUCAAAAAAUGGAAGAAAGAAAGAAAUAUAUAUAUAUAUAAAAUAAGAUUAUGAGAACCUAUGGUUAUUACAGCUAGUACCAUUUGUUGCAGCCAUGUUUGAGGAAAAUAACUGAAGGAGUGGUAGGUGGAAGUGAUGCAUUUAAAUCCAGUGUUUGAAAUAGUAAAGAAUGUAUUGAUACAAGAUCUAGAUGGGAAAAAGGAUGAGAUGAGGAGUUGUUUGUUUGUUGAAAUGACUGUCUUGAAAGUAUGGCAUGCUGUUCUAUGGGAGCAUUAGAUACUAAUUUUUGGGUGGUGUGAUUAUUAUAAUUACCUGAAGUUUGUUGGUUCUGCCUUCUGUACUUCACAGAACUGAGAAAGAGAUGAAUCGACGCAAAGACAUGGUUGCAAAUUUGAAAUCAAAAGCAAACCAGAUGGCAUCAACAUUGAACAUGUCAAACUUUGCAAACAGAGACAGCUUGCUUGGCCCAGAGAUAAAGCCUGCUGAUGCCAUGAACAGAACAACAGGUUUGGACAACUAUGGCCUUGUGGGCCUUCAGCGGCAAAUUAUGAAAGGCAAGUCACUAUACCUUGUUCAGAAUAACACACUUACUUUGUUCACUUUAUUAUUUACUGUUUGUUCCCAAUAUGGAUAUUUACGUGCUCAUAUGCCUGUGAAGCAGAACAAGAUGAGGGACUUGAGAAAUUGGAAGAGACAGUAUAUAGUACAAAACAUAUUGCAUUGGCAGUCAACGAAGAGCUUGACCUACAUACUAGACUUAUUGUAUGUUUUGAUUUGAUUCAGUAUUACUUGCCUCUUUUCGUAUUUAAGCAUCCUCAUCUGGAAAAAUAUUAACAAAAUGAAAUGCACUGCAAUCUUAAACUUUACUCUUCUUGGCUCUCCCAUUUUGCAGGAUAACUUGGACCAACAUGUGGAUAUUACAGACUCUCGUCUAAAGGUUAAACUCUUAACGAGCUGUUAGUUGACUUGUUUGCAUAGUAUAUCAUCAAUACCAUAAACCCUCAGCUUUAGGGGAAGCAUUUACUAGUCUAUUUUCACAGGACUUGUUUCAUAGAACAUCAUCAAUGAGAUGGACCUUCCACUUUAGGCAAUGCAUCUCAUGAGCAUCAGCUUUGAUCUUUUUACCUGAAAGUGAAUCUUCUAUUACUAUGGAACUUAACAAAGCUUCUAUCCCAGCCAGAUUAAUUUUUAUCUUGGUUUUUCUUUUAUUGUGAAACAGCGAGUGCAGAAGAAUCUGGCAAUUUUGAACAAGCGCACCAAGGGUGGCUGCUCCUGCCUGUGCCUGCUCUUAUCAGUUGUUGGCAUUGUGAUUCUGAUUGUUGCGAUAUGGUUGCUGGUUAAAUACUUGUGAUACAAACAUUCUGGAGAAAACCCGUCUUUCCCCUGCGUGUGUUGGAUCAAAAUUGGGUUUUGUUAGUCUCAUUGUUUGUCUUUCCUGAUUUUCUUGUGCUUUGAUCAUGCCAUGGUAUGGCUUGGUGUUUACUGAUCAACUUUGUAAUCGUCGGAUUAUGUAGCAUCAUGGAUGCCUCCUUUUUUAAGCAGUGAUCAAUUCGCAUCUCUGUCCCUAUACAAUGACAAGUUUACAACCAUGGAAGCUUUUAACCUAGUGAAGGUGAUUGACUUCAUGUUUGGAAUGAAAACGGUUUUCUUUAGAACAAAAAAUAGUUUUCUAAACUCAAAAAACACAUUGGAUAAACUUAUGACAGAAAACAAUUCUUAAAGAGUUUUUCUCCAAAAAAAAAGUAAUAAAUAUGUAGUAUAAGCAAGAAAACUAAUUUUCAUAUUUGAUUUUUUAAAUAGAAUUUUAUUCAGGAAAUGAGAACAUCUUUAAAACGCACCAUAUUGGGGAGUUUUGACCCAAAAAAAAAAAAUCAUAAAGUAAACUUGUUUUCAAAAUAAUGGUCAAUUUAGUGCGUUUGUGCCAUGUAGAACUUCAUGUCAUCAAACCAAAGUUUUGUUUUUUAAAAACGAUCAAAAUCGCACUCACCAAUCAUGACUUUAACUUUAAGUUUAGAACCGUAGUCACCACUUUAACUUUAAGUUUAAAACCGUAGUUGGUGACUACAACUUUAAAUUAUUAUAAAAAUUGUCAAAAUCGUAGUCACGGUUUUAAACUUAAAGUUAAAAUUGUGGUUGAUGAUUAUGGUUUUGAUCGUUUAAAAAAAAUAAAAUUAUAGUCACCAACUACGGUUUUAUGACAUGGAGGCCUAGGUGGUACAGACACACUAAAUUGAACAUUAUUUUGGAAACAAGUCUACUUUAUUUUUUAUUUCAAAUAUCAUAUUUUAAGUCAAAACUCCCGUAUUGGAUCAAGGAUUAAAAUAUUGGUAAUUAUGGAUAUAUUGAUACUUCAAUUUUACAAAUAUAUCGGAAAUAUCGGAGAAAUAUCGGUGGAGCGAAAAUUAUUUAAAAUUCAUAGAUGUUUUGAAAAACUUCAAAAAAUGAUAAAAUAAGCAAGAAUACACAUUUUAGAAUUAUUUUGUAAGUAUAAUUGACAUAAAUAUGAUCAAGAAGAAAAAUAUUGGUAGAUAAAAAUCAAUCAGUAGAUUUGAUACUUGAAUCUUAAGAAUAAUAAAUAUGAAUUUUGAAAGUGUAUAAAGUUAGAAUUGAGUUAAGAAAUAUUUGAUUUUAUUAAAUAAAAACAAUUUACAUGUAAAUAUAAUACAUAUGACAUUACAAUAGUCUUUAGUAUCAAAAUAAAGAUCGAUGUGAUUCUAUCAUAUUGUUAGAUGGAAGGGAACCCAUCUUGUUGAAGACAAUAUUUAUUUAAAAAUUUUUAAAAUACUUUUAUUAAAACAUAUUUUAUUAUAUUUUAAAUAAAAACUUAAAUUAAUUUAUAUAAAGUAUUUUAUUUGAGAUUUAAUUUCUAAAAUUUUAUUAAAAAUAUGUGGUAACAAUUUUUUUAUUAACAUUAAUUUAUUUAAAUAAUUAAAAUUAUUAAUAAUUUAUCUUAUAAAAUUAAUUUUAAUUUAUAAAAUAUUAGAACUUUCUUAAAAUUUUAUAUUAUAGCAAUUUUUUUGGGUAAAAUUAUAUUUUUAAUAUUUUAAAAUAAAAAUAUUUAAAAUUAAAUAAAAUUGAAAGAACAAAUAUAAAAAAAAUUAAAGAAUGGAGUGAUAAUAAUUUUUAAAAUAGGAUUAAUGAGAUAAAUAUAAAAAGUGUUAAAAAUAAAAGGAUAAUAUAAAAUAAAAUGAUAAUAUACAAACAUGGAUGAAAUCAGUCAUCGGAUCUUUAAAAAUUCAAAUCUUCGAAAUUUUCAAAAUUUUCAAAAAAGUGGCAGAAAAAAUCUCCGAUUUAUCACAAUUUAUCGGUCACCAAUAUUUCGACGAUUUUUCGGAUAUUCCUCCGGUUUGGUACUCAAAAUUCUGUUCAUAUUGGCAAAAUAUCACCGAUAAAAACUGAAAUUUCAAUCCAUGCUUGGGAGUAUAGCAUGAAAAAGCACCAUUUGUACCGUACGUCAAAACGCGUCGUUGCAAUCUCACCGUUUUGGUAGGAAGUAGGAACACAUCAAAACGCAUCGUUUUGUCCCGCACUCCUAAAAACGUUGCGUUUCAUCUCUCCAUUGGUCAUUACCAUCUUCCUCCCCUCCGCGGGCGCGAAAAUCUCCGAAUUCACCUUCUGCGAGGUAGUAGCAUUCCUUGAAAUCAUUUAUUGAUCGUUUAAUCUCACAUUAGACCUGUAGUUCUUGAUAAUAUCAAAUUGACCCAUAAAUUUCCUUUUAUUUGAUAUAUAUAUAUAUUUAUUUGUUGAAAUGCUAAUUUGCAGUAGGGUUUCAGAGAUUACUGCAAAUUACUCAGAAGUAUAUUUUGAAGCUUGAACUGCAAGAUAUUGAUGAAAUAUAAUUGAAAAUUGAAAGAUGAGCAUAGUGCCCAAAGAGACAAUUGAGGUCAUUGCACAAAGUAUAGGAAUUUCAAAUUUCUCGCCCGAUGUUGCUCCGGCUCUUGCAACCGAUGUUGAGUACCGGGUGCGCGAAAUCAUGCAGGUAGCCACACAAUUUGUGCGCUUACUCUCAAAUUUGUACUCAAUUUGCAGUUGUUUGUGUCACCCAAUUUGCAUAAAUGCAGGAAUUAGCCCUAGCUUGGUUCAAAUUUGGUUUGGUAAUGUCGUGGAGUAAGUGCAUCAGCUGAUGAAUGUGAAUAUUUUUAUUAUGAUGCAGGAUUCUCUUUAUUCAAACAGUCCCUUACCCUAAUUUAGUAUUCGUUUUAGGUGCAAGAUGUUUGGAGUAAUGUAUUUUUUUUAUUUUUUUGAUAACCGUGGAUGUCCGGCCAGCUUAUGCGCAUCUCGACUAAUCCCACGGGCCCUGAAGUUAACGACCGGGUAAACCUCCAGUAGCCCUGAGGGGACUCGAACUGGUGACCACUGGGGAACAAACCCAAGGCCGGACCAACUGAGCUACCCCUCAGGGUUAUGUUUGGAGUAAUGUAUUAAGACGAGGGGCAUUUUGGUUUGUUCUUUUUGUUUUCCUUUUCCUUUUUUUCCUCUGGUUUGGAUGUUCAUUAUGAGGGAAAAGUUUGUUUGCAAACCAGUGGACGGCUAAUUAGGUUCUCACAACCCCAAAAAUCUAUCCAACUUGCUAAUGGAGAGUUAAGGAACAAAUCUUUUGGUUCUAACUCGUAUAGCUCCAACCCUUCCAAAGAUUUCAGUUACUUCCUUUCAUAAACACUGAAAUAAGCAUAAAGGGACCAUUUUUUAUACUUUCUUAUCCCUAUGUACAAAUAUUCCUUGUCAAAUGGUUGAAGUGUUCUUUUAAAGGAAACAAUAAAUUUUUGCAUACCACAAUUACAGGAGGCAAUCAAAUGCAUGCGCCACUCAAAGAGGACUAUCUUGACAGUAAAUGAUGUGGAUAGUGCACUCAAGCUAAGAAAUGUGGAGGUAAAUCAACUAUAAAUUAGUUCUUUUUAUGGAUAAAUUCUGAUGUAUGAUUAUUAUGAUAAGAGUGUCUUUCAGGCUUUAGUUUCGCUCUCUCCUUGUGUUCUUUCUUUGGAAUCAAGUUAGUUAUUUUGAGGAAGAUUAUAGAUGUGUUUUUUUUGUACAAAUGUAAUUUUUUCUACUACUAAUGCUGAAUGAAUACAAUUAGUUUCCUUGAAAAGAUUCUCUUGGCAGGUUUUAUAUGCACACACUUGUGCUUCUUAUCUAACGUUGUUGUUCACUUGUUUGUGCAUAUGCAUCUGCAAGUGCCAUGGAAUUGUUUUAUUAAGUGCAUGUUUGGAUACAUUUUUUUAUUUUUUUUAUUUUUAAAAUAGGAAGUCUUAUACAAAAAGUAGAUACAUGGCUUAUGUAUUUUGAAAGCACUUUUAAAAUUUUUUAAAUUUAAGGAAGUGGAAAUUUUUUGCUUCUAAUUGUUAAAAUUUUGAAAAGAGUGUUUAAGAGCAUGAGGUAAAUUUCUGCUUUUUGUGUAACAGUUUUUAUAUUUUUUUAUGGGAAUUUCUACUUUUAAAAAUAAAAAACAGGAAGUAUAUCCAAACACCACAUAAGUUUUAUGUAGUUCAUUUUUAAUUUACCUUCUGAAUUUCUGCCCACUUAUGUAUGUGUGCUCUUAAUGUUUCAGCCACUUUAUGGCUUCACCUCUGGAGGUCCUAGGCAGUUUAAAAGAGCUGCUGGACAUAAAGAUUUGUUCUAUGUUGAUGACAAGGAUGUAGAAUUUAAAGACGUAAGAAACUACUGAUGAUGUAAAAUUGCCUUUAACUGUAUUUGCUGAGUUACUUCCUGAUGUUCCCAUAUAUUGGCUGGUGCAUGCAGUUGAUUGAAGCACCCUUACCAAAAACACCUCUAGAUACUGGAGUUAUCACUCACUGGCUAGCUAUUGAAGGAGUGCAACCUGCAAUUUCUGAAAAUGCUCCAAUUGAAGGUCUUUCUCUAAACUUAGAUGCAGUAUGAUGAUUGGAAAGAGGGCCUUACUGUAUUAAUUUUGGUUUUGAUUGUAGAACUCCUUGGUUCCUAUCAUAUUGGUGCCUGCAUAUACUGAACUUAGAUAAUUCAGAUGCUCUAUUAAAACCUUUCUAAAUCCUCCACAAUCUGCUCUGCUUGUUUAUUUUGUUAAUCCUAAUUGGGAAGUGUUCUAGUGAACUGUGUCUCUUUCUGAUUGCUACAUGGAUUGGCACUUUAAUCUAAUUUCCAUAUCAAAAUUAUCAUGACUUGGUUUUAAUUAAUCUAGGCUAAUCACCUUUGAUUUGAAGAUUCAUUUUCCUAUUACCGAUCUAUUAAAUUGUUUUUAUAUUUUUAUUGUAGCACUUGCUGUGCCUUCUGACAACAAAAAAUCUGAAUACAAAGAGGAUGGGCUUCCUGUGGACACCAAAUUACCUGUUAAGCAUGUACUUUCAAGGGAGCUUCAGGUAUAGUUUACAUGAUGAUAUUUAAAUGAUUUUUGUUUUCAUGGAACAUUUCAUGCCAAAUAGAUUACGUUGUUGUCUGUGCAGCUUUACUUUGACAAAAUCAAAGAGCUUACCCUGAGUAGAUCUGAUUCUAUCCUAUUUAAAGAAGCAUUAGUGAGCUUGGCAACAGACUCAGGAAUUCAUCCUUUAGUUCCUUAUUUUACAUAUUUCAUUGCUGAUGAGGUAAGUCUUGAGGGCAUAUCUUGGAUCUUGAGAACUACUAAAAUAUUUUGGGUUUAAAUAACUUUUUAUUGCUUAUACUGACUUUAUUAUUAUUUUUUUUCCCAAAAUUUCAGGUCACACGGAAUUUGAAUGAUUUCUCUAUCCUGUUUGCUUUGAUGCGUGUUGCCCGUAGCCUUCUCCAAAACCAGCAAAUACACAUAGAACCUUAUGUAAGUUCGGUUUAUUUGAUUGGGUAUAAAUGUGUACAUUAAUUAUCAGGCCACUGUUUAUUUGCCUGUACCAUACUACUGUCUCCUUGUGCAAACAAAAGCAUGUACAAAAAAAAUCAAAAGGGAUCUAUAUGGAUAUGUGAAAGCUCAAUGUUAUAAUGCUGCAUUGUUGGAACCUCUUGGGCACUAAUGCCUCCGAGUUUCUUGGUGCUGGCAGUGUAACUUAAUGCUGUUGGCUUUUGAGAAGGCCUACAUUGAUUUACUUUUAUCUAUCUAAUGGGGUGUUUAUUUCUUCAGCUACACCAAUUGAUGCCAUCUAUUAUUACUUGCCUUGUUGCGAAAAGGUUGGGGAGUAGAUUCUCUGACAACCACUGGGAGCUUAGAAGCUUCACAGCUAACCUGGUCGCUUCAGUAUGCAAGAGGUGGGGAUCUCUUUUCUGUUUUAUUUAAUGCACAGAUGAUAUCGUAAUCAUCCCAACUAAAUGAAAUCUUUCCUGUUUCAGUAAGUGGAAAAUCAAAUUGACUAGAAUUCUCAAUCAAGUCAAAUCAUUGUUUUGUCUAGACAAUGUUUUGCUCUUUGGUAUUUAUGAUAUCCAUCUUGAAAGUUUAGAUUCUGCUUAUGGAAUACCUAGAGGGAGGGUGAACAGAUAGUUCUUACUUUUUAGCCCAAAUUUCUCUUUUUAAAAUUUCCCUUAAAAAAAAUUAGAGUUGAAGUAGAGAAAUUUAAUGGCACAAGGAGAUAAAAGUUUACAUGGAAAAUUACCCACAAAGCCUCUCACAGACUUUGUAGAUGUAAAAACCAUGGGGUUAAAAACCGUAGAACACAAAUCCACUAUUAAAAGAAAAGUACAUAGAUUGACUUGGCAGAUGUUAUCCAUAAGAUUUACUCCCUAGUACCUACACUUGUCUUCACGUCAGUGAUAUAGCACCACACAUGGUCCUAGUGGACUACCUCAACACCUGAGAGGGCGCAAAUCCUCUUACAAACCUAAGAAUGAAAAUCACACAAAUUUGAGAGUAUUAGGAUGUUGGAAAGGCUAAUAAUAUUCUUUUGAAUUUUGCAUCAACAUUCAAAAAGAAUUUUAGGCAUAGCAUUGAUAGAGAUGAAGCCCUAGUGGACAAGAUCCUAAGUUUUCAAAGACCAAUUUUUAGAAGAUGAAAAGAAUUAAAACAUAUCACAAUUUUGAAUUAGGAAAAAUUUACUUUGAAUGCUUGAGCGCUAGGUUUGAGUGCUUGAGCACUUGACUGGUUUUUUAAUUAAUUAAUUAAAAAACCAUUUUAGCUCAAUUAAAAAUCUGAAGUCCACUUUAUGCCUAUUUUAGUCAAAUUAGCCUUUCGCGAAUAUUUCUAUACUUGUGGCAUUGGGGUUGAUCAUGCAGCAACCUUGAGUCUUCAAUGGAGAGUAAGACAUAGUAUCCUGGAAAAGUCUUAAGGCAAGGUAAAUGGAACAAAAUUGUCAACUUAAACUAAGCAGCCUGAUGCACUAACACAUUUGACAACUAAAAGGCUAUCUAGACGGCCUAUUAAGAAAAAGUAAAGCAUCUAGAUGAAUACUAGCAUUUUAAUGUUGUGUUGCCUCCAAAUUAAUGGCAGAUAAUGACCUUAGAAAAAAAUUGUUUGCAUCUCGUGAAAUUUUAUUAAAAAAAAAGAAAAAAUAUUUGCAAGCAAUAAUAUGUGGAAAAUUAGAUAAAUAUGUUGUUAAACUAGUAUUAAAAAUUUUCAGUAUGGUGUGCUUUAAAGCUUCUGAUUAAAAAGCUUUCCUUUUUGAGUUAUUUGCCUUUUUUUUUUUACUUACAUAAUCCGCUUUCUCAUUUGAUUUUUUUUUUUUUUUUUCCCUAUGAACAUGGGCUGCAUGUGUACACCCACAUCCACUGGCUAUACGCUAAAUAGAUGCUUUGAUGGGCAUAAAGAAUAGCAUGGAUUAUGUGCUAAAUUUAUUUGUCCUUAUGUUAUGCAUGCACAUAAUUGGAUCAUAAGGGUUGCCUGUUUUGCCCUUGACUAAAUUCAGAUGCCAUGCACAAGCAGGUCACACAUGUACAGAUUAAAGAGAUACUGAAUCUCCAUUUUUUUUCUUCUCAUCUUACAGACACUACACAAAUAUCUUAUCAACUAAACUUUUGCAGAUAUGGGCAUGUUUAUCAUAACCUCCAGCCACGUGUGACAAGGACUCUGCUCCAUGCUUUCUUGGACCCAACAAAAGCAUUGCCUCAACAUUAUGGGGCAAUUCAGGGGUUGGCAGCAUUUGGACCCAGUGUGGUAUCAUCUAUUCUCUUGCUUUUAGCAUCAAAGGAGGAAUGUUACAGCUGGAUAAAGUGGCUGUUUUUUAUUUUUAAAAAACAUCAGUUUUUGUAUUAAAGAUAUUAAGGAUAACUUCUAAAAGCCCAUUUACUCACAAGAAAGAUAUUUCUAGCACUAAAUUUCUGCUAGAUCCAAGGAGAAAUUAAAAAAAAAAGGGAAGUUGAAGUCCUUAUGUCCCAAAAACCUUUAUUUUCACUGCAGAUGCUCUAGUUUUGAGCUUUCACGACAACCCCUACAUUUUCCUCAAAUUUAACCUCUUCGACAUUUUUUCACAGCCACACUAUAACUCCUAUCACCCAAGUACCAUUUAGCUUCCAUUCGCUGAGUUUGUAUGUGACUUUUUUGUCAUUCUUUUUCAUUUUUUUUAAUUCAUUCUUAGAAUCUCUCUUUGUUAGUUUUUCCCAAUUUAUGAUGAUUUUUUUUUGGGUAGGUUCGCUUGCUUAUACUGCCUAAUCUUGAGCCAUACUUGCGACUUCUUGAGCCAGAAAUGCAGCUUGAGAAGCAAAAGAAUGGGAUGAAGAGACAUGAAGCCUGGCGUGUAUAUGGAGCCUUACUGGUGAGUUUGUUUCUAAAUCUCUAGUUGGUUUAAUUUGAAAGGAAGCCACUGAGAUGGUGGCCAUCAGUGGAGCUAACAUGUCCACAUACCUCCCAGUGUGCUGCUGGUACAUGCAUGUAUGAUCGGCUGAAGACAUUCCCCAAUUUGCUAUCUCCGCCAACACGGGCCAUCUUGAAGAGCAAUAAAAAAAUCUUGCCUACAAAACCAAGUAUGACUUUUUGUUACUUUCUUAAUUGGGAUCUGCAUACAUAACUACAUGCAUGGCAUUUAGUUUAUAAGAGAAUGAACUGUAUUUAGAAGAAGCUUUGAGGAAUAACUUCUAGCUGCCAGCAGAACAGUUUCUAGUGUCAGGUUCAAAUACUGAAUAAAAGGCUUAAAAAAAUGCAUAAAAAAAAAGAGAAAAAAGAAGCGUGUGCCUAGAUGGGGGGAAAUUUUUUUUUUGUCUGGUGGUUGUGGUGUGUGGUUUGAUGAUGUUAGGCCAACUCUUAAGGUGUCAUUGGAGGCAACUUCAAUGGAGAAUGAUUUAUGAUAACAGUUGUUUGUAGUACUUUCACAUGUUUUAAUAGGGCAACAUUUCACCCAAGAACCCAAUGGUGAUACAUGCCCAAUAAGCAAUUGUUUCACUAGAUACUGAUAUUUAAAUCUAAUUUCUUUCUUCUCAUCGGUUGCUCCAAUUCUUUAGAAAUCAAUCCAGGCAAACGCAAAGCAAGCACAGAUAACUUAAUGCAACAGCCACCGCUCAAGAAAUUAGCAACAGAUGGCUCAAUGGGCGUUAUGCCAAUUAACUCCCUGGCAGUUGACAAGCAAGGGUUAACAGGAGGAUUUUCUACUUCAACUGCUGUAGGAAGUUCUGAUGUUGGUCUGUCAUCAAUGUCCCAGCAGUUAGCUAGUGAGAACAUAUCAGGAGGUAGAAGAGAGGUCGGUACUCGAGCCCUAAAAGCAUCAGCUGUUCUUGCUCAGGCUUGGAAGGAUGUCAAUGCUGGGCAAUUGUCGGCGUCAUUGUUUGAAUAUUUUGGUGAAAGUAUGUUUUGCUUCACUCCCUCACCUGAGUUGUCCCUGUUCUUGUAAUUAAUCGAGAAUCAAUAUCAAUAGAGUUGUUUUGACAGGUCUUUAGUUUAAAAUGGGAAGUUGUGCACUAGCAUAUAAUCUUUACUAGAAUUUAUUUAUAUUUGUCUCAAAAAAUCAAUCUUUGCUUUAUGAAUUUUAUAAAGAUUGGUACUAGAUAACCUAUUGUUAAUAUUUGAGGUUCCACUAUGUGCAGCAAGUCCAUCGAUUUUCUUCUGUUUGGUAAUAAUAGAUAAGCAACCACUCAUAUAAAUACUACAAAAGACAAAUAAGAGAAGCAAAUGCUACAAACCACAAAGGAAAUGGCAUCUAAUGCAGACGAGCAUCAAGAUCAUUACACGAUCACAUGGUACUUGAGAAAAAGGGGGAAAAGGUUAAAAGAAGAGCUUUCUAGAAGGCAACCGAGAUGGAACAGCGGGAGGUGAGUUAGAGGAUUUGAGGGGGAUGGGUAGUCCUUUGUUUUCUUGACCUCCUGCUACUCUGUCCACUAGCUUUGCUGCCUUGGGGUCUGUUAGAAGUAUCUUCUGGAAAGACUGGGAGAACCCGGUUGCAAUUAUAGUCACAUGAAUCUCCCCAUUGUAGCGGUCGUCCACAACAGCUCCAAAUAUUAUGUUAGCUGAAGGAUCGGCCAGACUUGUAACAACCUGAAUCAUGGAUAUGCAAAUAUUAGCAUAAGAAAAUGCAAGAAAACACAACCCCACAAAAGGACAAUUUCAAAUGAUAGGUGCCAAAAAAAGCCACUAUCAAAUGGAUGUUAAACAAUGCAACAAAAACUUUUAGUGUCAUGCCUCGAAGAAGGAAAUAGUUUGUGCAGGAAAAAAUGAAACAAAGAGUGCAAGUCUUUGAAAACAAAGUCAAACAGUCCCUCUCAGCUCCUAAAAGGUGAUACCCUGAUUUUGCAUUGCCUUGUAUGAAUACUCUGUUUAUGGGCUAGGUUAAAUGUCUGGUUUUAUGCAAAAUGUACUUGUUCCAUAACUUGUUCUACCAGCAAAUUUAAGAGGGAAGGGAACUGAAACAAAAAUUCCAUGAUAUUCAAACUACCUGAGACACUCUAUUAACUUCUUGCAAGGUUAUGUCCUUUCCCCCAGUAAUAUUGUAGACAACACCUGUAGCAGAUUGGAUAGAGGAUCCAAUUAGAGGAGCCAAAGUUGCCUGUUCGGCUGCUUCUUCUGCACGGUUUUUGCUGGAAGAAACCCCCACUCCAAGCAUUGCAGUUCCAGAGUCCUUCAUGACUGCCUUUACAUCUGCAAAAUCAACAUUUACCAGCCCGGGUAUCUGCAAAACAAGGACACGCUAUUUUAAAUUAUAUAGGAUCAACAGCAAAGAUAAACUUCAGUAUUGGAAAUUAAUCAGGAAAAUAUCAUAAUAAAUCAGUAUACAUAAUGUCAACUGUGGAUUAAAUGUGAGUGGCUGCAGCAUCCUGUGGGUACAUCAUGCUCAUGACCUGCACCAGUCUUAUGUUUUAUUCAUAUCCAAACAAGAGCAAGGGCCUAUAUCCACUAUGGCCCUUGUAAAAUGGUUGGGAAGCUAAUUAGCUUUCAGCAAAAAAUUAAAGAGGUUGGAACAGAUUAUAAAGUUAGUGAAAAGCAAAGAAUGUUAAAACCGAAGGAAAUGAGAUUUCCAAAAAUAUUGUAGUUUUGGAUUUUUUUGUGCAUAAUUUUGGGAAGAAUUUCACAUGAUACAUAUGGUAGUAUGCCAAAAUACUGUUAGAUAAUUGGCUUGUUCAACAUAUGGUUGAAACUAUCUAACAGGUGAUAUGUUAGGGUAUGAGCUGAUAAUGCAGACCAAGUUCCCCAAGGACAAAUGUAGCCCUAUACAAAUCACUCACUGUAAUUAUGUCUGAAAUCCCUUGCACCCCUUGGCGCAAAACAUCAUCAGCAAGCAGGAAAGCAUCCUGAAGAGGUGUCUGUUCAUCGGCAAUAUCCAGCAGACGAUCAUUGGGAAUUACUAUUAGUGUGUCAACAUUCUUUUGCAACUUUUCAAUAGCCUCCAAUGCCUAAAACAAAAGCAAAUACAACACAUGACUGUUUGGAACUCAAUAUAGUACAACAUAUUUGAUACAGCUGCAAAAUCAUAAGCUUGAAACUUGGAAUUAGAGGACAUAAAGCUGAUAAACAGUGCAUCAUCAUUUAAAAAAAGUGCAUGGCAGAUCUUCAGGCAGACUUGAGAUAAAAGAUCCAAAUAGAGGGAAGAAAUCAUUGACAAAGGGAUAACUAUGAUUGAAUAGUCUCUCAUUGUACAACUAACUUGGGUUAAGUAUUAUUAAUUUUUCACUCACUUCAGGUCUACCUGUCAGUAACGGUUAGAUAAAAAAAUAGCAGUCAUACAACUGAGACAGAGUUGCCUAUAUUUUGCAUAUGUUUCAUCUCAGCCAAUUGUAUCUAACAGGGGAAAAAAACAGAUGAUUAUGCAGAAAUGAAAGAACAUGAGUUCAAAAGAACAACCAAAAAAAAGGGGAAAUGGGCAUAAUAGGUUUCAGGGGCAAAGGUCAAAGGUAUGUUGAAUUUCCCAUUCUAACAAUUUCAAGUUUCAAAAUCUUGAAAAUAUCUGAAGGGGAUGCGAUGGUCACUUUUAUUUCUAACUAGGAAAUCAUACCACCACUACCUAUGGUUAGAUAAAAAAAUAGCAGUCACACAACUGAGACAGGGUUGUCUACAUUUUGCAUAUGUUUCAUCUCAGCCAAUUCUAUCUAAUAGGGGAAAAGCAGAUGAUUAUGCAGAAAUGAAAGAAUAUGAAUUCAAAAGAACAACAAAAAGGGGGGGGGGGGAGGGAGAAGGAAGAAUAGAAACUCAGGGCCAAAGGUCACAGGUAUGUUGAAUUUUGCAUUAUAACAAUUUCAAGUUUCAAAAUCUCGAAAAUAUCUGAAGGGGAUGUGAUGGUCACUUUUAUUUCUAAACUAGGAAAUCAUACCACCACUACCUAUGUAAAUAACCACCAAAUUGAAAAUGAUAUCACCACCUUGUGGAGUUACUAGAAGCUAUGCACAAUGCCAUCCCCACCACUCCACUGUUUUCACCCCCACCACCAUGACACUGCCAGUGGAACUAGUUACUCCACCGGCUGCAUCAAUGCCACUUUCACUGUCAACUGCUCCACUAUAAAUGCUUCUACAAUCACCAUCUUUCCAAUCCUACUGAUAGUAUACACCCUGAUAAGUCUUUUGUUUUUUGGCUGGUAUCAGGCACUUUCAGAAAGGUGCCUUAAUUUUCCAUAGAUUUUGUUUCUUUCAGUAAAAACAGAAAAAGAAAAUCAUAAUCUACUUUUGAAACAUAUCAUAAACCUGGCUAAUAGGCAUGGCCAUGGAGUCCGAUACUUUGCAUGGGACUGCCUAACCAAAACAAACAGAACACAUUGUUCUUGAUUUUAUCCCAAUAAGUAUUUGUUAGAAAUGCCUGUCAUUUGGAAGUUAAUUGUUACAUAUAUAGUAAGACCAGACAAACAACAAAAUAAUUUCCCUUUGAUUUCAAAUAAAGACCAAAAUGGCACCUGCCUGCAGUGAUCUUUUACGUCCUUCAAAGCUGAAAGGGUAGGUGACCACCCCAACAGUCAAAUAACCCGCUUCCUUAGAUAUUUGGGCAACAACUGGGGCAGCCCCAGAACCUGUACCCCCACCCAUACCUGCUGUUAUAAACACAAGAUCUGAACCCUUGAGAGCAUUUGCAAUGGCUUCCUUUGAUUCCUCAGCAGCCUGUUCCCCCAAAAGUGGAUUCCCACCCGUACCUGCAUCUCUAUUAAGUGGUUUGAGUCAAAGGAUACAAUACAACCACAAGGUCCUCAACACAUAAGAAAACAAAAGCAGCUAUACCACCCAUAUAAAAGUUUGGGAAUUGUUAUACUAGCCGACCCAGGUACAAUAAUCUAGUGCUAUAAGAGCUGUGCUCCCUCAAAUAUACAAAUCUAUAUUCUAAUACUUUAAAUGGAUAACAUCUAAGAUCAUAGUGAGAGUGCCAGACCUAGUCCACGAGUCAAAAGUUCUCCAAUUUGGAGAGGGUUCGAAGCCGCAGAGUGUAAUAGAGCUUGAGAGUCUGUAUUUAUUGCAUAGAAAUCAACACCCUGAAUAUCAAACGGCAAGCAACAUUAACAUUAGUAAUCUGUAGAAGCUAAGAAGGGAAUAAUUUCACGAACAAUCAUACAGAAAAAACACCAGAGCCUAACUCCAAUCAAAGAACGAAAAAAAAAACUUAAAUCCUUCGUUGGGACCAUAAACACAUCAGACAAUCUCCCAAAGAGUUGGAAAUAACAAAGUGGCUUCCAGUAAAAACAUCAAUUUCUAGAAAGGGGGUUUCACUCACAAUCUAACAAGAAAAUGAAACGCAAACAAUCGACAAAUUUUUUUCAUUAUAACGGGCACGGAAUAACAGACCCAAUCACCAAAUAUGGACAGGAUAUGAUUCAAAAUUUCAGUUGAAAGCAAAUUCCACCUGUAAUCCGCUUCCAAUCAUCCGAUUAACGGCAUUGUUGCCCCCACCACCGACACCCACAACCUUAAUCUUAGCCGAUUCCAUGGGCGCAAACGAACAGCACACACCAAAACGGCGUCGUUUCCAAAGACUUCCCCGCGUAUUUUUAGAGGAAAGGCACUUCCCAGGAGCAGCUGAAGAGAGUGCCUUGUGGGAGAACCCAGUAGAAAUGGAGGAAGAGGAGGAUGAGAUGAACUCAUUGGGGUUUGUGAGCUGGAGAGUGGCCAUUGAAAAAACCGGGCUCCAAAUAUCCGAUGCUCCCUCUUUUCUUAGAGCGAGAGCGAGAGGGAGAGAGAGAGGUUUUAGGGUUUAAGAAAUAAAGGUGGUUAGGAGAAACGCAAAAGAUUGGGUGGACCCUUGUGCACCUUCAUUCCUUCAAAACAAACCUUAGAUUCCAAUCUUGAGCUCCCUUUUGUUCUUAUUUUACUUUUUAUCUCCAAAAUGAAUGUAUAUAUAUUUGUAAACUAAAGAUAGAAUGAAGAGAGAGAAAUAGGAAACUUUGCUAAAAGGAAAUAAUAAAAUAUUAAUGAAAGAAAAAAAAAAUCCAAUAUUCUUAACAGGAUAAGAUUAUUCCAUCUCGUUAAAAAUCUUAUCGAUUAUAAAAUUCAAUCGGACAAAACUUAUAAAUAGAAAAAAAAAUAAUUACCAUAUGAUAACUUUCUCAUUUAUAUACUUAUUUUACGACAUUAUAUUAUUAUUUUUAUGUAAUAUUGUCAAAUUAUUUUGAAUGGAGGAUGAUCUUCGUCAUUCUCGAAAAUGAUAGACAUUAUAUCUCAAUUUGAUAUAUUUGUGACUUGUUUGAUGAAUUACAAACAUUUAUUAUCUACUUUAGUGAUUGUUAUGGUACCAUAAUACUGUCAUAUGCGGAAAAAAAAGUAUUUUAUUUGAGAUGUGAGGAUUUAAAAAAUAACUAACUAUUUUUUAAUAUAAUAAUAGUUAUUUUCAUACCCCCUCUUCCCCCACUGCCAAAAAAAGAACAAAAAAAACUAGAAAAAGAUAAGUAUAGUGUGUGGUCUCUUGAAUGUCAUCAUUGAUAUGUUUAGUUGCUCGAGUUAAAAUAAUUAAUUAUUUGCUAAAACAAAAUAAAACUCUAAUUUAAAUAAAUAAAAACAAAAGUUGGAAUGUAAAGUAUUAUUUAUCAAAUGGAAAAGCAACCCAAUGGUUAUCAUUGGCCUGCAUUUGCUGGAAGACCAAAUGGCCUUUCGGGUUGAUACAAAAACCUGCCAGUUCGUCUGGUUCCGCGAUUUGACUGCUGAUUUGGCCGGAAAAUAGUUCAAUUGGAAGCUGAGCCGCUCUUAACUAGCGAUCGGGGCCAAGUUUGAAAACAUUGCACCGAAAUCAAUAAAGCUAUGGAAAACUUCAUAAGAUUUCACAUUCAUAAAUAUAAAUUGCGUAUGCUGUAGGAGUUUAAUAAAACUUAACACGAAUUUGACCCAAAUUAUCCUAUUUAAUAUUUCCAUCGAUUAAUUUAAUUAUAACUUAAUUUAUAUUUAACUCAUUUUGAUUAUUAAAUAUGAGAACCUAAUUACUAAAUAAGUUAAAUAGGUUACGCAAUGUGUUAUAUAUUUAAUAAUUAAAUGACAUCUAAAUUUAUGUUUUCGACACAAUUAUUAUUUUUGUCAGGUUUGGAUUGACCUAUGUAAUAUGAUACCUAGGCUUUGAUACAAACACAAUCAUCACCCACCAAUGCAAAUUGUACUUAAAUUGAUUUAAGUCGAUUUACCUAACACCCCACCCUCGUAGUGUUUGUUUUUGCAUCCCCAAUCCCCCAUUUACAGAGCCAACAUAAAUCAAUAUCAAACAAGAACAUGUUCAAAACUGUCAGUCGGCGGAUGCCAUUGAAGUACUCUAUUUUCCAUCGGGUCUGAGAAUGACCAAUGUACCUUUUUGAAAUUGAAUAAGAGUUAGAAUUAUCAUUCUCAUUGCAAGUAAAAAUCAAGCAUAAAUUUGAAAUCAAUUCGAAGCCCUAUGCUUCAAUUAUAAUUACAUACAAAUCCAACAUGAUAAGGUACUACUGAUUGAUCCAUGAGACCUGCAAUGAGAUAUUCAGCAGAGAGCAAUCAACAAUCCAUAACAUUGGUUUACCAAGAGGGUUGCAUUGGCUCUUUCACAAAGCAUUUCACUCCCCUUCACUAAGAAUUGGGACUAUGAGUGGAUUCAUCUGCGCAAGAUAAACGAUUGCCCACCUAACAAUGCAAAAACAGCAUACGGUAACUACAAUGGUAAGAAUGCAAGAAAGCAAGAACAUCAACACAACAACAUCAUUCAUCAUUUCUGAUUUAGUUUCAGAAAACUAUCCAGUCCCAGAAAUAGGGCACCUAGAAACCCCUCAGAGAGACAACAAUGAAAUGUUUUAAGGCUGAAACUGACAAGUAUAAUUAAAUAUCCAUUAGUAGGCGAUUUAAACUUUAUCUUUAACAUCAACUUCCGUAAUCCAGAGUCCAAUUAUUACUGAGAAAGAAAAAGAAACAUCAAUCAAACAUGAACUUACAUCAUCCAACAGCAAACAGUCGCUGUAAUAACCAAUGUUAGGUGCAAUCUGCAUCACAAAAUGCAAGUCAGCUGUUUUGGAAACAAUAAGAAGAUGAAUGUUUUUACAGAUAAUGACUGAACUGUUUAAGGAAGAACUAGCAUGACCCAGAAAUGCAUGCAGGUUUUUCUGUAUAUUACAAAGAAAAUCCACGGGUGAACGGCUGUAGAACUAGCAUAAUAUAAAUUAUAGUUUUAGCUUAUUUCAUUUGUAUAACUAUGUUUCUCUCUCAAACAAAAGGUCAUAAAUCUAUAAGGUUUCUACUUCAAUAAUUUAUCAAAAAAAUAAAAAAAUAAAAAGUUUCUACUUCAACUAGCUCACAGAUGUCACAUCAUUAAAAUUAUCACAACCAUUGGGGACUUAAAGAUCAACUGCUACCUAGCCAAUCUGCUCAAAUCUAAGGCUAUUGGACUUGCCUUCAUCCUUUCUGUCUUUUCACCUACAAAGCUAUAUCCCUCAUACUUAAGCAGUCUGGAUUAUGUUGUACAUGAACAAACCAUCCCAAUCCCAUUAUCUAUCCUGAAAAAAAUGACAUUCUUUUCUUUUACAAGAGGCAAAUCAAGUAGCCCCGGUUUCCAGGACCAAGGAAAACAAUUGAUACAUGAUUCCUCUCCAAGGAUUGUGUAUCAGGUAAGCCUGAAAACCAAACAACAUGUUCAUGAGCAGGGGCCUGCCAGUUGAGCCGCCUGUAGAGUCAAAAUCAAACCAUCCUAAUCUACUGCAAUUUCUCACUUCUCAUUAGUGUAUACAUUUCUUAAUCCACAAUUUUCUUUCCAAUCAUUCAUCUUGGCAACUUCGGUUCAACAAUGUUUCAUUCAUUUCUGGACUCCCUAACAUUCUUAUGAGAAUCAAAGAGCAUAUUUUACAUUAUUCAAUGAGAACAAGGAAAUUCAAGUAUCACAGGCAGCUAUAUAUAUGGCGAGGAAGCAUACAAAUUUGCAGAAGGCCCUUUGUUGCAGCAGAUUCUGGCACAAAAAGAUGCGAUGAUUCCAGUAACAAUGAAAAUUAGGGUUGUUACAAAGAACCCCAUCUCGAUCCGAUCCCACCAACCGGCGAUCACGGAAUCCUAGUUUGAACUCGAUUUCAGGUCCAAAAAACCCUAAAUUCAAAUGCAAAUGCAAAAUUACACGGAAAAUCCUUAAAAUUCUACUCUCGUCACAAACUGAUAGAAUCUUAAAACAACAGAAAUCGCAAUAAUAAAAUUUCACAUUAUUUUCUUUCCCUAAAUUUUACGGAGGGUGAGAGAGAAGUGGAACCUCAAACUCCGGCGAUCUGCGAAGCUCUCUCCGGCGUCGUUUUGGGGUCUCUCCGUAUCUUACUAUAUUCAUCCCAUCUGUAGUACGACAUGGGCCGAAUGGAAUCUCAAAUAGGCCCAAUACUAAUUGGAUUGGUCUUGAAUGUAUAUGAUAGGGAUACAAACCGUCCCAAUCCACCAAAAAUUUUUGGGCCAAAGGUUAACCCCGCCUAUGCGCCAGUCCUAGUCGGUCCAACUCGUUUAGAUAUGCAGUCUCUAGUUUAAUUUUGGUGGGCUUGGGCACAGAGUUGGGCUUAGGUUUGGGGCGGCUUUACCAUAUGCCAUGUUUUUUUUUUUUUUUUCACGUUAGUAAGACCUUAUUUGGACUGAUUUUUAGGGUGUUUGGUAAAAUUUAAUACUUAAUAACUUAAGUUGAUUUUAAGUUAAAAUUGACUUAAAACUUAUUACUUAAUUUUUAUUUUUAAGUAUUAAGGUUAUUUGAUAAAAUUAACUUAAAACUUAUUAUAAAUCAUCAAAUUAAUAUAUUUAUCCUCAUAAAUUAUAACUAAAACAAAGGAGGUCGAGUAACAAUAAAGGUUGAAGAGUAGCAAAAGAGAUAGUGGAGAUAACUAUGAUAAAUGGGGUAAAAAGAUAAAAUAAAAAUUAUUAUUAUUAUUAUUUUUACUUUAAAACAUCAUUAAGUUAUUUUACCAAAUACACUUAAUUUAUUUAAUGAUUUAAAUUAAGUUAUUAAGUCACUUUAAGUUAUUUCGUUGGUUUACCAAACACUCACUUAUUUUAAUAAGAGGUUAAUUAAUUUUGUUCAAAAUAUUAACUUUAAAAAGAAUUUAACAUGAAAAUUAAAAAAAAUAUAAUUUUUUGUUUAGAUGAAUAUGUUAUCCAAAUUAUUGAAGAUGUAUGGAUAAUAAAUAUACAAAUAAAUAAAGUAAGUAGAAAAUUGGAACUCACAAAUAAGAUUGAUCGAGGCUAGAGUUUGACUCUAUGUCCUUAAAGACAAAUUUGUUUUAUUUAGGUACUUACAAUUUUUUGACAAUCGUUUUACAGGAUACAACGAUCAUUUUCUUGUGAUAGUAAUACUUCAAAUCACAAGAAAUAACGAAUCACAAGAAAUAACGAAUCACUUCGUAAUUUGUAUUAUUUUAUAUACCAAAUAUUUGAUAGAAAAGAGAAAUGUCUAAACUUGAAACUAAAGAAGACUUGAAAGACAAAAAAGGUGAAAGAGUGACGAGAAAAGACGAAUGAAAAUGUCUUGGGUCCCUAUUUAUAGAUUUGAUGAUGACUUUUAGAAGAGACGUGUCUUUAAAAUACUAGACACAUCUUUUGAAGGUUCGUGUCAUAAGACACCAAAUACAUUAUUCGAAAGAGAUUGUGUCUUUUAAAUACAAUACAUCCUUUUAAAACCAGUUGUGUUUAUAAGAAACAACAAUCUUCCCAAGAAAAAAAAAGUGAAUUUCCAUUCACCUAUAUAAAUUCUAACAAAAAAAUUACAUUUUCCAGAAUAGACAAGAAAACAACAUAUAAUUUCCUCCACAAAUCUUAACCUCGAUCAAAAAAUUGUUUUCAAUAGUAGUGUUAUUAUUAUUAUUAUUUUUAAAGCAAUGUUGACAAUUUGAUUUUCAAAUAAGGCACCCACCAUAUAUGAUUAUCUUUGAAUUCUGAGUUUGUAUAUUCUAGAAGGAUAUUUUGUUGUUUUUUGGGAUCACCAAAUACAAGAAAAAUCAAAAUAAAAAGGGAAAGAAUAAGGUCAUUUGUUUAGAUUUCAAAGAAAACAAAAAUUGGGUCCUAAAAUAUGUUUAGACAAUUUUUUUCCAUUUUCAUUUUCUAGAAAUCUAAAUUUAGAAAAUCCAAAAAAUGAAAACAUCAAUUUGAUUUUAUUAAGACAAGUGUAUAUACACACAAAUUUGGUUUAUUUUUGGAUUAAAAAUUAUUUAUAAGUUGAUAUAUUUUUAUAUUAUAAACUAAUUCAUUUUAAUUGACUUGCUUUGAGAUAACAUUUUAAAAUAAUAAUGCAACUUUUUUGUUAAAUGUAUAAAAUUACAAGAUUUGUAAAUACAUCUUACAGUUGAGUACAAAAUUAUUAGACCUAGUCAUUUUCUCAAGUAUAAAAAAUAUGGGAAAUUGGUUGAAGUGCACAUAAACUCAAGUUCUUGAAACCUUCUCAAUGAGCCCUUCAAGAUUUAAGUAGUUGAAGCAUGGUAAUUAAGAAAUGACUUAUUUGAUUAAUUAAAAUUGAUAUUGAAAAUGCAAAUUUGAAAAAAUGAUGUUCAUCUUUUCAAAAUAUGGAAUGUGAACUCUUUUGGAGAAAAUUACAAUUUAACAAAUUUUUAAUCAUCAAUCUUUUUUUUUUUUUUUUAAUAAAAAGUUUAAGAAGAAAAAUAUCAAAACAAGAUUGUAUGUGUAAUUUUUUUUUAUUACGUAGAAGUUAUUUUUUUCAAAUAUGAGGAUUAUUUCACCUGUUUUGAUGAAAUACUUUUCAAGAAAUUUUUUAGGGAACUUUUAAUACUAAAAAUAAAAUAAAAAAUCUUUAUGAAAGGGCUUUGUGUCAAUUGUUUUUUUAUUUAAACAAUAUUAUUUAAAAAAUAUCUUGAUAAAUAAUAUUUUAUAAAUAUUAUAAAAGUACGAUACUUUUAAAACUAUCUUUACAAAAAAGAUUUAUUGGUAAUAGAUAUUGUAAGCUAAUUUUGGGUCAAAAUUCUCAUCGUGUUCUCUUAACUCAAUUAAUUCAAAUCCUCCCUCGAGCUUUUUGUUAUUUCUAAAGUGUUUCUAAAAUGGGUUGAUUUAGUUUAGGUUUUAUUAAUUUAUACUCUCAUAUUUUUCAUCUUUGGAAUACAACCCGAAUUUCUUCUUGUGUAGAUUAAAAAAAAAAAAAAGGUUGAGAUCAAACUUCUAUGAGCUUUAAAUGUGUUUUAGAAGAAGAAAGUGAAUACUUGAAGUUUGAAAGCACUAGGUAAGUAGUUUGGGAGAGGAUUGACGGUUUGGACUAAAUAAAUCCUAAUAUUUAGUUAAUUUUCUUCAUAAUGAAUAGUUUUGAUCGCAUGUAGCUUAUGGUUUUUUUAUCUAUUUGGAAGUUUUCCACGUUAAAUCUUGAUGUUAUGGUCUUUUUUCUUUUAUCUCAUCCUUUCAUUUGUUUAUCUCACCUUUUGUGAAAUUUUCAUUAAUUUAAUAUGUAGGUUGAUUUAGGAAAUGAGUUGAAAUUGAUUCAUUUAAUCUUUGGAAUACUAUGAAAUAUUUUUUAACAUGUAUUUUAUGUUAAUGGAAAUGAGAGAAUGCAUUUUGAAUAUUUGAAAUGCCUUGUAUAUCUUGGGUAGAGAGUGUUUACUCAUUUUCAUGAUGAAAGUUUAAAAAUCUAGAUUAGGGAACACUUGGAUAUGGUGAAUAAGUGUUAGAAAUUUUUUUUAGCCCUAAGUUAAUUAUUUUUAAUUUUGAAUAAAGAAAUAAAAACCCUUUUUAGCAUGAUAUUUAUAGGAUACAAAUAUUGAGUCGAUUGAAACUAGAAAUUUUAAAAUAAAAUCGAUUAAACCAUGGAAAUAAAUAAAAAUUAUGGAAUUGGGCGCCCUUAGGAGUGCUCCAAACAACACUUGAGUGCUCUCCACGAUGCUUAAACACCCCUUUUUAAAAAACAAUUUUAAAACAAUUUUUCACUCAAAUUAAAAACCUUCCAUCCACUUCAUGCCUAAAUAAAUCCAAUUAACAUUUUAUGGAUCUUUUUAGACUUAAUUGUAUCAUUUUGGUUGAUCACACAAUGAUCUUGUGUUUUCAACAAAAAGUAAGACAUAAUUUAAAGAAGUCCUAAGUGAGAAUGAAUGGAAUAAAAUUACUAAUUAUAUAAAAAUACAUAAUCUAUUGUACAAAUUACAUUCAUUAUCUUGUUGGGACAACGUUCAACAUCUAUUAUUGCUUAUUGGUAGGACCGAAAAAAUAUCAAAUCAACCUAAAUAUCAUAGAAGUAGUUAACAUUUAUAAAAUACUAUCUUCAAUGGACAUCUAUUCAGCAUCUCUAAACGCUAUCCUUGAUUAAGAUUCACAUAUAGGUAUCAUCAUUUUCAAUUUUUUUAUAUAUAUUUUUUCAUAUUUUAUUUCUAAAAAGUAAAAUCAUCUUUUUAAAAUGAGAUUUUAGUAUAAACAAAACUUAUGAAUUUGUUUAAAAACAUAGGUAAUUGUGAAAAAAGAAACUUGUAUGGGUGAGAGCAAGUUUAUAUUAUCAAAUAAAAUACAUAACAUUGAUCCCAUGGAUUGAAGCUACAAAAUACAAAAGGCAUUUAGUGCGUUCACAUGUGAAUGUCAAGAACAAAGAGGAAAGCAAACAAAAGAGUAGUCAUGAACGGUGGACUCUCUGUAAAGUAACUCCCAGACCUAACACAUUAUACGUAAGACAUGACGUCCAUUCUUAAUAUAUAAUCCAUUUUCUUUACCAUCUCAAGCUGUGCAGGUUAAUUUCAUACUGCUUUACAUCUUUCUUAUUGACUUAUUGUACACAUUCUACCAACUAGUUAAUGCGGUAGUCACUUAUUGUACACAAGGAACUGGGACGGGAGAGUGAUGACGCAGGAGGGGACGUAACCAUUCUACUGAGAAAUUGGAAUCAACCGGAGCAGUCGAGUGUCAGCUUUAAAUUCGAAGCUUGUCCUAUACAUGUCCUGUGGGACACCCCAAUCUUCCUCUCUGUGAUUCAGUGACGUGAGGAGGGACGUAUGCAGAAACCGUUAAACCUAAAUAUUAUUACAUCAUUGUAAUUAAGUAGGAACGUGGGAUAUUCAUAUUGGGUAAAGUCAGUUUCAAUUUAGAAUGAAGAUUUUAGAGGAAUGGUGUCGUUAGAGAAACCAUAAAGACUAUAGAGAACCUCAAAACCACGAUCCUGAAAUUCUUCUCUCUUCUCCUGGUCAUAGCUUCCAACCCCUCAUCAUGGGUCUGCACUCCACAUUUAGGAUUCUAUGCCAAAAUUUUGAGUUAAUAUGCAAUCUUAUCCAAAGUCAUGUCCUGCCGACAUUUUGGAGUAUGUGGGGAACUGACAGAUGUUAAUCUCUAGGCCUGAAAUCGUAAAUCUUUAGCUUUAUGUCAACAAGAAGUAGCUUGAUGAACAUAACCCAAAUCCCUGCAGAUUCGUUCCUUGAGACAGUGACGGAUCCCCUAAUACGUGGGUCCCUUUUUCUUAUCAAGAAAAACAUAGCACGUGGUUCCCUUCUGUGACUUCUUUGGUCAAAAGUUCUCAAUCUAAAUUCUUUGCAGUGCCACUGAGAAACAAGUAUAUCUCCACUAAUUGUUUCCUCUGAUUUAAUUUGUCCAUUACAGAUAAUGGCUGUUCAAAAGUUAGCCUAUUUGCCACGUCCCGGGGAUUUCUAUCUUAAUCAUAUGAGACAAAAUAUUGACUGGCGUGGCAAAGUUAGCUCCGUGAACUUCCCAACUACGCAGCCUCUCGCACUCACUUACACUCGCACUAAAGUCUAUAAAUACCGAGUGCGUAUUGCCUUUCCAAUCCAUCCAGCAGAGAAACAAUAUCUUUGAGAGUUACUUUUCAGUAGAAAGUCUUUCACCUCCUUUGCUUUUGUGUGAGAAAAAUGGCUUACUCCAAGACUUUCCUUCUCAUUGGCCUUCUCUUUGCUGUUGUUCUCAUCCUGUCCUCUGAGGUUUCAGCUCGGGAUCUAGCUGAAACAUCCCAAACUCGUAAGUUAAAUUUCUUUUAGUAGAUGUAAAUUAAUGGCAUGUUAUGUGUUCAUAUAGAGAUGCUUUAUUAACUUAUUUAAAGUAAUAAAUUUCGUUUUCUUAAAUUAUGGCAGAAGUGAGCGUGGAGGAUGCGAAGUACGGUGGGUAUGGACACGGGUACGGCCACGGAAAAGGACAUGGGUACCAAAAAGGACAUGGGCAUGGGCAUGGGAAACCUGGUCAUGGGGGACCUGGCCAUCCACCUGGUCAUGGUGGUGCUGGUGAGGAUGUGGAAGAGGGGACGCAGAAUUAGUGUAAUCAAUCCUUAAUUAUGUGGGCUACGCAUGAUUAGGGUGUGUUUUAUGUAAGUUUAUGAAAGCGUGUGUAUCAAUAAGGCAUGUGGGCUUAGGGUUACUCUCUAAGACCAGCAUGGCUGUGUUGUAGCUUCUAUGCUUAAUAUAAUGCUUUUUCAUGUGCUGUGCUAAAAUGGAGUAUGAUGAAUGCCGUCGGGUGAUCUACCCUUUUUUUUUUUCUUGGGAUUAUAUUAUUUACUUCGGAGUAAUUUUGUUGAGAUAUGAUUUUGUGUAAAUAUACUUACCAUCAUUGGUUUCAAAUUAUAUUAGUUUAUACCCUCACCAACAUACCCACCUCAAAUCUUUACCUAAAAUUGAUCUAAAAACCUAAAAUUUAUCUAAAAAGUAAAUUGUGAACAUGCGAAAUUUAAAACCAGCAACAACUUAGGCUAUGUUUGGUUUUCGAAAAAUUUGAGGAAAAUGUAAAGGAAAGAAAAUAGAGAGGAAAAGUAAAAGGAAAGAAAAGGAAAAUAAAAAAUAGAGUUAAAGAUAAUAAAUCAUUUUUAUUUGUUACUUUAAAUUUAUAUUAUUUAUUUUAAUUUAUCAAUAUAAAAAUUAAAUAAUUUUAAAAUAUAUAAGUUUUUAAUUAAUUUUAAUUAUAUUUAAUUUUCUUUGUAAUAUUUUAUAGGAUAAUUAAAUAUGAGAAAAUCAUUUUUUAUCAUUUUUUUUUUCUUUUGUACUUUUCGGGAACCAAACAUAACUUUAGUGUAUUUACACUCAACCUUAAAAGUAUAAAUGAGAUUAAUUUUUAUUUGGAAUUAUUGGAAUUUGGAUUUGAAAAGAAAGAAAUUUUUUUUUUGAAUUGAGAAAAAAAUGAAGGUAAAAAGUAUAAUAACCAAUUAUAUAGUUAUAAAAAGAAUUUGCAUGGUAAAGCCUUUUAUUGAGAGGUCUUAGUUUUCUUUGAGAUAUUUUAAGUUGAAGAUUAUUGCAGUCAAUCCUAUUUUGUGGGUUAUUUAUAUAAAUUCAUUGAAAUUGUAGCUCGGGAGUAAAUGAAAUACAAAUAGGAUAUGCAUUCUCAGUCCUCUAUUUAAGAAACCAAAUGUAGUAUAAAAAAAAAUACUUAUGCAAUUUAAUAUAACAAUAAUACUUCCUAUCCAACACUUAGUCCAAGAGUUACUUAUAUUCCCAUUUUUAUAAGUAUACCAAAUAUAAUUAUUGUUGGUGCACAAUGAAUGAUUACUCGAUUUGGGUAGUUUUUUCCACUGGAUUGGAUGAUUUUGUAAAAAACGAGUCGUUGGAUGGUUGUUUUGGGCAUCCUUCUUCAAUGGUUAAGUUAGUUUGAGAAUUUUUAAGGCAAAUAUUUUGUAUGGGUUUAGAGUGUAUAUCUUUAUUUAUUUUUAACGUUCGAUGUUCUUUUAUAAUAGAGGCAUCUUAUAAUGGUGUUUAUAUUUUAUGAUUAUUAUUUAUUGUAGUUUUAGUGCAUGUUAGAGCAUAACGAUUUAGUCAUUGGAAAUGAUUGAUUAUUUAUAUUAUGAAAUAAUUACCUUUGAAAUGACACAUAAUGAUUGUAUUUAUAUUUUUACCAUUGGAAAAAUAAUUAUUGACUCUAAUUUGGUUCUAUGUUAGUCGGGCGAUACAAGUUGUAUCUAAAUCAUUAAAUGAUGAGAUUUUGAUUAUUGAAUGUGAAUAGAAAUGGAGGUGAUAAAAAUUUAAAGGCAUAAAUAAAUGGAAUUAAUGUAUAUAAAAAAAAAAGAUUUGAAAAUGGUUUAAGUGUUGGCAUGCGAGGGUGUCCUUUGUUAUCUAAGAUCGAUUUGAAGAGAAUUGAGAGGUCGGUGGACAUGAGGACAGAUAUGAGAAUGACGUGAGAUGGGACGUAAUCAUUCAAGAGAUAUCAUGUGAGUAGAAAUUAGAAUGUAGUGAACUUUGCCCAUGCAUAUGGAGUUGAAUUUUAAGCUCAAAUCCAACACCUGUCACCCAUGUGGCACUCUCAAUUGACAUAAUAGUGUUGUGUUUUGGACUUGGUGACGUGUGGAGGGACGUACGUAUACAUGAAUGGGCUGUUUCAGGGACUUUUCUCAAUAGUAUAGUAAUUUAAAAAAGUUAUGCUUAAAUUAUUAUAGUAGAAGAAGUUAUUACAAAUAUAUGGUAGUUUUUGCCACAUAGGAGAAAGGAGAGAGGAGAUAGGAGAGAGGGUGAACGGAUAAUUUUUUUUAAAAAAGGGAACUCGUCUCUUGAAGAGACGAGUUCCAUGAAAAAAAAAUAUAUAUUUUUUAAAAAAAAUUCCUAUUUACUCAAGGGAACUCGUCUCUUGACGAGUUCCAUGAAAAAAGACAAGGGAAAGACGAGUUCCUAGGGAAAAAAAAAUAUUUUUUUUAAAAUAUAUUUUUUAUUUAAAAAAAAUCCUAAAUUAAAUUAUAAAAAAAAUUUCCUAAAGGGAACUCGUCUCUUCAAGAGACAAGUUCCCAUGUAAAAAAAUUUUUUUUUUUUUUAAAAUAUAUAUAUUUAAAAAAAAAAAAUUUCCUUUUUUUUUAAUUUGGGAUUUUUUUAAAAUAAAAAAUAUAUUUAAAAAAAAAAUAUUUUUUUCCCAUGGGAACUCGUCUCUUCAAGAGACGAGUUCCCUUUAGCAAUUUUGAGAAAUUGUUUUUUUUUUUUUAAUAUAUAUAUAUUUAAAAAAAAUAUUUUUUUUACAUGGGAACUCGUCUCUUGAAGAGACGAGUUCCCUUUGGAAUUGUUUUUUUUUUUUUUUUUUAUUUGGGAUUUUUUUUUAAAAAAAAUAUUUUUUUUACAUGGGAACUCGUCUCUUGAAGAGACGAGUUCCCUUUGGAAUUGUUUUUUUUUUUUUUUUUUUUAUUUGGGAUUUUUUUUUUUUAAAAAAUAUUUUUUUCCUAUGGGAACUCGUCUCUUGAAGAGACGAGUUCCCUUUAGGANNNNNNNNNNNNNNNNNNNNNNNNNNNNNNNNNNNNNNNNNNNNNNNNNNNNNNNNNNNNNNNNNNNNNNNNNNNNNNNNNNNNNNNNNNNUUUUAUUUAUUUAAAAAUAUAUAUUUUUUUUUACAAGGGAACUUGUCUCUUCAAGAGACGAGUUCCCUUUAGCAAUUUUGAGAAAUUGUUUUUUUUUUUUUUUUAAUAUAUAUAUAUUUAAAAAAAAAUAUUUUUUUUACAUGAAGAGACGAGUUCCCUUUGGAAUUGUUUUUUUUUUUUUAUUUUUUUAUUUUUUUAUUUGGGAUUUUUUUUAAAUAAAAAAUAUAUUUUAAAAAAAAAUAUUUUUUUUCCCAUGGGAACUCGUCUCUUGAGUUUCCUUUAGGAAUUUUUUUUUUUUAAAAUAUAUAUAUAUUUUUAAAAAAAAUAUUAUUUUUACAUGGGAACUCCCUUUAGGAAUUUUGAGGAAUUGUUUUUUUUUUUUUUUAAUAUAUAUAUUUUAAAAAAAAAAUAUUUUUUUUUACAUGGGAACUCGUCUCUUGAAGAGACGAGUUCCCUUUGGAAUUGUUUUUAUUUUUUUAUUUUUUUUAUUUUUAUUUUUAUUUUUAAUUUGGGAUUUUUUUAAAUAAAAAAUAUAUUUAAAAAAAAAAAAUUUCCCAAGGGAACUCAGGAAAUUUUUAUUUUUUUUAAAUAUAUAUAUUUUUAAAAAAAAUAUUUUUUUUUUACAUGGGAACUCAUCUCUUCAAGAGACGAGUUCCUUUGAGGAAUUGUUUUUUUUUUUUUUUUUUAAUAUAUACAUUUAAAAAAAAAAAUAUUUUUUUUUUACAUGGGAACUCGUCUCUUCAAGAGACGAGUUCCCUUUGGAAUUGUUUUUUUUUUUUUUUUUAAUUUUUUAAUUUGGGAUUUUUUAAAUAAAAAAUAUAUUUUAAAGAAGAGACGAGUUCCUUUAGGAUUUUUUUUAAAUAAAAAAUAUAUUUAAAAAUUUUUUUUUUUCCCAUGGGAACUCGUCUCUUGAGUUCCCUUAGGAAAUUUUUUUUUUUAAAUAUAUAUAUUUAAAAAAAAAAAAUAUUUUUAAAAAAAAAAAAUUUUUUUUUACAUGGGAACUCGUCUCUUCAAGAGACGAGUUCCCUUUAGGAAUUUUGAGGAAUUGUUUUUUUUUUUUUUAAUAUAUAUAUUUUAAUUAGGAAUUUUUUUUUUAAAUAUAUAUAUUUUUUUAAAAAAAAUAUUUUUUUUUACAUGGGAACUCGUCUCUUGAAGAGACGAGUUCCCUUUGGAAUUGUUUUUUUUUUAUUUUUUUUUUAUUUUUUAUUUUUUUAUUUGGGAUUUUUUUAAAUAAAAAAUAUAUUUAAAAAAAAAAAUAUUUUUUUUCCCAAAGGGAACUCGUCUCUUCAAGAGACGAGUUCCCUUUGGAAUUGUUUUUUUUUUUUUUUUAUUUUUUAUUUUUUAUUUUUUAUUUGGGAUUUUUUUAAAUAAAAAAUAUAUUUAAAAAAAAAAAUAUUUUUUUCCCAAAGGGAACUCGUCUCUUCAAGAGACGAGUUCCCUUUGGAAUUGUUUUUUUUUUUUUUUUUUUUUAAAUUUGGGAUUUUUUUAAAUAAAAAAUAUAUUUUAAAAAAAAAAUAUUUUUUUUCCCAUGGGAACUCGUCUGAAGUAGGAAUUUUUUUUUAAAUAUAUAUAUUUUAAAAAAAAAUAUUUUUUUUUACAUGGGAACUCGUCUUUUUUUUUUUUUUUUUUUUUAAUUUAGGAUUUUUUUUAAAUAAAAAAUAUAUUUUAAAAAAAAUAUAUUUUUUUUCCCAUGGGAACUCAUCUCUUGAAGAGACGAGUUCCCUUUAGGAAUUUUUUUUUUAUGGGAUUAUUUUUAAAUAAAAAAUAUAUUUAAAAAAAAUAUAUAUUUUUUUUUCCCAGGGGAACUCGUCUCUUCAAGAGACGAGUUCCCUUUAGUUCCAAAUUGUUUUUUUUUUUUUUUUUAAUUUGGGAAUUUUUUAAAAAUAAAAAUAUUUUUUUAAAUGGAAACCCGCCCCUUGGAGAAAAGAGUUUCCUUGAAAAAUGGUUUUUUUUUUUUUUUUUAAUUUGAAAAUUUUUUAACAAUAAAUUAUAUAAUUUUUUCCAGGGAACCCCCCUCCUGAAAAGACAAGCUCCCCAAAGAAAAGGGGAAUUUUCUUAAAAAANNNNNNNNNNNNNNNNNNNNNNNNNNNNNNNNNNNNNNNNNNNNNNNNNNNNNNNNNNNNNNNNNNNNNNNNNNNNNNNNNNNNNNNNNNNNNNNNNNNNUUUUUUUCCCAUGGGGAACUCAUCUCUUGAAGAGACGAGUUCCCUUUAGGAAUUUUUUUUUUAUGGGAUUAUUUUUAAAUAAAAAAUAUAUUUAAAAAAAAUAUAUAUUUUUUUUCCCAUGGGAACUCGUCUCUUCAAGAGACGAGUUCCCUUUAGUUCCAAAUUGUUUUUUUUUUUUUUUUUAAUUUGUGAAUUUUUUAAAAAUAUAUAUAUUUUUUUUAAUGGGAACUCGUCUCUUGAAGAGACGAGUUUCCUUGAAGAAUUGUCUUUUUUUUUUUUUUUAAUUUGAGAAUUUUUUUACAAAUAUAUAUAUAUAUUUUUUCAUGGAACUCGUCUCCUGAAGAGACGAGUUCCCUUAAGUAAAUGGGAAAUUUUCUUAAAAAAAUAUAUAUAUUUUUUUUCAUGGAACUCGUCUCUUCAAGAGACGAGUUCCCUUUUUAAAAAAAAUUUAUCGAUUCACCCUUUCUCCUAUCUCCUCUCUCCUCUCUCUCACCUUCUCUCCUAUCUCCUUUCUCCUCUCUCCUAUGUGGCAAAAACUACCAUAUAUUUGUAAUAACUUCUUCUACUACAAUAAUUUAAGCAUAACUUUUUUAAAUUACUAUAUUAUUGAGAAAAGUCCCUGUUUCCAGUUUCCAACUAUGUCAUUAAAGGAAGGUUCAUGAUUUUUUUGGAACUUUAAAAUGAUAUGACAAACACAGCGUAGCAUUUUUCUUAAAAGGAAAUCCAUAUAAAACAAUUUAUAUUUCUAAUUACCAAAUUCUUCGUACCAAUAUUUAGAGUGUUUGAUAAUAAUUAUAAAAAAUAUUUAUACUUUUUUUAACACCAAAAUUUUUUUAUCUUUCACAUAUAAAAAAGUUAAAAAUACUUUCUAAAACUUUAAUACAUUCAUUUUCAUUUGAAGUGGGUAAUCGAGGCAAUGUUUGUCUUUUUCUUUUUGAAUUGUUGCUAUCUUUGAGUUAAUCCUUUGGAGCCUCAUUCUACAGUAUGAAGAGAAGAACAAGUAAAAGUGGUCCUCCAUCAGUAAGUUAUUAACAAUUACCCAAUGGCAAGGUGGGAAAUUUGAUAGGAUAAAAAAAAAAAUCCUUAAAUGGACAUUUCAUUCAUUUGAAUAACAUGGAAAUGAAAUCCCAUGAGUGAAAUUUUAAUUCUUCCUAAUUAGGGGUAUUUUAAUUCCAUAGUAUAACUUAUUUUUAAAAUUACUUUUCAAAAAUUAAAAAAUUAAAGACCUUUUUAGAUAAGUUAUUUUUAAAAUUAAUUUUUAUUUUGAUUUUGUAAAACAUACAAAUUUUAGAUUCAAUUUAUAUAAUAUAAAUUAAGGGUGCUUUUGACAAUGACUCUAGGAAGCCUUUUUUUUUUAAUCCUAAAAUGUGUUUUUGAAAAAAAAAUAAUUAGGUGUUUGACAAAUUUUAGGAAACACUUUUAAAAAUUUGAAGAGUGUGUUUGACAUUGAUUUUAUAAAAUAAUUUUUUUUUUUACAUUUUUAAUACUUGAAAAAUAAAAUUUUUAUAGUGUUAGAAAAAUUAAAAGUGCCUCUUAGAAUCACUACCAAAUGGGGUCGAAAAAUUACUUAUAAUGUUUUUUUAGACAAACACUUGAUAGAUGAUUAUCCUAAAAACACUUUUAAAGAAAAUACUUUCACUAAAAACAUUUCUGAGUAGUAACAUUAAUUGAUUUAUUUUGUUAAAAAUAAAUAAUAAUAAUUUCCAAUACUAUUUAUAUGAUUUUAUAAAUAUUAUAAAAAUAUGGAUAUUAACAUAUUAUAAAAGCAUAAUUAAUUUAUUUUGUUAAAAAUAAAGAAUAAUUAUUCAAAAUUAAUAAUUGCUAAUACUAUUCUAUUUUAAAUAAAUAUAAAAACAAACAAAAUUUAAAAUUUUAAGUUAUAAAUGAGCUAAAAUUUUCAAUAUGUAUGCAUUUAUUACUUAAUUAUGAAGAUGACAUUGUGAAUUAUUUUAUUUGAUCUAUAAUUAAUUAAUUAAUUAUUUAAAUUUUGAAUUAUUCUUAAAAAAUUAUAUAUAUGUUUUAAAUUCUUUAAUAAAUCUUAUCAUUUUUAAAAGCAAAGUAAAAUAAAGAAUUGUUCAAUACAAAGUCUUGUUUAAUUUGAAAUUCAUUGUUAGGAAAGAAAAAAAAAUUCAGAAGAACAGUUCUCUAUUUUACUUUGCUUUUAAAAAUUGUGUUUAAAGAACAACAACCAUAUAGUGAUAUAAAUUUUUAAAAACAAUUUUGUUUUUAAAUCACACGACCAAAUAGGAUUUUAUUACCGGGACCCCAGAUCUUUCUGUUCUCAUACCUUGGAUCGUAUAGGUGCAUGUAAACUACUCUAUGCCUUUAGAUCUUAUGUAAUGGAAGCAAAAAAUAAAAUUUUAAUAUUCUAAGAUAUAAAGAAAAGUCAUUAGAAAACUUUACCUUUAAUUUAAACGUUUUCAAAUCAAUUUCGCUCAAUGAAGUUGAAGCUUGAACAGUUCGAAGGUCUCGUACACCCAAGAUUUUCCUCUCAAUGACUCGAAUUACGAUCUUAACACUCCAAAGUGUAGGCUUUGGGAGGGAGGAAUCCUAGGCUCUUUAUCUUUAGAGGUAGAAGACGACUAUCUUUCAAAGUGAUGAAAACCCUAACUCCUAGGGGGUAUUUAUAGAGUUUCCUUAUUAGGCUUAAGUGACUUGAGCCUACCAAGGCUUAAGUGACUUGAGCCUACCAAAGCUUAAGUCAUUUAAUUUAGUCUAAAAUGGGUCCUAAUUAAUUAAUUAACUAUAUAUGUCUAUUUAAUUAAUUAAUUCGCACAUUUUAAAGAACUUGUUUGCUAUUCCCUAUGCAACCUUGCAUAAUUAUCAAAAUGCUCUUAUGCACAAAAGUGAAUUGAGAGUCAAUCCAAACCUCAUAAACCGUACCACCAUGAUAUAUGAGCUCAGAGUGGGGAUUAUUGGGACCAAUAGGAGUAUUGAUUUCCUCAAAAUCCAAAUAUGAAGUUGAUUCAAUAUUCCAUUAAAGAGAAUCAACCGCACUUUUAGUACCUUAUAUAAAUAUUAACGAGACAAAACUCAGGCUUGUGACUUACUAUCCACUGUAUGUAAACUUCUCAUGAACUGAUGUUUGUAAUUUAAUAAGGUAGUAUUAUUAUCUAUCAAGAUUGCCUCUAUAAUCCUUGAGUUAUAGAUCUCAUUUAUCAUGUAAUCAAUUGACAUACUCUAACUCUAAGAAGUAUAUGUAAUGCCCUAAACCCAAGAGUAAAAUCAUAAUUUAAAAUAAUAAAUAAUUUAAUAAGGGUAAAAAUGUCUUUUCUUAUUUAAAAUUCCUACGUAUAAAUUAAAUAUUUUUUAUAUUCUCUACUCAAAAAAUCCUUUUACAUGUAGAUAGAAAAUAUCAAAGAGCGUAGGGUUUGAAUAUCAAUUUUUCAGGUAAGAUUUUAAUUCUUAAAUUAAUAUUUUAUAUUUGUUAAUUAGUUUUAAACACUUUAGAUAUCUUUUUGGAAGAUCUCAAUCUAGAUUAUGGUUUGUUAAAUUAAUUUUUAGAUCAAAAGACUGAAAAUUUAUGAAUGUGGAUUAAUUUAUGAUGAAAAUAUGAAAAUUUAGAAAAUUUUAAUUGAAUAGAAAAAAAUGAAUAAAAAAUCAAUGGAAGAAAAAAAAUUUUAAAAUUUUAAAAUAAAUAAAUAAAUUGUUUGUGGAGGCUUUAGAUUGGAAAAAAAGAAAAGAAAAGAAAAUGUGUAGAUAUAUUUACCAUGUGAAAAAAAUAAUAAAAUAAAUAAAUAAAUAUAAUGGGAGGCGUGUAGGUGGUUUUGUAGAAUGUUGUGGGAUUAAAAAAAUAAAAUAAAAUGAAAUUGGAGGACACCUGUGUUGCCAAAGUGUUGAGUUCACUAUAAGAAAAAAGGGUAAUAAUGACGCUUUUUAGGCGUCAAUAAAUGUAUACGAUGACGCUUCUCGAAAGCGUCCUUUUCGCCUCUGUCAAGGAAUGGGUGCAGGCAACCAUGUCGCUUCUAGACAGCGUCAUUGUUGAUUGGUUUAUAUUAACACGUUAAAAAACGUCAUUAUUGAUCUACCUAUGUUAACACUUACACUAGCGCCAAGGAAUGGCCAAAAUAUCAUUUGUCUAUUUCGACGCUAAAAAAAGUGUCAUCUUAUGUGGAUAAUAAUAUUGAAAAUCCCCUUGUUGAAAUGAUAUAUUUUGUAUGUCCUGUUAUAUAUAAUUUUGGCUGCAUGAUUAUUUAUAAAGUAUUAAACAAUAACUUCAAUAUUAAUAACUACAUCUUCCAAAAGAAAUUGAAUAAAUUUGGGAAUAAUAUAAUGAUAAAGAACUAAUGUCUACAUAGUUAAUUAAUACGCAAAUUUGUAAAUGUAUCAAAAUAUUUACAAGCAUAUUUUCCAACUUCAACAUAUAUAAAACAAGUACACAUGUACCAAAAAGCAAGGUCUCCAAAUUCCUUAUCAAAAAUAAUAUUACAAGAAGAAGAAGAAGAAGCCAAAAGUAUUUAUAGCCAAAAGUAUUUUUGUUUGGUAGCAUAUCCACUCCUGAACUUGAAAUCUUUUACCUGUAUACAUUUAAAAAAAAAAUAAUAGAAGAAACAAAUUAUGUUUAGUUAAUAUACAUGCAAUGAAAGUUAAAUCUAAAUCUAUAAAUGGUCCAUGAAAGAAGUGCAAAUGAGAAUAACUUGGUAUUUAAUGAGAUGUUAUGCUUCAAUGAAGAUGAAAAAUUGUUUAAUUUGAUACUUGUUUAUAAAAUAUUAAAAUACUUUUUUAGUUCAUUAUUAAGUUAGAGGAAACAAGUUAGGCUUUCAAUGGUAUAAAUUCUACAAUAUGGAAUGUAAUAUAAUAUUUUCUUAUCUAUGUCUAACAUAUCAAACUCAUUUCUCAGAAAUAAAUAUAUGAAUAUACCAAUAGGUAUGGUUUAUAAUUAGUUUCAAUCAUAAAUCAUCAUAUCUAGUAAUAUAAGACAUUUAAUAUUAACCAUUUGCAAAUGCCUUAAUUUCUUCUUACAACUUUCCUAUAUUACCAAAUUUAGUUAACUAAUAACAUUCCAUAAGGAAAAAAAGAGUAUUAAACUAAAAAUUAAAAGAGCAUAACCAAGGCAAUAGAAACCUACAAAUCAUUGGUUAAAUGUCAUAAUAACAACCAUUCUAAAACUUGCCUUUAUUUUCAAUUCCAAAAUUAUAACCCAAAUAUAAUAAUUAACCCUACACAAAAAAAAGCUCUCUACCAUCCCUCCAUCCAACAACAACCUGUUGAUGCAACAACAAUAACUUCUCCAUACAACAAUAACAAUUUCUCCAUGUAACAACAACAACAACAACAAUAACAAUAACAAUAACAAUAACAUUGAUGAUCAAUGGUGAUAAUUAUAUUAGUAAUAAUUUGAUUUGUUUAGUCCAAACAUAUAACAAUAACAACUUCUCUAUGCAACAACAACAAUAAUAAUGACAACAUUGAUGAUCAUGAUAUAAUAAUUUGAUUUAUUGAGUUCACAAAUUAUAUGCUUCUUCUCCAUACAACAAUAACAAAAAUAACUUCUCCAUGUAACAACAUUGGUGAUGAUGUAAUAAUUUGAUUUGUUAUAUUGAAAUAGUUUAUGUAUAAAACUAUUAUAUUCUAUCACUAUGGAGGAAAAAAUUACUUAUCAUGAGAUGAGAACUUAUGAGAAUCGUCAAAAUGUGAUCUACAACUCUUACUGGACUGAAAUGAGGGCAUCUGCAUACAUAAGAUGGUAAAUUAAAAAAAUUAGUCCAUUCAAGACUUCAUUAAUAAUGAAAAUCAAGCAUUUUAGAUGUUAAUUUAUACCUUCAGGCAUGGGUAAGAAUCAAUUGAGUUGCCAACAUAACCCACUCAGAUCGUACUUCAUUAAGCUCAACUUCACUAUACGAUUUUUUCCCUUUAAACUAAUAAUUAAUUGUACAUACAUGAUGAUUAGUUAAGUUAACAAAAAAUUACUAAAGUAUAGAAACUAAUAAAAUUUAUUAAUGAGUAUAUACAUUUGUGGAUAGGAGGCUUGGAUCAACAAUUAUAUCUUUCAUGUAUCUCAUCACAUAAUAACCACACUCCACACUUCCUAGUUGUCCUGGGCACUAUAGGCACACAUAUGAAUUAUNNNNNNNNNNNNNNNNNNNNNNNNNNNNNNNNNNNNNNNNNNNNNNNNNNNNNNNNNNNNNNNNNNNNNNNNNNNNNNNNNNNNNNNNNNNNNNNNNNNNUAUCUUACUCUAACCAAAUUAACUUACCACUACUUUUACCCAUGUCGGCUCCCUCUUUGAUGAUCUUUGUUUCUCUGGUGGAUGAAUUCGUAGUGCCCUACAUGGAAAAGAAAAUUAACAUUUUAGAUACUAUGCACUAUAUUCAAGUAUGGAAAUGAAGACACUUACAUGUUAACAAUUUCCUUAAGAUCAUCACAUGGUUGCUUUUGCAUCGGAUCAAGGUAGUACGCAGUCAUUGUCCUCAUAUCCAAUGCCACCAAGACCCAGUGGAAACUAUAAUAGUACAUUAGAUAUUAUUUAGUAAUUAGCAUUGAUUAAGCUAUUUAACAUUAAAAAAAAACUUAAUAUUUUUCAUAACUUACUCAGGGUUAUAUGGAAUAAAAAUGUAGUCAGCACGCUUUGCAUGCAUUAAACGAUUUGCAAUCAACCUUGACCUAUUUUCCUUUGUUGUCUCACCCAUUCCAGCUUUAGAGACUAAAGCUGGAUUGAUAAAAGCAAAUCGUUCGGUGAGCCUUGCAUUACUUAGCUUUUUCUGUAGGUGCCUGUUUAAAUUCCACAUACCUUGAUAAGAAAUGACCAUUUUACUUUUAUAUAUAUAUAAAUUAACACACAUUAGCAAGUUAUAAAAUUAUUUACCAUAUAUAAUAUAUGACACAAUUAGCCGACACUUUCUUAAAUGAAAUUAUCAUAUCCAUGUCUUCUUUCAUAAGGAAGGUCUUAAAACUCUCGCCAAAUACAUCAUUUGGGACCUCCACACCUUGUGCUUUCCCCUCAUUUAGCAUGAGACCUACUAAUGCAUCAAAAUUGUUGAUAUCUUGAGGGUUUUCACCAAUUUUCAAGUCAUUUUCUGUUGUUUUUUGUCUUUUCCCUUUGUGAGAUCCCUAUAAAAGAAAGCACCAUGUUUUCAAAUGAUAUACAUAUCUUUAUAAACUAUUUCAAAUGAAAAUAACACACCUUAAUGAAUUUAGUACUCAAAUUGACUAAAUGGGUUGGCCAUAAAACUUGGUAGCCCACUACCGCUCCAAUUGUUGUAGCUUGUCCAGGAAUGGGAAUAGGAAGUGGUGUAUUUGACUUAUAGGGAGCAUCCAAAACAACUAGGUAGUUGGGCCCACAAUCCAUUACAAUUAUUCCACCAGCCACUGUAUUUUCUCUGGUCCCUACUGCUAACUCACAUUUUCUUGCCUUCAAAAGUAAAUUAAAUUGUUAAUUUCAAUAUAAAAAAGAAUCAAUAAAUGAAGUUUAAAGUGCAUUGACUAUGUUAGGGCUAUAUUUAAGACAUAAAGUUACAUAUUUUAUAAGUAAUAGUUGUAGUGGAAUAGAAUAUUACUAGUAGUAAUUAUGCUGUAAUAGAAUCUACCUAAAAUGUAAGUAUCAAUCUAACAAAAAUAAAAGCAAUUGGAAGAAAUUAUUUAUGAAAAUUAUCUAGGAAUUUGUGACAAUUACGUCAUUGAACUAGGAAAUGUAAACUAAAAAUAACACACCUUCAUGUGUGGUUCUAUUUUCACAGGUAAGGUCUCCUCUUCAACUUUACGAAUUGGUUUCUCCACUACUUCUGGUAGAAGCAACAGUUUUGAUUUCAUGUUGGAACUACUCACAUCGGAUUGUGGUGUAGCAACUCCUAUCUGAGAUAGUCUCGCUAACACAUCAGCCUCAAACUUAACUUGACGUUCUUGAGUUGCUUUUAAAAUAUCCCUCACAACACGUUCUGACAUACUAUUGAAAUAUCAUCCAGGCGUGUAGUGCUUCCCUUUAGCUCGAACCCAACCAGUAUACUCAGGAGUACCUAGUGCUUGAGAAAGUAUGUCAUUGCUCCCACUAUAGCUUAUGCCACUCUCUUGAGACUCUUUUAUCAAUUCAUCCUAAAACAAAAGGAAGUUAUGAAGUUAACUUUCAAAUAAGUAAAACCAAAUAAGGUGUUUAAAGAUGUGAUUUUUGGGUACAAAAUGUCUACUUACUAUUUUUUCCAUUACCGGUAGGACCACAUCAUCAUAGUUGCCAUCUUUUUUUUGCAUUGCCCUCUUCCAAAGUAAACUUCUAUCAAUGCUUUCUAUGGAGCCAGCUUCAAUCAUCUAAUAGAAAUGGAAAAUUAAAGAUAGUUAUUAGAUGACACAUGUGGUUUUAUUUCUAUUUUUUUGUCAGAAAAGAAACAAUUAAGAAACCCAUAUAAAAUAUUCCUUCAUUACUUAUACAAUCAUAUAAAAUUAAACCACAAUAAGAACUAACAAAAACUUACCAUCUCUUCUUCAAGUCCAGCAUACCCUUUUCUACUUAGAUGAUGAUUAUAUAUAUGCUUCUUUCUUCUCUGUUUUUGUACUUCCCUAUAUUCCUAAAAAUUAAAAUGGAUGCUUAGUAUAUAUAUGUGGAUGCAUGUAGUAUGUUUAAUGUUAAUUGUAUUUGUACCUGGAAUUUUUCAGACAACCUAGUUUUCACAAAAAUAUUCCAAUCUUCAUCAUCGAUAAAAUGAUAUUCAGCUGGUGGUUUCUUAAGAAGCUCUGGCUGAUCUUUGAAAGGAAGAAUAUGUUUCACAGUCAACGUGUUCUUAAAAGAUCGAAAACAUUUUCCCAAUGUAAGCAUACAAUUCCUUCUACUUUUCUUGUCUAAUGUAAAAGCAAUCUACAAAUUAUAAAGUCAUUAGUUUCUCAAAAUUUGAAAGAAAUAUAGAGAUUGUAGAAAACUUAUUUAUGUUAAAAAAAAAAGUAACCUCAAUAGAGUCCCACAACUUAUCCUUCAAUUGUUCAGGGACAUCUCGCCAUGUGUUAUAUCUGAUUGGUACCAUCGUACGUGCCAAUACACCUAAGUAGCUUGUUAGGUGCACAGAAGAUUCUCCUACAUAGAUACCAUCAACAUUGUACUUUAUGACCAACUUUAUCCCUCUAUUCCUAUUCCUUAUAAUCAUGGAUUUCCUUGUUGUCCCUCUAUAUUUUUUUUGUGAAGGGGUUUUCUCUUCCUUUGAAUCCAUGCCUAUAACACAUCAAUGAGAAAUGAUAAGUAUACCCAUUAAUUGCAAGUAAAAUUGAAUUUUUUAUAACAUGAACUCAUAUUAGUAACAUGAACAUACUAGGAACAUUUUACAUGCUAGAUAACAAUAUUCACAUGUUGUCAUGAAAUAUUUAAAAAUAAUAAUAAUAAAAACUUACUAGAAGAUCCUCACCAAACUUUUUUCUUAUGGAACUAGAAAUCAUAAGCUUUGAGCUGAGACAAAUUGAUAUCCUUGUAUUACCCUUUAGAUCACUCUGAGAUAUGUGUAUAAUAAUAAUCAUGAAAUAGGGAAUCAAUAAAUUUAGAGACAUGAUGAAUUUAAUCCACUUAGAAAAUAAAUAAGCUAUUUACUGAAAUGCAGAAUUUCAAUAUUAACAAGUUAAUGGGAUAGUUACAACCUUCAUAACAAAACAACAAGGUCAUAAAUUUAGUUACAUAGAAGAUUUGUUAUCAAUCCAGAAUCCCUCACAGUCUCCUCGAAUGCAAAUGACAUCAGAGUCAUCCAUUGUAUCAAAUGAUUCAACUUGUGCCAAGGUGGUAAUGAGAGGAUGGUGUUCAAUAGAAUUAUCCAUGAAGUCAUCAGAAUCCUUUGCUGAAAAUGAGAAGUCCCUUUCAGGAGUUGACAAAACAACUGACCAUCUUGGAUCAAGUUGGUUUUGUACAUAGAAUACUUGCUUGGCUUGGGAGGCUAAAAUAAAUGGAUCUGAUUUAUGAGCCAUCUUAGUGAAGUCAACUAAUGUCAGCCCAAACUCAUCAACUUUGAUGCCGCUCUUAUUAUCAACCCAAUUACAUUUGAAAACUGGAAUCCUAAACAUGGUAUAAUCAAGAUCCCAUAUCUCAGUAAUAAUACCAUAGAAACAUAGCUCACUAAAUACUGGAUUCUUAUCCUUGGCACUAGAAAUUUGCAUUGUUGUUGCUACAAUGCUAACUCCACUAUUCUGGGUAACUCGUAACUCAUCACGGUCUUUUGUGUUGUACUGACACCCAUUUAUAACAUAGCCAUGAUACUUGGCCACGUAGUGGGUAGGACCAUGUGCCAUCCAUCUUAAGGUUUCAGAUAUAGGUUCUUUGUCAGCAAUGACAACUUCUACCUGUUUGAAUGGACCAUAGUUAUUAAUAUUUUUUAUGAUAAGUGCUAAGAAUGGUGCAAUUUUUAGAAUAAAUUCAAUACCUUUUUUCGCAACCAAUGAGUGAAUGUUCGCAUGUGUUCUUCUUGUAGCCACUUUUGUCUCUUAGAUUGACGAGGAUUGUUCAAUUUCAACCAUUUCAUGUGUUCUCUAUAAGAUAUGUAUAAGAAAGUAACAAUAAGUUUCCAAAAUUAGUUUAAGUAAUCUACACAUAAAAUCAAAAUAGUUGACCCUUACUCGAUAUAAGGUUGGAUGAUAGUUGUAUUUUCCAACACAUAAUGAUGUGCUUGCAACAAAAAAUUACAAUCAACUUCGGUGAUAUGACCUCCAGGAAUAGGCGCCCCAACUUUAUGGUCAACAUUAGUGCUACUAGGAACUCCAAUUGCAUCCACAUUUGAUAAGUACUCUGUACAAAAUUCAAUAGCUUCCUCUGCAAUGUAGCAUUCAACAAUGCAACCUUCAGGGUGGUUACGGUUUCACACAUAACCCUUUAAUACUUUCAUGAACCUUUCAAAUGGGUACAUCCAUCUAAAAUAAACCGGUCCACAAAGUCUCACCUCUCUAACAAGAUGAACCGUUAAAUGAAUCAUGAUAUCAAAGAAGGAUGGCGGAAAGUACUUUUCAAGCAAGCGCAAUGUCACAACAAGUUCAUUUUGUAACUUAUCCAAUGUAGACACAUCAACCACCUUCUUACAUAAAGCAUUGAAAAAAAGGCUCAAUCUAGCAAUAGCAUGUCGUACAUGCUUUGGCAAAAGUGAUCGCAAUGCCACUGGUAACAAUUGUUGCAUCAGUGUAUGAUAAUCAUGAGACUUCAGGCCAUAAAGGUUCAAAUCUUCCAUUGACACAAGAUUUCUAAAGUUUGAGCAAUACCCUUCAGGAACCUUUAACUCAGCUAAAGUUUGACAAAAUACUUUCUUCUCCUUUCUAGACAAUGUAUAACAUGCAAGCGGAAGGUAAGUUCGAUUCGAUUCAAACCUUAGUGCCAGUUUACACCUUAAGCCCAUGUCCAUAAGGUCCAGACGAGAAUUGAGUCCAUCUUUUGUCUUCCCUGGGAUGUUAAGUAAUGUACCAAUGAUGCUUUCACAAAUAUUUUUCUCAAUGUGCAUUACAUCCAAAUUAUGACGAACAUGCAAAUAUCUCCAAUACUCAAGUUCAAAGAAUAUAGACUUUUUCUUCCAACAAUUGGUAUAAGUCACAUUGGAUUUUUCAUGUCUUCCCCUUUUUUUCCCCCAUGAAUUACAAAUGACAUUCAUUUUCAAUAGUAUUUCCUCUCCACUUAAUGGUUGUGGAGGUGAUCGAAACUCCUGCUCACCAUUGAAUGCCUUUCUAUGUUUUCUAAAAGGAUGAUUGCAUGGAAGAAAACGUCUGUGGCCUGUAAAUGAGUUCUUUCUCCCAUGCUUUAACCUAUGUGAAUAGGUUUCCGGUCCAUAUAUUGGACAAGCAAAAUAUCCUUUGACUAUGCAACCAGAUAAGUUUCCAUAUGCAGGAAAGUCAUUUAUUAUCCAUAAUAGAACAACCCUUAAUGUAAAGACCCCUCUUUGAUAUGCAUCAUAAGCUUCUACCCCUAUCUCCCACAAGGUUUUAAGGUCCUCAAUCAAUGGUGCUAAAUAGAUAUCUAUGUCAUUUCCAGGUUGUUGUGGACCCGAUAUUAACAAAGAUAACAUCAUAAAUUUUCUCUUCAUGUACAACCACGGUGGAAGGUUAUAAGUGAUCAUGACAACUAGCCAACAACUAUACCUGCUGCUCAAAGAACUAUGGGGAUUUAUGCCAUCUGCUGAAAUGACAAGUCUAAGGUUUCUAGGUUCUGCAGCAAAAUCAGGCCAUCUAUGGUCAAUUACCUUCCAUGACGGCGAGUCGGAUGGAUGACGCAUUUUUCCAUCAAAUUCUCCACCUUCUGCAUGCCAUAUGAGGUCUUUUGCAAUUUUUGAGGACCGAAACAUUCUUUUAAAUCGUGGGAUAGGUGGAAAAUACCACAUUACUUUAGCAGGAACUCCUUUACUCUUUUUGCUUCCUCUUCUAUUCACCUUCCACCUUGAAGCUCCACAUGUAGGACAUGAAGAUGCAUCUUUUAACUCAUUCCUAAAAAGUAUGCAAUCAUUGGGACAUGCAUGUAUUUUUUCAUAUUCCAUUUCCAAUGCAUUCAAUGUUUUUUUUGCUUCAUACAUAGACAAUGGCAACUCAUUGUUUACAGGCAACAUAUCACCAAGUAAGCUUAAUAGCUCGGAGAAGCUUUUAUCAGACCACCCAUAUCUUCUUUUCAGAUUGUAUAAUUUAACUAAAGUAGAUAAUUUGGUGAAGUUUUUGCAAUCGAGAUACAAAGGUUUUUCAGCAUCUUCAAGCAACCUUUCAAAUAAUUUUGGAUUAGCCUUACAAUCAUCUUAUGCAGCUUCAACCAUUUCUACUGUAUGAUCCACAUUACCAAUAUGAAUUCUAUCAAAACAUUCAACCCUUGUAGUUAGGGGUCCACUACUUAGAGCUGCCUCCCCAUGCCAAAACCAAGUAUGGUAACUUUGGUCAAUUCCAUAAAAGAAUAGGUGUUCUCUAAUCUUUUGAGGAGUAUUGAAGAUCAAAUUUCCACACUAUAGACAUGGGCAUUUGAUGGAGUUUUGAUUUGCAGAAUUUUGAACUGCAAAUGAAAUGAAAUUUUCAACCCCAUCCUCAUAGUCUUUUGAUCUUCUAUCUUUUGACAUCCAGGAACGAUUCAUUUGCCUAUAAUAGUUGAACACAAUUCCUAUAUAGCAAACAUAAGCAAACAAUGGAAAUGGAAAAGACUUAGAAAGUUACCUUUAGAAAACACUCAAAACUUUCAGUUUCUCAUUUGUGACAUCCAAAAUUUCUUUUAAACUUUCUAUGGACAAACAAUUAGGAUUCAAGUGCAAUAAAAAAUUUGAACCUCAUCCUUAAUAAAAAAAAUGAUUAACAAUAUGACAAUAGAACCUUUUGAUGCAUGUUUUUAUGCCUUUUAACAUGUCCAUCAUCCAAAAUCAGGUAGUUGUUCCUAUCCCAUGUAGGAAUACAUAAUCCCUAUGUGUUAAUUGCCAAUAUACUCAAUUUCAUUUUAAAGAAAUUUUGGCAGCAUUUCCCCAUAGUUCUCCAAGUACACAAAAUGAACAAGGUAUAAUAUGUGACCUUGUUCAAAUAUGCACCCAAAGAACAAGAGGAAAUACUACCAAAAUUUCUAAAAAGUGAAUUAAGCACAAGCAAUUAACUUCAUAGAUAUUAUGUUUUCCUACACUGUCCAAUCGGACAAUUCAAACAUCAUUGCAAAAAAAAUAUCUUUAUCACAUUCUAGACAAUUUAAAAGUUGUCAACUUGAAAGUGGCUUAGGUAAAACCUUUUUCACCUUUGACAACUUAAAUGUCUUUAGUAUGUAAUAAGAGAAACUUUUAUCUUACAAUGAUAGUUGAAUGGGAACUCUAAGGUUUCAUGCAUGCAUGUUUGAUUAAAAUUAAAACACAAUUACUUAUUGAAUAAUCUAAUAAUUAUAAAACACCUAAAGUUGUUCCAUAAUUAUUGCUAUAUUUCAUCAUUAAACAAGAUUAUUAUGAGAAAGCAUACGUAUGGCCCAUGAUUUGCGAAUCAAGUCACACCAGUCUAUGUCAUAGCCUUGGGUCAAAAUUUGGGCCUUGGUAUCAAACUAAGCUAGGGAAUAACUCGUACAAUUCAGGUACUCAAUAAGAUUUAAACAAAAUUUAAAAUAACGCUUCCAUUAUAUUCUUUUGACCACCCAAAGUAAAAAUGGUAUUAUGAUUAAAAUAUGUUGGUUUGUAUAAGGAAAAAUAGUGUACCUUCCUCACUCUGUCUUUGUCUCAAGUCUUGCAUCACACACCUCUCGUAGUCCAAUGUAGGUCACUGUCUCUUAAAAUAUGUAUAUGCAAAACAAAUAAUAAAUAAAGAUAUAAAAUAAAUCCAUUAGUAGAUAUUAACAAAUAAAUACAAAAUAAAUUAAAAUAAGAAAUAAACUAAGAAGAAAAAACAUAUAAGUAAGAAAAAAAAGAUUUUCACAUGUGCAACAAUGGUUAGAUAUUUUUAAAAAUUUAUAAAAUUAUUAAAAUCAAACUAUUUUAGUUAUUAUUUUUUUAAAAUGGUAAUUAAUACUCAUAUAAAAUAAAAUAUAUGCAUGAUGAGAAAGGUAAGAAGAUUAUUCCUUGUGCCCUUUUUCAUUUGAGAUUAUGACUUUUGGUGAUGACCUAAUGGUGGGUGAACCGUGAACCACACUAUCUGACCCGGGUCAAGUCCUUAGGGCAAGAAAGAUGACUGCAAGAUGGGUAGAACUUAAACGAAUGAGAUAGAAAAGUCUGGUCUAAAUUAAGGUGGCUUAACAAUCCGUAAUCAUCUUGGUUAGGUUGUAUCAUAUUGUGAAAGAGAAGUUACAGGCUAGGUCUUCAGCAUCCAGCAAUUCCACCCUUUGAUUUUUCCAACAUGUUGCACCAUCUAAUAAUAAUACCUAUGAUCCUAUACCUUAGUUUUGAUUCCUUAUGUAUACAAAGUAUAUAUGGUUACACUACAUUAAAGUUAUUUUUUUUCUCUAAAAAGUAAUUAGUGUAAAUUUUAAAAGUAGGCUAAUAUUCAUUUUUUUUUUCACUUCUUAUUUUUUGUUUUGAAAAUAGAAAAUAGUAACAACUCUUAUACAAAAUAUUUUACUAUUUUUUGUUUUUAAAAUAGAAAGUUAGAAAUUGCAUUUUAAAAGCAAUAUUCUAUUUCAAUCCACACAAAUGAUACAAGUUUUGAAAUAUUCCAUUACCAUAUUUUGAGUAAUAUUUUUAAAGGGUUAAUUUAAUUCAUUUCCCCUCAAGAUUUGACUAAAUAUAAUGGCACCCGAUAAUAUGAAAUUUGAAGAAGUCCAUAUACUCUUCAAGUCUAUAAUUAGAAGUUCCUAGUAAGUUGUCACCCAUACUAAUGAAAUUUCUUGAGUCAACAUUAAUCUCGAACCUUUUUGCUACCUUCAUUACCUAUUUUGCCCCUUUACCACCUACUUAGUCCUCUUUACUUUGACCAUGUGUGUUUCUCUUACUUGCCCCUCUACUUUUAUGAAAGAAGCAUAUAGAAGAAGCCCAUUCAAGUUUUUAAUUUUUCUUUGUUUGGAUCAUUCCUUGAAACCUUCUAAAAUUUCCCUUGUACUUAGCCUCAACAUUACAGGUCCAAUAAAACUCUUAUAAAUAAAAUUAAAAGUGUAAUAAAUAUUAUAAAAUUAUUUUAUUAAAAAAAUUAAUAUAUAUAUAUAUAUUGUAAUUAUUAAAUUAUAUAAAAUCUUAUUCAAUAAUAAUAUUGUGAUAUUUAAUUAUAAUAUGUUUAAUUUUAAAAUAUAUUUAAUAUUAAAAUUAUGAUAUAUUUAAUUAAUAUAUUAGUGAUAUUAAAAACUUUUUACAAUUUAAUUAAAUAAAAAAAUUAUUUACAUAUAAAAUAAUUAUAAUUAAUUUGUUGUUUAAAGGAUUAUUUUAAUAUUUUGUGUAUAUAAAAACUUUUAAUAUAUAUAUAUAUAUAUAUAUAUAUAUAUAUAUAUAUAUAUAUAUAUAAUCAUAAGGGUUUUGAUUUCAACAAGGUAUAUUUUAUUAAGUAAAGAAAGAAGGGCAGCUUCCUUGAACUUUCAAUCCCAACUUGCAGAUUUUACACCUUCGGCAUCACAGGUAUAUUGAGGAGGACAAGGAAAAGUGCCAUCAACGUAUCCUAAGAGGUCGUUGCUAAUUAAAACAGGGAGGAAUUUAUCUUUCCAGAGAAGAUAGUUGGUGGAAUCAAGUUUGAUUGGUAAUAUUCGGUGCAGCAAGUAGAGUGGAAGAAGGCAGUGAAUUCGAAAUAAAAACUGAUAAGAAUGUGACAAAGAAGAAGGAAGAACAAAAGGAUAUGAUGGUGUAGAAAAAUAAGAAGAAGAAAAGAAUAGGGUGAAGGAAUUUAUUUGAGGAGAAUAGGAGAUGACAAAGUUGAUACCUGAGUCAAGAAGGGAGGAAGAGCAGUGGUGGAGAUGACAGAUGGAGGUCCGGCAAGAGUGCUAGGAGGCAAGGACUUAAAAACCUGGGUCAACGACGAUGCCGCUAAGGACGAAACUUGGCUGGGAAUAUCAAUAUGUGCAGCAGACAACAGAAUAGAUGAUGUUUCAAUGGAUGAGGAAAUUUCAGCAGUGGAAGAUGGUGUCGCAGCCAUGGCAGAGGAGAUUAAGAGAGGAUGCAGCAGGAAAGAAAUUGCUAGAACAAUGACAGCGGCAGGUUUAGAAUCCUUUCAACACACCAAAUUUAGAGUCAGACUUGACAGCCUUUCAAAGACGCGGAGGCAUAGAAUAUUCUUGAUUAAAAUAUGUGAGAUCAUAAGCACCAAGGAAAUCAACGACCCCACCACAGCUAUUGCCACUCUCCGCCUCUUCUUCCACGACUGCAUGGUCGAAGGCUACGACACCUCAGUCCUCAUCUUCUCCAACUCCUUCAACACCGCCCAGCACGACGCCGACAUCAACCUCUCCCUCCCAGGCAAUACUGUAUCAAUACAUCCAGAUUGUACGAGUCUUGCCUCUCUAGUCAUCAGUCAUCAUUCAUGACUUUGUAGGAGGGAUGAGGUAGACCAAACAAAGCCUUCGGAUGGGCUCAAAUCUAGCCACAUCCAAGUUCCAAAUUCCUAUCCCCUAAAGUAAAAUUUAAAUUAUUAUUAUUAUUUACAUUCUGUAGAAGUUUCUUCUUUAAAUGAAUUUUAUUUUUGAGAAAACUUGCUAUGGAAAGUCUGCAUCUUGAUUUCAACCGAGACAAACCCAUAUCUUUUGGACCUGGUGCCUCUCCCAAUCCUUGACUGCCCAACAACUAAAAUUCAAACCCAAGCCCACCAAAGAAAAUUUUAAAACACGUCAUGCCUUUGCCAGUUGUUCCCCUCUCAAUACCAUUUAAAAAUCCCCCAUUCUGUAGCUUUCUCAACUGCUGCAGUCGAACCUGUCUUCUCCUUGGUGUACGAACACGACACGUCCAUACCUACAGGCGGUAGAGGCUACACCUCCUUUCCCACGCCCUUGUGCUGGUGCGUGAGCCACCCACCACAUUACCCUCAAGCUCCAUCCCGAUCACCAUGCUGGCUACUACAUCUCCAUGGCAUUACACUAGGCAAAAACAAGGCGACACUUCCCACCACAACUAAAAGGAGAAGCUGAAAUUAUACCUAUUACAACUUGCAGCGUACCAUACAACAACAAGAACAAAAAAUGCACUGUAUUUAUUUGGGAUACCAUUACCCUGAUUUUCUCCUCCCAAAAUAAUUUCCCCAUCUAUGAAACAAUAAUAUUAGAUUUUUGGAACAAUGAAAACCCUUCCAUUUGUCUUCAUUUGUACUAAUCUAUUCAAGUUUGAGGAAAACAACAUUACUUGAGAAAGAGAUUUACCUGUAACUAUGAUGCUCUGUAGUAGAUUUUGACAAUGGUAACCUCCCAUGCAUGGAAGUUAGACAUGGCCAUUCCAACGGAUUAGGGCAUUUUAGUGGUGGACUUAGUGAGAGCUAUAGGGUUUCGGGGUUUCUUCAGUUCUGAAAUUGUGGAGGGAAUGUCUGGCGGGUACUUGUAGAAAGGGAAAAACAUUUAAUUAAUAUAUAUAUAUAUAUACUAUUAUUUAAUGUCACCUAAUAUAAGUGCCAUGAAAUAUCACAACUAUGACACUGCUAUAAAGUGUCAUGGAAUAACCAGUUAUUCUUAUAAGUGCCACAACAAGCAAUGAUACUUUAAAUAAGCGCCAUGAAAUAAAAAAGCUAAUAUAAAAAAUGACCCUUUUGAAAAAACGCCAUUGUAUAUCCAAAUAUAAUGAUACUUUAUGAAAGCGCCAAUGAUUAAAGCGUCAUAAUUUUCUAUUUUUGUAGUAGUGGUUAGACAUUGGAAAAUAUUGUAUAUAUAAAUAUAUUAUUAUAAUAAUAAAAAUGAGAAGAAACAUGAGGAUUACUAUUUUAGUCUUAGGACUUUUGUGUGUAAUGAAGAUAGGAGGGUAAUGAGUUGGUUAUGCAUUGAAUUUGAAAAUUAAUAAAAAUAAUAAUAUUUAGUUUUAAGCUAACAAAGGAAAUAUUAGCAAUAAUAACAGUUUAGUGCAAUAAAUACAAAAACAAUAUAUUUUUGAGAAAUGUAGUUUAAAAAUAAUAACAAUAAAUUAAUGGAAUUUGGAGGAUAAAUUUUGGAAAGAACCCAAUUUUUAGAAGAAUUUAAAAAAUCACAUGUUAAAUUAUUAUUGAUUAAGAAGUUAAAAAUAAUAGGUGACAUAAUAUAGAAAAUUUCAAUCCCAUCCUACUUAUUUAAAAUAAUUAUCAUCCUCGUGCUAGUAAAAGAGAAAAGAAAAAUAGAGUGGGGUGGGUAUAUGAAUUUACCAUAUUAGUCUCACCUCACCCUGAUUAAAGUCUUCUUUUCUAAAUUAAAUUUUAAAAAAUUUAAUUAAAUAAAUGUAUUUUAUAAAUAAUUAAAAUAUUAUAAUUUUUAUAACUUAUUUUAUUGCAAAGUAAUUAUUUUUAUUAUUUUAUAUGUAUUAAAAAUGGGGAAAUAAAAAAUUUAAAUUAAAUUAUUUUUUGAAAUUCAUUUUAUAUAUAAUUAGGGUGAGAUGGGAUGAGACAAGGCAAAAUCUGAAACUAUCCUGCAUUUAAAAAAAAAAAAAGAAAAUCUCAAACUUGCCUCACGUUUAAAAAGAAAAAAAAUCUCAAACUUGCUCAUAACUUAUUUAUUUUAAUUCCAAACCAAUAAGGUGGGACGAGGGCCUGUAGCCAUAGAAGACUUGUAGGGAUUUUACCCGAAAAAUCUCACUCUAUUGUUAUCGUACUCCUAUCCAAGUUGAUAGUCAACUUGUAUACCUUGUUUUUUUUUUUUUUCAAUAUUCAAAUAAAUCACAAUUUAAUUUUAAUGGUCUUUAAACUAAAAGUUCAAUUAAAUGAAUUUUUUCGUGUCAUUAGCUUUCACAACCUCGUAAGUGCUAAUAAUAUUCAAUUUCAAAUAAUCAUCAAAGUCUAUACAACCAUUUCUAAAUCAAAUGUUCUCAUAGUUUAUUUUCAACCAAUCAAAGUAUAAUUAAAUUACAUAUAUCCAAAUUCCCCAAAUAAAUACACAUCUAAUUUCCCCGUUGCUUGGUAGGAGGCCUUACACCCAACAGGGUUAACAAGUAAUAAUCAAAGACUAAAAAUACAUGAAAUAUUGUAAAAUUAUAAAGUGACAUGAGAAGAAAACAAGAAAGAGAAAUCAGAAUGUAGGAAGAGAAUAGAAUUUCAUUAGAGGUAUUUCCCUUUUAUAGGGAGUCACAAAGAGAUAUACAUCAAUAUGGAUGAUCAUCCACAAGUUCCCAUAAUCCGAUAAAUUCUCAUAUUUUAUAACACUCCCCUUUGGAUGAUCAUAAGAAUAUGCCUCAUUAAAACCUUACUAGGAAAAACCCCAUGGGAAAAAACUUUAGUGAAGGAAAAAUAGUACACUAUUCUUUUGGAUUACUAUAACUACCUCGUUAAAAACCUUGCCAGUAAAACCCAUUGGGACAAAACCUGGAUGAAGGAAAAAAAAGUGCAGUAUAUCCAUAUUAUCAUUCUCCCCCUCAUGUAAACAUGAUUAUGAUUUCUUCAACAUUUCAAAUGGUAGAUCUCUCAAUCUUCAUAUUCCAAAGUCAUACCUUAACUUUUUCAAUGUGGUCAAAGGUAACACCUUUGUGAAUAGAUAUGUUAGAUUAUUUCAUGUAUUCAAAUAAAAUAAAUUUUCCUUCACUAAGGUUUUUUCCCAUGGAGUUUUUCUUAGUAAGGUUUUAAUGAAGUAUAUUUUUAAGAUCAUCUAAGGGGGAGUGUUAUAAAAUAUGAGAAUUUAUCAGAUUAUGGGAACUUGUGGAUGAUAAUUCAUAUUGAUGUACAUCUUUUUACGAAUCCCUAUAAAAGGGAGAUACCUCUAAUGAAAUUCUAUUCUCUUCCUACAUUCUGAUUUUUUUUUCUUAUUUUCUUCUCCUUUCACUUUAUAAUUUUAUAACAUGUUAUCAGCACGACUAGUCUCUACAAAAGAAAUAGAAAUAUUUUUCUCUAUUCAGAAAAAUAACAAGAUAUUCUUUAUUCUUUCUCACAAAAAGGUAUGUGAUAAACUUAUAUCAUGAUUUUCUAUUUUAUUACCUUUGAUCUCUAUUUUCAUUUAUUUUAUUUGAAUAUAUAAAUAUAUAUAAUCUCAAUAACCGGAAGUUAUGGGGUAAAUUCAUAACCAGAAGUUAUAAAAAUUAUGUGCAAUUCCUAUAACCAGAAGUUAUGAGGAAAAAUUAGAAAAUUACAUAUACAUAACCAGAAGUUAUGUAUAUGAUCUCUAAUUAUUUAUUUUUAAUUAUACGGUAUAACUGAAUGUUAUACCAAACAAUAUUAUAUAGCUAGAAGGUAUAAAAUAAAUAAAUAAAUAAAUGUUCAUAGCCUGAUUAUUUUGUCAGAAUAAGAAAAUAUUUAAAUUUGUACAUAACUUAGGCCAUGAUUAUUUUGUCAGAACAAGAAAAUAUUUAAAUUUGUACAUAACUUAGGUCAUGAACUGUUUUUUAUAUAAAUUUAUAUAUAUCUUCAGGCUAUGAACUAUUUAUUGUGUAGAUUUGUGCAUAACUUCGGGCUAUGAACUUUCAUUAUGUAGAUUUGUACAUAACUUCAAGCUAUGAACAUUUAUGUAUUUAUUUACUUUAUAGCUUCUGGCUAUAAUAUUGUUUGGUAUGACAUCCAGUUAUACCGUAUAAUUAAAAAUAAAUAAUUAGAGAUUAUAUACAUAACUUCUGAUCAUGUAUUUGUAAUUCUGUAAUUUUUCUUCAUAACUUCUGGUUAUAGGAAUUGCACAUAUUUUUCAUAACUUCUGGUUAUAAAUUUACCCCAUAAUUUAUAAUUUACCCCAUAACUUCUGGUUAUAGAGAUUAUACAUAUUUAUGUAUUCAAAUAAAAUAAAUGAAAAUAGAGAUCAAAAGGUAAUAAAAUAGAAAAUCAUGAUAUAAGUUUAUCACAUACCUUUUUGUGAGAAAGAAGAGAGAAGAUCUUUCUAUUUUUUUGAAUAGAGAAAAAUCUUUCUAUUUCUUUUGUAGAGACUAGUUGUGUUGAUAACGUGUUGUAAACUUAUAAAGUGAAAGGAGAAGAAAAUAAGAAAGAGAAAUCAAAAUGUAGGAAGAGAAUAAAAUUUCAUUAGAGGUAUAGGGAGUCACAAAGAGAUAUACAUUGAUCAUUCACAAGUUUCCAUAAUCCGAUAAAUUCUCAUAUUUUAUAACAUGAAAAUAUUAAUAAGAUAUUUUAUUUUAUCCCGAAUAUGUAUAUAUAUAUAUAUAUAUAUCUUGGUAAUUAAUAAAAAAAUACAAAUGGACGUGAAUACACCCAAUCAUACGAUUCACUAUUCUUCUUGGGGUUUCACCUAAUGAUAUGUGUAUGUAAUCAAGUAUACUCUCCAUUUAGAUUUUUCUCGGGUCUAUUGUUAUGUCUUUUAUACUUGUGAUCACGCUCUUUUCUUAAUUUAUCCUCUUAUGUGACAUUUCUUUUUUGUCUCUCAUUUUUUUUUUUCCAUUUUACACCACCUUUCCUCAUUAUAUAUAUAUAUUCACACAAUUAUGAUGCAAAUAUAAUAUAUAAUAUGAAACUAUUAUUUUUAGAACAUAUUUUUAUCUUUUAAAUUGACUCCAAAAUUUAAAAAUUCAAUACACAUUUUUUUUUUAAUUCUCAUGAAUUAAUGAUCAUUUCAUUUUCCUCUAGCACUAUUUUAUCAACAUCAAUAAAAAUAUAAUUUAAAUAACACUCAUAUACCAAAUCACCCGUGGAUAUUACAAGUAUUAACAUAUUUAUUUCAUGGCAUAAUAUUUAUAACUUUUUUCUUAAAAAUAUAUUAAAUAAAUUUUUUUGGGAUACAUCGCCCUACCAAAAACUGCGAACCUAAUCGUUAUUUUUGAAAUUGAGCUUUGUAGCCAUAUUCCCCAAAUAAAAGGUGGUUUGUUUCAACGAAUUUCUGUUUUUAUUUUCAAAGAAAACAAAAGGUAGGUUUUAAAUAUGUUUAGACAAUGUUUUACCGGUUUUUGUUUUCUAGAAAUCUAAAUUCAGAAAAUGGAAAAAAAAAAAAUGAAAACAUCAAUUUGUUAUUUUCAAAAUUUUAUUAAGAAAGGUGAAAACAAUUUUAAAAAAUAUUCAAAACAAAGAAAAUAAAAAUAAAAAAGACCUUAUGGGAUUGAUCAUAAUAUAAAAAAAUAAAUACAAAUAUUGUAUAUAUAAAAAAUAUUAAUAUAAAUAAAACAUGAAAUAAUAAGUAAUGUAUAAAUAUUUGGUUUAUUUUUUGGAUUAGAGAUUAUUUAUAAGUUGAUAUAUUUUUUGAAUAUAAACUAAUUCAUUUUAAUUGAUUAGUCAGAAGAUUAUUAGAAUAUUUUAUUACAUUAUUUUAAAACAAAAAUAAUAUAGUAAAGAAAAUAAAAAAGAAUAAUGAACAAAUACAAGGAAAGCGUGACUUUAUAGUAUAUAUGUUAUAACACAUAACAUAAAAAAUAAUCAUAAUUAUAUAAAAUUUUAAUUAUAUUUAAUUUCACAAUUUUUAAUAAAAACUUAAAAUCAAAAUUUUUUUUUGCAAAUUUUAUUUUUUAAAAGCAGAUUUCAUUUUUCUUAAACAAAAUGUAUUUUUUAAGAAAAUAAAAAAUAGAAAGUGAAAAUUGUUUUGAAAAAAUAAAAAUUAGAAAAGCGUUUUUCAAAUUAAAUACAAUCAAUUAAUUUCUUUUCUUUUCUUUUUUGUGAAUGUAGAUACAUUAUUGAGUCAUUAAAUCUUGUGUUAAAGUGUAGUUUUUUUUUUUCAUUUAUUUUAUUUUCUUGUUUAUUAUUGACUUGCUUCCGGAUAACAUCGAGAGUUGCAAAUACAUCUUAUGAUUGAGUACAAAUAUUAGGUCUUGUCAUUUUCUCAAGUAGGAAAAGAUACGGGUGUUUCGAUGAAUUGAAUUAAUAGUGUUAGGACAUUUGCUUUGUUUUUUUGGUUGAUAAUUUUGUUUCUUUUCAUUAUGAUAUAUGAUUUUUUUAAAUAGUGACAUUUGUAGAUGAUGACUUACUCUUUACUGAAGAUUUGAGACUGUCGUUUAAUUAAUCGGAUGGUUAUAUGUAAAUUUGAAAAGAUUUAAGUAAAGACAAUUUUUUUAUAAGUUAGAGUUAGAUGGAAAGUUUUAAAAUUAAGUUAAAAUAUUUUAAUUAAUUUUUAAAAAGUUGAGAUUUUAAUUUUUUUUAAAAAUCGGAUGUUAUCAUUAGGAAAAUGUCAUAACUUAUCCUACCAUUUUUGAAAGCUUUAAAAGGUUUUUUUUUUAUAAAUAAUUAUGGCUUGUUGAAGGGACCUACAUCAUCUCAGAGAUUGAGAUGAAUUCAGUAGAGUACUCGAGGUAUUGUGUCCCGAGGAUGUAGGUGGAAAGUAAGUGCAAGGUAAAACCAAUUUUUAUUUUUAUUUUUUUUUGUUAAAAACUCUUAAGACGAUGAUGAUGUUAUACAUAUGCAUAUUCAAUAGAUUCUGCAUCAUGAGCUCAAGCUGCUAGAUGCUAUGAAUAGGUCAGGACUGUGGAUGACAUGUGUUUGACACGUGGAAAUGAAGAGUGAGGAUGAGCAUCCAAUUAUUUUUAUCUUUAAUUCCCAUGUUUGAAUAAUUUAAAUUAUGAUGGGAAUGAAUCAAAAAGUGAUUCAAAUGGAAAUAAAAUCUUACUUAUAAGUAGGAUUUCAAUUCUCUCCAACUAGAGGUAUUUUGAUUUCUUAAUGUAAGUUAUUUUUAAAAAUACUUUUUAAAAAUUUAAAAACUAAACAUUUAAUUUUUUUGAAUAUGUUGUUUUUGAAAAGAAAUUUUUAGUUUUAUUUUGUAAAAAAAAAUAUUUUAAAUUAAGAUAAUAUAAUGUAAACUAAAUUUAAUUCAUGUCUUAUUAAAAAAUAAAAAUAAAAAUAAAUUAAAAAAUAAAUAGUUUUUAAUAAAUAUGAAUAUUAAUAAAAUAAUAAAAUCAGAAAUGGUAUAUAUUUUUUAUAAAUAUUAUAAAUAUAUAGAUAUUAACAUUAAUUGAUUUAUUUUGUUAAAAAUAAAGAAUAGUUAUUCNCNAAUUAAUAAUUUCUAAUACUAUCUAUUUUAAAUUAAUAUAAAAAAAUAAAAUUUAAUUUUUUAAGGUAUAAAUGAGCCAAAUUUUUUAUUAUAUGCAUAUAUUUAUAACCCAAUUGUGAAGAUGACAUUCUAAAUUAUUUUAUUUAUCUAUAAUUAAUUAAUCAAUUUUUUAAAAUUCAAAUUAUUCUUAAAAUUACAAGAUUUAUUAAAGAAUUUAUAGUAUUAAUUAUGUCUAUUAUUUUUAUAGUCAUUAUAUAUAUAUUUUUGAGUUUUAAAUAAUUUUUGAAAUUAUAAAACUUAUUAAUAAAUUCAAUACAAAUUCGAUUUGAAAUUCAUAUUUUCUACUAAAAAAAUCGAAAGAAUAAUUCUCUAUUUUAUUUUAUUUUUAAAAAUUGUUUUUAAAAAAUAACAAUCAAAUAGUGAUAUAAAUUUUUUAAAAACAAUUUUUUUUUUUAAAUCAUGCACCCAAAUAAGUUUUUAUUAUUUAGAAAAAAAAAACAAAUUCCUAAGGAUUUUUUCAAAUGAAAAUAAAAAAUUACUUCAAACAACGUAGAAUGUGAGAUUUUUUUUAUAAAUAAAAAUAAAAAUAAAGAAUUAUUUUAAAUCAGAUAUACAAAUAUUAUUAAUAAUUCUUUUUUUUUUUUUCAUUUUCAUUCCUAUUUUUAUUUAACAUUGAAAUAUAAUCAAAUUAUCAUUCCAAUCUUAUAUUCUUAUAUGCAUGCAAACAUAAAAAUUAAAAUUACCAAAUUCAUUCCUAUCAAUAGGGAAUAGUAGUAAAACAAAAUAUUCAUUUCCAUUCCCAUUCUUCGUUAUGCGUACCAAACAUGUCCUUAUCUUACAUAGAAUCUGGCCAACAUUAUAGGGCAUGUGGGGAUCGGGCAGAUGUUAAUUUGUUGGCCUGAAAUUGGAAAUCAUCAUCUUUAUGUCACUAAGAAGUAACUUAAUGAACCUAGCUCAAAUCCAUGCUAUGUUCAGUACAAGACAGUGAUGGUGCUAAAGACGAUAACCUAAUACGUGGGUCCCUUUUGCCUAUCAGGAAAAACAUAACACAUGCGUGCUUCCUGCGACUUCUUUCAUGAAAACUUUUCAGUCUAUUAUCCUUCGCAGUGCCAUUGAGAAACAAGUAUCUCCACAAAUUGGUUCCUCUGAUUUAAUUUGUCCAUUACAGAUAAUGGCUGUUCAAGUUAGCCUAUUUGCCACGUCCCUGGGAUUUCUGUCUUAAUCAUAUAAGACAAUAUAUUGAAUGGGAAAGCGAAGCUACGUGAACUUCCCAACUACGUAUGCAGCCUCUUGCACUCACACUCACUCACACGAAAGUCUAUAAAUACCGAGUUCGUAUUGCCCUUGCAAUCCAUCCAGCAGAGAAACAUCUUUGAGAGUUUCCUUUAUCAGUAGAGUCUUUCACCUCCUUUGCUUUUGUGUAGGAAAGAUGGCUUACUCCAGGACUUUCCUUCUCCUUGGCCUUCUCUUUGCUGUUGUUCUCAUCCUGUCCUCUGAGGUUUCAGGUCGGGAGCUAGCUGAAACAGCCGAAACUCGUAAGUUAAAUUUCUUUCAACUACUUUUUCAGUAGAAAUAAUGGCAAGUUAUAUUAUAUGUUCAUAUACAUAGGGAUAAUUUUGUUUUCUUAAAUUAUGGCAGAAGUGAUCAGCGUGGAAGAUGAGAAGCACGAUGGGUAUGGACACGGACACGGGCACGGCCACGGCCACGGAAAAGGACAUGGGCAUGGGAAACCUGGUCAUGGUGGCGCCGGUGAGGAUGUGGAAGACGAGACUGAGGGGGCUCAGAAUUAGAGUAAUCAAUCCUUAAUUAUGUGGGCCACGCAUGAUUAGGGUGGGUUUUAUGUAAGAUUAUGAAAGCGUAUAUGUCAAUAAGGCAUGUGGGCUAAGGGGUACUCCCUUAGACCAGCAUUGCUGCAGUUGUUAAAUAUGUAGGUCGGGACUUGUAUCUUUUAUUUCUCUAUGUUUUUUAUGUGCUAAAUAAAGUAUGAUGAAUGUUGUCUGGGGGUCCUACCCUUUUUACGUUGCAUUAUUUACUUGGAAUUGCCCGGAAUUUGGAUUUGAAAGGGAUUUUUUUUUUUUUUUUUUACUAUGGUAGCAUGCCCUUCAAUUCUCAUCGAUGGCUUUUACAUUUGCACCAAUAUAAUAUUAGUAAUUUCAACUUUGAACAUCAGUACUGUUUAUUUAUUUCAUUUUUUAAGGAUUUUUUUUAUUUUUUUAUUUAAUUUAAAUCUCCUUGAUUCCACUCCAAUAAAUGGUGCAACUUCAUGACCAAUAUGAACCCACCCCUUUUCACCCUGUUCUUCCAAAUAUAAUGCUUGAAAGUGAGUACUCCCAUGGAAUAAAUUGGUUUCCAAAAUCUCCAUUUAUUGAAAAAAACCACACACCCGAAUUUUCAUUUGGAAACUACCUCUCUCAUGCACCUUUGAAUUCAAUAAUCUUCUAACGUACUUUAAAAUAAAUAUAGCUACUAUCAAUAUUUUUAAAAUCAGAUCCAUCAUUGAAUUGAAAAAGUUAUCGAUCCAUGAUUCACUAAUCGAAUCGAUGGUUGAACCGUAGUCAAACCAAUGAUGUUAUAAAUAUAUAAUUUAUAUUUAUAUAUAAUUAAAAAUAAUUAUAAAAAAUAAACAAAUGUAUAUAAUUAAAAAAUUUAACAAUAUUUUAUUUUUUAUAUGAAUUAAACUAAAAAAAUUCUAUACUUGCAUAUGUAAUAUUAAUAGAUUAAAUCAUGAUAUAUAUGCUAAUAUUUCUAAAUUUACUAUUAUAUGUAUGUAGUAUUUAUGAUUUAAUAUUAAGAAGAUAUAUAUAUCCUAAGAUGAAAUCAAAUUUUAUAUGUCAUUUUAUCAUUUAAAAAUUAUUAAGCUUAUUUUACUAUAUGAAUAUUUUUAUUUAUUUCAAAAUUUUAUUUAUUUAUUAAAAAAAUAAUAUGCAAAUAUAUUUAACAACUGACUUGGGUUAAAAACACAAUUAGGUAAGUGGUCGCUGGUUUCAUUUUAUAUGCCCAGCUCGAAUUUUAAGUGGCUGACGUAGGAGUCUUGGGAAUGAAACAGAGCUGCAAAAUGAUGAAGGUGGGUUGCAUGGACCCAAAUCUUGAGAUAAAGUUGGAAAAAUGAUGGGUUUAUAGAAAAGGAAAAGAUCGUUCAGUUCUCAAAAACCGGUCGGUCCACUGGUUUGGAUGGUGCAUCUGUCGGUUCAUGUGAUUUGAUCCCGAUCCAAUGCUUCUAACGGUUUAACCGUUUAAUCAGAUUGGAACCAUGAUUGAUCGACGAUCUAAUUGGUUAAAUCGACGGACACAAUCUGAUUUUCAAAACCAUGGUUAUUACGAUAAAAACAUAAACAUUCCUCGUUUUAUUGUAAUAUUUGUUAGUAGAUUAAGGUAUUUAAAUUAAGUUGAUAAUUUUGUUUCCUAAUCUUGAUUUAGAAUUCUAUGUAUUUUUUAUUUUUUAUUUUUAUGAUUUACACUUCUAUUAAGUAAGGUUAUAAGAUUCAGGAAUAAAAUCAAUUUCGAAAGAAUUUCAAAUGGAAAGUCUUUUUAAACUUAAAAUAUGAUAUCUUUUUAAAUAUUUCUAAAAUUUAAAUAUUAAUUGUAUUCUUUUUAGUAAAAUAUGAUUUCUAAAUCGAUUAAAAGUUUACUAGAAUAUAUAUAUAUAUAUAUGCCUACUAGAAGAGUUCUCUUCCAAGAAUUCAUGUACCUAAAUUUUAUCUUAAAUUUUAAGACUGUUUGUCUUUUUCUUGAGUUGGAAGACUUUGAAUACAUUUGACAAUAAUUUUUAAAAGUAUUUAUAGUGUUUCUAAUAUUUGAAAAAUAAAAAUUUUAAAGACCAAAAACACUUUUCCAAAUUAUUGCAAAAUGCAUUCUUUGUGGCACUCUCAAUUGAGGAUGUUCUUUUUUGGAUCGACUUGUUGACGUGAGGACUGAGGAGGGACGUAUACAUGCACUGUAUAAGACAUGGUUGGCUAAUUCCAAUUUCCAACUACGUUAUUAAAGUGAGUGAUUUUGGAACCUUAAAAUGAUACGACAGACAUAGUAUAGCAUUUUUUGUUAGAAGGAUCGAAAUCCAUACAUUCUAUGACUUGUGAAAUAUGUUGGAGAGGGCUACCUAUUAAUAUUACUGCUAAUAUAUAGUGUAUAUAUGGUCCCCACCAGUACUUCAAUUCUCUGAAAAAAUGAAAUCUAGCAAAACCACGUGAGGAAAAGCUUUCUCACUGUAGAACUUAUCCAAACUUUUUCUUUGUUGCUAUAUUUGGUUUUUAUCCUCCAUCAACAAGUUAUUAGCAAUCAACCAUUGGCUAAGUGGGAAAUUUACUAGGUUAAAAAAUCACUGCUACAAAAAAUACAUUCAAUGACGGUCAUUUCCUUGGCGCUGGUAAGAAACGUCAAGUUACGGGGAUUUUUGAUAAUUUAAAAUUAAUUUUUUAAAAUACAGUAUAAUAAAAACUAUUUUCAAAUCUAUGAUACUUUUUUGUCACUUUUAAAAGUGUAUUUUAAAAAGACACUUUACAUCAUUUUUAUAUAAAUGAUAUACGUUUAAAACAAUUGAAUUUACAUUGAAGGUGUCUCUGGAAGAGACAAGAGACACCUUCCAUAAUUUUUAUAUCAAUAACACAUGUUAAAAAUUUUGAAUUUACAUUAAAAGUGUCUCUUCAAGAGACACCUUUUAUAAUUUUACAAAAUCAAAUUUAUAUUAAAAGUGUCUUUUAAAUAGAUAUUUUCACAGUUUUCAUAUCAGUUGCAUAAUAAAAAAUUGAAUUUAUACUAAAAAUGUAUUCUUAAGAUAUAAUUUUUUACAAUUUUACAAAAUUAAAUUUAUAUUAAAAGUGUAUCUUGAAUAGACACCUUCAAUAAUUCUUGCAUCAGUCAUCUAUUGANNNNNNNNNNNNNNNNNNNNNNNNNNNNNNNNNNNNNNNNNNNNNNNNNNNNNNNNNNNNNNNNNNNNNNNNNNNNNNNNNNNNNNNNNNUUGCAUCAGUCAUCUAUUGAAAUAAUGAAUUUAUACUAAAAGUGCAUUUUAAAAAACACAUUCCAUAAUUUCAUAAAAUUAAAUUUAUAUUGAAAGAUUAUUCGUUCAAGAGACACUUUUAGUAUAAAUUUAAUUUUUUUGAUAGGUGAUUAAUAUAAAAAUUGUGGAAAUUAUUUCUUCAAAAGACACAUUUAGUAUAAAUUUAAUUUUGUGGAAUUGAAUAGAUUCCUUCAAUGUAAAUUCAAUUUUUUUCACUGUGUAACUGAUAUGAAAAUUAUCAAAGAUGUCUCUUCUAGAGACACCUUUAGUAUUAAUUUGAUUUUAUGGUAUUGUGGAAAUGAUAUUUCUUUAAUAUAAAUUCAAUUUUUUUUAACGUGUAUGACUAAUAAAAAAAUUAUGAAAAAAUAUCUUUUGAAGAAACACCUUUAACAUAUAUUUAAUUUUAUGGAAUUAUAAAGUAUGUCUCUUCAAGAGACACCUUUAGUGUAAUUCAUUUUUUUUGGGGAGAAUUAUGUUUUGGGGGUAGAUGGGCUCUCAAAUUAACAAAAGGUCCAUAUAACUCUUCAAAUUGAGCCCAAGACCCAAUGAAAGUAUGGAAAUUGAGUUGAAGGAUAUCAUUCUUCAGUAUUUACAAAAAUACCCUUUGUUGAUUUUGAAAAAAAAAUUAAUAUUUUUGAAAAAUACUUUUAUUUAAUUUAAUAUUUUUUAUUUUAUUUAAUAUUUAAAAAAAUACUUUUAUGUAAUUUAAUAUUUUUAAAAUACUUUUAUUUAAUUUAAUAAUUUUAAAAAAUAAAUUUAUUUAAUUUAAUAUUUUAAAAAAAUAUUUUAAAAAAAAUAUUUUAAAAAAAAUAUUUAAUUUAAUAUUUUUUUAAAUACUUUAAUUUAAUUUAAUAUUUUUGAAAAAAAAUUUAUUUAAUUUAAUAUUUUUAAAAACUACUUUUAUUUAAUUUAGUAUUUUUGAAAAAAAAAAUUAUUUAACUUAAUUUUAUAAAAUAUUUUAUAUGUGUUUUUAAAGGGUAUAUUUGUCCGUUACUAUUUCAUAUCCUUCAACUCAAUUUGAAGAGUUACAUGGACCCUUUAUUAAUUUGGGGCCCAUCUACCCCCAAAAGAUAAUUCUCCCUUUUUUUUUUUUUUAACAUUUAUGGUUGAUAUGAAAAAUAUAUAAGGUAUUUCUUUAAGAAACACAUUUCAAAGUGGGAAAAAAAUGCCGUAGAUUUGAAAUUAUUUUUCAAACUACCAUAGUUUAAGAAUUAUUUUUUAAAGUACCGUUUUUUAAGAAUUAUUUUUUAAAAUAGCUGUAUAAGUUAAAAAAAGCCCCAAGUUACUGCAGGAAACACAUUGAGGAGUCAUGGAUGGUGGAAGUAUAGCUUUGCUGCUCCUGGACUUUCUGGACAGUCCCUUUGGACUCACAAAAGAGUCUUCAGUCACUAAAGAGGACAGAAAAUUCAUAUUGUUCGAUUUGUGUCAAAAUCCACUCGUAGAAAGUGGUUGUUGCAUCGUUUUGGAUCGCCAUAUAGAUGGUUUUGAUUCUUGUCUAAUUUUCUAUGAUAGUAAUUUUUCUUAAGUUUUCUUAGUCUCAAAAAGUGUUUAUUUUAUUUUAUUUUUUUACAAAUUAUAAAUAAAGUUUGAAUGCCUUUGGAUGGUUUAUUUCUCAAUUUUUAUGCCAAAUUUUUUGGUACAUUUCUUAGGCAAUAUCAUAUGUUUAUAUAUCAUUAAUUUGUUCUCUUAAACAAAAUUUGUUGUCAUAAAUAGGAAGAUUACGAAUGUUUAUGUAAUUGCAUGUUAAUAUUAGAAGUUAUUAAUAUAUUUAGUUACUAUAUUAUAAUUAUAUAUUUAUUAUUUAAUUAUUAUACUACAAUUAUUUUCUUUCUUUUUAGAAAUAAUGAUAAAUUAGUCUUUAUUUUCUUUUAUUAGACUUAUUUAAAUUGUAAUUGUCUUAUAUUUAUUUUAAAGAGAAUUGAUAAUAAGAAAUACCAAAUUUUCUUUUCUUUUCUCUUUGAAUCUUUUUUAGAUUUUAACAUGGUAUUAAAGCCUAGUUUGACAGGAGGCCAUGAGUUCGAGCCACCUCUUCACAUCUUUAAUGAGACUUUUGAUUUGUAAUUUCAUGAAAAAGAGUUUAAUAUCAUACGUUGUUUUCGUAUCUGUUUGAUCGUGAGAUAUAAUAAUGGGUGUUUACAUAAUUCUUUUCGUGUUUGAUCCUAAUAUUUGAUUUUGUAUUCAUUUGUUCGAUAUAAUCCAAAUUCUAUUUGUUGGAUAUGAAUCCAAAAUUCUGUCUAUCUUUCUUUUUUCUAUGUUGUUGAAUAUGAAUUCAAAUUAUAUUUGUUUCUAUUUGUUAUAUAUGAAUUCAAAUUCUCUUUGGCUUUGUCUUUUGGAAAUGAAUCCAAAAUUUGUUAAUCUUUUUUUCUUUUAUUUCUCAUUUUUCUAUGGUUUUAUGUCUUCUUCUAUCUCUAUUUAUUGAUUUCUCAUUCCUUGAUAAGUUUUAUGUUGACUUCUAUUUUUCUUUCUUUGAUGGUUUAGUUUUGUGUCUUUUUUUUUUUCUUCCUUUUUUUUCCAUUAUAGUUUUAGUUUUGUCUUAUUGUACUUUUUCUUUGAACAUAUGCUUUUUCUAUUCCUAUCGAGUCUCAUGGUGUCUUUGUGUUUGAGCUUGUUCACAUUGGUCUUUUUUUGUGAAUGAUACAAAUAAUAUCCAUGCAAAUAUUGAUAUUUGACACUUCAAUUAAACGGUGCAAAGCUCGAUUGUUUGCUAAGAGAUUUUUUCAAUAGUAUGAUUGUAAAGUUGUUUACCAAGUCAUACUUAUUUUCACAUUUUUUUAUUUUCGAUUAAAAACUUUCAAUACUUUUCGUAGUUGCAUUUUGAGCUUGUGAGGCGUGUUAGACGUUAUUAAUUAAUAUAUUUAGUUACUAUUUAUAAUUAUAUAUUUAGUUACUAUAUUUAUUUAUUUAGUUAUUAUAUUAAAAUUAUUAUUAUUUUUUAAAAUAAGAGUAAAUUAGUCUUUAUUUUAUUUUAUUAGACCUAUUUAAAUUGUAAUAAUGUUAUAUCUAUUUUAAAGGGAAUUCAUAAUAAAAAAAUCUUAAAUUUUCUUUCAUUUCUCUUUUUUUUUUUUUCUUUUUUAAUAUUUUUUGAAUUUCAACAUGUAAAAGUCUUAAGCAAGCCAAGUUGUUCAAAUUGUAAUUAUCUUUAUUUCUUUGAUCAAUCACAUUCCUAAUAUCUAUAAAGACCAUGAAAUUAUUAUUUGAUGAGAUGGUUAGAGUGAUGAGAGAAAGUGAUCGGUUGUCAUAAAUUCAUGUGGUCUUAUCAACCCUACAGGAGACUAAUGUUGGUUAAUCAUUUUCAUUUGUCGUCUACGAUGAGUCUUUAAAUUCAAAUUCAUCUAUUAAUGUUGACAACUUCAUCACAUCCACCCACUCAUUACUUUGCAUAAUCCCAUCUCUCCUUUCGUUAUUUCAAAUAUUGCGUAGCACACUUUCUAUAUUUUUUUUUAAUAUAAUUUUUUAGAGUCUUUUAAUAAAUCUUUUCGUUUCUUUCAUAAUGCCUCAAUUUUUUUCAAAUCAAUUUCUUUGUUGUAGUCUUUAUUCAAUAGAUUCCAUAAAUUUUGAGAGUUGCCCUUGAAUUGAGUUAUUAUUUAUUGUUAUGAUUUUACUACAAAAUUUACAAUUUCUUAAUAUUUUGCACAUUUUUCUUGUGUCAUAACUUUGAUAUUCCGACCCUUAAUAGAAAUUUCUAAUCGUGACACCAUAUGUUGAGACGUACACAGUUGUGAUAAUAAUUUUUACUCAAAAAAUAUUUUAUUUUAUUGAACUUAUUAACCAAUCUAUAUUUAUAAUAAAUUAAUCAUAUUUAUGUUAUAAGUCUAAUUCAUAAUUAAAAUAAGACUUAUAAAUAACAUUAAAAAAAUUAAAUAAAUAAUAAACUUGAAAUUUUCCAAAUUCCUAAAAUUCUUUUGAUUUUACUUCAGGUGGAAUUAAUAUUUUCAAUAUGUUAAACUUAUUAAAAAAAUUCUAAAAUUAAAGUUAUAGUUAAGGAGGGUUUAAGCCUUGUUUGGGAUGACAUUUAGCUAUUGCUAAACUAAUUAAUAUUGUAUUAUUUUUAUGUUUAAAAAAAUAGUUAAAUAAAAAUUAGUUAAGAGUUUUAUCCAAGUUAGGUCAGUCCUUUAAAUGCUGGCUUUAGCUUUUGAAAAGCUCUCCCAAAUAGGACUUAAUAAUAAGUGUCAUUUUGGCAGGUUGCAUGUUGAGUGGUAUGAAGCCGCAAAGUAGGAAGAUGAUGGCGUUCACAUUUGAAUCAUAAGAGUAAAGAACAGAGAAUAAGUAGGUAAAUUAAUUAUAUUGUUCAUUUGAUCUUUUUAUUUAUUUAUUUAUUUUUAUAGAUAUAGAGUUAUGACAAAAAAGGACAAAAAAAAAGUGAUUUAAAUGAUACAUACUUAAUUAUAGGUAAUUUAUCUAUUGUUGGACCUUUAACCUAUGUUUGAUUCUCAAAAAAUUUGAGAGAAAAUGUAUGUAUAUGAAAGAAAAUAGAGAAGAAAAAUAGUAAAAAAAAAAUGAAGGAAAAUAAAAUAUAGAUUUAAAGUUAAUAAAUUAAUUUUAUUUACUACUUUAAAUUUAUUUAACUUAGUUUAACUCCUCAUUUAAAAGAUUAAAUAAUUUGAAAAUAUUUAAGUUUUUAGCUUAUUUUAAUUAUAUUUUAUUUUCUUUUAUGUUUUUUUAUAGUACAAUCAAAUAUAAGAAAAUAAUUUUUCUUAUUAUUUUUUUUUUCUUAGUAUUUUUUAGGAAUCAAAUAUAAACCUUAAGGAAUAAAGGGUACUUGGUGUAACCUUAAAAAUUUUAGUACUAAUAAUUCUAAAAAAACUUUUGGAUAACCAAAUAAUCUUUCAUGGAGUUCCAAACCUCGGGUUACAACAAUCAAUAUUGAAUAAAUUUGUAGUAACAUCAAAAGAAGUUAAUAAGAAAUUAACAUUAAUGUUUAAUUUUGAUAAUACCAAGAAAAUAAAAAUAAUAAAUGAGAAAGUAAUUAUAUGGUUUGAUAAUGUGUCGAUAUUAUGGUAGAGAGGAAAUCAAUUCAUUAUAUUUAAAGAAGUAAUUACAUUAUUAAAACUCUCAAAUCUACGUGAAUAAAUCUAUUUUUAUAACAAAAUCUCAUAUAUUUCUUAAAAUUAUGCAUAUGCAUGUUGCUCGUGGAGGAAUCUAUCCAAAUAAAUUAAGGUUGGUGGAUACAAGACAAAUAUAAGUGACGUAAGACGGGACGUAAUCAAUCAUCCAAGUGAAACCACGUGUGUGAACUGUGAAGCACAAGAUUAUGGGUUACUCACCCCUUCAACUUCAUGUGGAGAAGAAUUAAUUUUGAAUUUUAUGCUCCAGCCCAUGGCCUGAAACCUAUUGGUCUCACUGUCAAUGCUGUCCUUUUUCGAAUUUGAUGACGCGAGGAGGGACGUAUGCGAUGUACGGGACAUGGUUAUAUUAUUAUACCUUAAUUAUGUUCAUUUGUACAUUUACAUAUACAAACUUUUUCUUUUUUCUUUUCUUCUCUUAAUUAUUUAUUUAUUUUUUAGUUUUUAUCUUUUACCUUUUUUCAGUUUUUUAUUUUUUUAUUUUUUUUAUACAAUUAGUAUACCCUACAGACUUCCAAAUCAAGAAAUUAAAAUUAAUUUUGAGAAUUAUUUUCAUGAAUAAAAUCAUAUUUAGAAACUUAAAUAUAACACUAUAUACUUAUUAUAUAUAAUACGAAGAUUCUCAACAUAAUCCUUGUAUUUUGAAUUAUUAAUUAAAACACUUUAUCAUAAAACACCUUAAUUUUACUGUAAAAAUAAUUAAUUUUUAGAGCAAAUUUAUAAAAAAAGAAAAAAGCUAGACAUGUUCUUAAAUUUUUAAGGAUAACUAAAGGCUGACCAAAUCCGGCAAAAGCACGUGAGAAAAAGCUUUCACAAGCAAAAUCAAUCUAAGGCGUUACCUUUAUUGCUAUUUUUCCUUUUUAUCCCAAUGUAGGCAGUGAAGUAGAAUUUUUCUGACUCUGGAUUCUUUGGGCAGUCCCAAGAUUUGGACUCAAAAGAGUCUUGGGUCAUGGGGAGAGGAGCCGAGCCUAAGGAUUCAUGUCAAGUUAAAUUAUUUGCAAAGCAGAAAGGUUAGACAUUGGAAGCAAAAGGGCGGUGAGCACAGCUAGAAAAAGUGCUUUAUCGACACAUGCUUUUGUUAAAGAGCAAUAUCAUAUCUUUCCACGAGUUUAGACACUUUCCUUCUCUUAAAUCAUAAUAUGUGGAUAUCACAAAUAUUACUUUACGUGUCACUGACUCAACCCCAGAAGUAUCCACCAAAGAUCUCUUUUUUAAUCAUAAGGCUUAAUUAAUAAUUUAGUAAAUUUAAUAAUCAUUUUUUUACAGAUAAUUCUUCAUGGGAAACUCAUGAAAUGACAUGUGAACUGUUUUGUGAAUUGGGUAUAGAUUGAUUAUCUAUAAUUAUAACCGAGGAAGCAUGGAAACCCAGAUUCAAACCGACAUGCCACGUCCCUCCAACUUCUUUAAUGGUACGUGUGGUCACUUUAUAUUGACUCUCAAGCACCAGGACAGACAGAGCCAAGUUGCAUUCACAUUACAAAUCAUUCAAUCAGAUCAGCAAAUGGGCAAUCAAUAUACCUCAAAGGUUCCUUUUUCUCCAUCUAUAAAUAGGGGUUACUCACACUUCACUCAUCCAUCCCUCCAGCAAACAAGCUUCUUUUGAGUCUCUCAUUGCUUCCCAGUUUUCAUUCCCCUAAAGUAAUGGCUUACUCCAAGACGUUUCUCCUUCUGGGUCUUCUAUUCGCUGUUGUCCUUAUCCUCUCCUCUGAGGUGUCGGCCAGAGAGCUAGCCGAGGCUGCACAUACCCGUGAGUUUCCCACUUUUUUUUACACACUUGUUAUAUCAAUUUACAGCUGAUGUACUGUGACUAAUUCAACUAAUCCAAUUUUUUUUUUUUGUUCUAAUGACAGAAGGGAGUGUGGAAGACGCUAAGUCCUGGGGACAUGGGCAUGGCCAUGGACAUGAACACGAGCAUGGCCACUGGGGACAUGAACAUGGGCACGGCCAUGGGCAUGGGCAUGGGCAUGGACACCACGGCCAUGGUGGUGCUGGUGAGACUGUGGAGAAUGAAACUGAAGCUGGCGAGAAUUAGAUAGCAUUUCUAGCUGCUGUAUUUUCACGCCCAUGGGUGGAAGUAGGUUGUGUGGUUUAUGUGAGUUUGUAUGUGAAUAAGGCAUGUGCUUGUCAGUGGUUGCCACCAAUGUUCCUCUAGGAAGAUGGUUGUGUUGCUUUGACAAGAUGUUAAAGCAUGUGUGAAACUUGCAGAUGUCAACUUAAUUAUUGUCCUGAAAUUAGAACUUUUUCCAAGUCCUUUGUCUCUAUAAGCAAAGUAAGCAAAAUAAGUAAGGUAAAAGCAGAAAGAUCAAACAGGAUUUCUCUGCAUAAUUAAGUAUCUCCAUUGAUCUUUUUUAAAUGAAGACUAAAUAUUUGUGGGUUCAGACCUCUUUACAGGUAUUUGUGGGUUCUUGAUUUCAUUGUUCCAUAUGCUCUUACUUCUCAUUGAAAAAAAGUUUUAAGUUAAAUUGAUAAUUAAAUAAUAAGUUUUAAGAUAAUAGAAUUUAAUUUAAAAUUAAUGAUCUUAAAUCAUUAAAUAUUAAGCAUGACCAUAUUAAUCCCACCAAACAAAGUAGUUGGCCAUAUAUGAUUUGCGUUUACCCAUAAUUGAAUAUUGAUUAAAUCAUGUUUAAUAUAGUGAAAUACGUAGAUAGAAAUGAACAAGUAUAGUGAUACAGCUUUGUUCUAAUAGACAUAACAAGGAAAUGAAUACAAAUAGUAUUUUCACCAUCAUAUUGUACAAAAUCAAAUACGUGGGAGAAUCCAUCCAAAGGAGCAACACAACAGAGUUAGCGAUAAGCUUGAAGAACACUUGUAAAGUUGGUGGACAUAAGGACAAAUAUAAGAUGACGUGAGAGGGGACAUCAUCAUUUUUGUAUCUGUCACGUGAGUAAAGUCGAGUCAUAAAGAAUGCUGCCCAAUAGAUGUAGGGCACCAGCCCAUAAACUGCAUGCAUAUGAAGUUGAAUGUUAAAGCUCAACCCCAGCACCUAUCAGCUAUGGGUCGGUCACUCAAUUUUUUGGGACUGGGUGAAGUGAGCAGGGACGUAUGCGAUGCAUAGGACAUGGUUGGAUAUUAAUUUGCAUGAAAUUUUUGAGCUCCAAGCCUGCAACUUGAUAUGGUAAUAUGUAAACACUGAAAAGGAAAUGUUAAACUAACAUAUGAUAAUUACCAAGCAAAAGAUUUGGACCGUUUAAGAGGAGACUAAAAAUAUGUAUGUGCAAUUCCCUGAUUGAUGAUAUCUUUAUAAUAGGUAUCGAAAAUGGUAACUACGUAGAUCCAAAGAAUUAGGAUUAGAGAUGGCAUUACGGCAACUUAGCUUUAUCCUUGCCCACUUCAUUUUGCAGUACUCUACAGAGAAGAACAAAUUAAGCUGGUCCUAUCCUACAUCGACAUGGUAUUCGGGCCACUACCCCAUGUAAUAGCAUAUUUUGUCCAGAUGGCAAAUUUUGAUGGCUUACAAGAAUUUGUGAAACUUCUUUUGUGGCUGCUAUUGCGGGAAAUUAAUCAAAUGGGAGCAUUGUGGGCUGUCUGAGUAUAGUUUUUCUACAUUUCCUUUUCUACACUUGUAUCCAAAAAUCACCUUCUCUGGUAUCCUUCUAUUUGAGGACUCCCGAGUACUUUUUCUUCUUUCCCAACACCUUAUCCCUUUCUCAACAUUAAAAGCCAUAGUCUGGAGUUCAUCAGGGUUGAAACCCUCCAAGUUUUGCAACCCCACAAAGAGGGGGAGCUUGCAAAUCACAAGACUAUUAUUUGUUAGAUUAAUUAAAGCUGAUGAAUUUUAACAUGUUUUGUGAUUUGGGUGUAGAUUAAUUAUAUGAAGGAGGCAUCAAAAGUAACAGGUUGAAACAAACCGACAAGCCACGUCUCUAGAAUUUCUUUAAUGGUAUGGUUAGACAAAAUCUUCACUCUGACACACCAAGAUGAGAACGUGUACCCAUUCACAAUAGGAAUCAUUCAAUCGCGUCAGAAAAUGGACAAUCAGUCUCUCUGAAGCUCUCCCUUUUUCCAUCUAUAAAUGCGGGUUACUCCCACUGCACUCACUCAUCCAUCCCUUGAGCAAACAAUCUUCUUGUGAGUUUUUUUCAGUCUUCGUUCCCCCAACAAAAUGGCAUACUCCAAGGUUUUUCUCCUUCUUGGCCUUCUGUGUUCUGUCGUUCUUGUCCUCUCCUCUGAGGUGUCAGCCAGAGAGCUAGCUGAGGCUGCUCAAACCCGUGAGUUCCCCACUCUUUUAGACACUUUGUAUGCAUCACUUGCUACUAUGCACAUUCUCUUGAGCUGCACAAUAGCACAUGCCAGUCAAUGGUGUUUUUGCUCUAACUGAUAGAUUAACAAAUAAGCAAAGUACCUUUCUAAUUAUAAUUAAACCAUGGAUAUAUCUUGGAGAAUUUCCUCACCACUCCUUAGCAGAAUCAAUACCGUGACUAACUAAUAACGCCCGGCCUUUUUUUACUCUUUCUAAUGGUAGAAGGGAGUGUGGAAGAAGCUAAACACUGGGGACAUGGACACGGGCAUGGACACUGGGGACAUGGACAUGGGCAUGGUCAUGGCCACAGGCAUGGACACCAUGGCAAACCCGGACAUGGUGGUGCUGCUGAGACAGAGGAAAAUGAAAGUGAAGCAGGCGAGAAUUAGGCAGAAGCACUUCUAGCUGCUGUAUGUGCACGCAUACACCGUGCAAAUAAGGUUGUGUAAUUUACGUAAGUUAGUGUGUCAAUAAGGCAUGUGUGAUCAGUGGUUGCCACUAGAGUCCCUAAGUAAGAUGGAUGCAUGGGUUUGCCAAAAAUAUUAAAGAAUCAUUAUGUUAGUUUAUUAGCCUGAAAUGAGAACUUUCUCAGGGCUCCUUUGCAUCUGUUUUUGGCUUUUAAUACCAAGAAAAAAGUUAAUGAAGCAGAAAGAAUAUGGAAAUUCAACUUAACCAAUUUGCCACGUCUCUAAAUUUUCUCCAUUUUCUUCCUUGACAUGACUCAAACAUAUGAGAGAAAACGUUGAUUAAUUCUCUUUCACAUGUAGCUAAGGACUUGGCGUAAUCUCAAUGGAAUAUUCCAAUUCACUAGAUACCUCUAAAAUUAACACUUCCGAAUCAAUCAUGUGAACCCACCGGACGGUCUCUUACUCUCCCAGUCAAUACAAAUCAUUUUAGCAGUCUUUUACCUUAUUUUAUGUUUUGAAAAUGGCUUUCUCUAAAGCUUCUCUUCCUCUUGGCCUUAUGAUUGGUGUUGUGUGUUCAUCAUCUCCUUUGGGUUUUCAGCUUGGGAGUUAGCUGAUGCAGCAGCCCAAACUUAAAGAAUCUCUAUGAAUUGUUUUUUUCAACAGGCUCAAUGAUAUCCUUUUAUAUAUAAUUUAACAUUUUAUUUUUAAAUCAUGAAACUCUGAAGGAUGCCAAUUAGUAUGGUGGAUAUGGACAUGGCUACCGGCACCAUGGCCAACCUGGUCAUGGUGGUGCUGGAGAGGAGAUGGCAGAUGAACCAGAAGGUCGCAGUUAGAUUGUUCAUCCUUAUUGGUACAGUACAACAACAUGGGGUGGAUGAUUCAGCAUAGCUGGGCUUUAUCUCUGUGUUUUCUCAUGUUGUUUCUAACCCUUUGUGCAAUAUAUUUGAGUGCAUAUCAGCGCAUGAUAUAUGCAAAAUAAUCAAAGUAAAUGUUGCUGCUUGUGAGCGUCUCUUGUCAAAGUAUAUAUAAGAAAAUAUAUACUUGAAUAGAGAUUAGUUAGUGAGAAUCAAGUUUGAAAAAGAAUUAUGAGGUUGUUUGAUGUGAGGACAAAUGAAAGAACAAUGACGUGAGAGGUGACGCAACCAUAAGCAUGAUAUAUACUAUAGGGCUUAGGAUGCAUCCCCAUGUAGAAAUGUAGGGCCCCAAGUCCCUGAGUUGCAUGUGAGGUUUAACUUAGAGCUCAAAGCCAAGAGCCAUCACGCUCACCCUUGGGUCACUCAGCGGUAUUCUCUUCAGGACUUCGUGACGUGAGGAGGGACGUAUGCAAUGUACAUGAUUGGUCGAAGAAUUUUGUUAUCCAAGAGAUCAUUCUGAAGAAUAUCUUUGAACCACGAUAUGACAUGCUAAUAUCAUUGAAGUUAAAUCAGCAACUUUCUAAAAAUAUUGGUAAAAAAAAAAAAAAAAGUUAAAAUGAUCAUAAAAUUUUCAAUUUAUUUCCAUAAAAAGAUCAUUUAAAAGCUUA
rnacentral:lncRNA from 1 species